UUUUUUUUUGGGUGAGAGCUCCUCAGAUAUUAUUUUUCGAUGAAACUUGGCAAGAACCUCAAACAUAUGAUAAUGUUUGAUGUAGCAAAAUUUCAGAUUUUUUGGAUUUCGUUUGAUAAACUUUUUUCAACUUUUUUGCUAACUCGGGUGUAGUACACCCGAGAGUAGAAAAUCCAGUCUUAUUACCGCUGAUUUUCAUUGUGUAAGUUACUAAUAGGUCGCUCAACGACAUGCAGUGAUUCCUGGUCUCAGCGUCCACUUGCAGAAAAGGAGGCAUUAUUUAGUAUGAGGUGGUGGCGUGCCGGUGCCUUUGCAAAAAGAAUGACAUGGUCUCCAUGAUGAUUGAUGAACAGGGAGUGGUGAAGUACAUAUUGUUGGAAAUCUGAGCAAUUUACCAAAUGAUUUUAUUAAUAGAAAUAUUAGAUAAAGCAUGACUAAUAUAACAUGGAUAAAACUAGUCAUGCGAUCUGACAGAGAGAAGGUAAAUAACAUCUGCAUAUAUGAACUGCAACCAAACAUGUCUAAAGAAGAUAGUAGAAGAGGUUGCAUAUAUGGCGUAGAACCUAUCAUAUGUAGGACAGACACUAGAGCAAAGAACUAUGACAGGACCUCUAACAGAAAGAGUAAGAACACGUACGGGACAGCAGCAACAGUAGCACUGGACUUAGGGUCGGUGUCCUCGCCAGCCAUGUCGUUGAGAAGGUUGUCGACGUCGAGGAAGAAGUCGUCGGAGUCCGGGGCGUCCGUGACGAAGAAGUCAGUAGUCGCGCUGAGCGCUCCCCAAAAACCUUAUCACCCUUCUCCCGUACAGGACUCAAAGAGGUGCGGUUUCGGAGGCCUACUGUCCCGACUCAUGGUGCACGCCGCAAGCCGGGAUGAGGAAGACAGCAACAGCUCAGCGAUAGGAACCGGUGGCGAGAGGAAGAAGUAAUUCUGGUGCGUAUCUCUAAGAGGAGCGACCUCGCUUUUAUAGGCGCAAGAGAAGGAGGCGAGAGGCUACGCCGGGAGAUCAAGGGAAUGAGGGAGAUGAAAUGAACAGGCAGCAGGCGAAGAGGUGCGCCAUUCAUAUUCAAUCUCCACUACAACAAAACGUUUCAGCUUCCGCGUGACCUUUCGUAUACCCAUCGUGCGUGGCAAAAAUUUAGACAUCGGCUCGGCCCCGCAACCCGCGGCGCGGCGCGACGCGGCGCGGCGGGCGGUGGAGGAGGAGCGCGCGUGGAUGUCCCUCUUGUUCUCAUCCUCAUACAUGUGGCGAAAGAGCAUCCCUUACAAAGAGGUCCAACUCCCUCUAAACUAGCAAUGUGGGACUAAACUUUAGUUCCACCUCUUGCCUUGCACGAAUGGGAUGCGUGGGCCUCUAGGAUUUAUUAGGAAUUUCUGAAACUACUAUUGAGCUAGGCCCAAAAUAGACAAAAUUCCAGCAAUCCCCCACCAAAUCCCAGAGGCACACAAAAUUUGCCUUUGGUUCCAAAACACUGUUUUAUGUACUGGUACUGCAGUGGAGACUGUUAAGUUGAACUUCCACCUAGAACUCUAUGCUACACUAGUAAGCAACUUGAACAGUGGACUGGGCCUUGAACUGCAAAUUUUCUGCGAAUCUAGUUUCACAUAAAGCCUUGACCGUUACGUGGCUACCGUGGGUCUUCCCCGCGGGUGGAACUUAUGCGUCAUACUCCGAGACCUUUCAUGAGUUUACUAGAGAGAACCCUACUCUCAUAGAUUGCGACGUUUAAUAAUCAGUCUCAUAUAGGUGCGUUCUUCAAAAGAUGUUCUGCAGGACGACAUCUCUGCUUCAAUGAGCCACUUAGAACACAUUAAGAUAUACAUCAACCUGUCAUGCAGAUUAGGAGAGUAUUGCAUCUUCAUGGAGUGGUAUUGUUAAUAGUAAGGAUACUCUCCUCUCAGUUGACCAACAGCUUGUCUUCCACAUCUAAUUCACGGGAUCUCCGAUCACAUAGACUAGGUUACCACUGUGAACAACUCAUAUUGUGGGUCUCAUACCCAUCUCUCUCGAUGCAUUAUCUAUCACAUUGCAUGAUAGACCCUUAGUGAAAGGAUCUGCCAGAUUUUUUGAUGUUUGGAUAUAGUCCAAUGCAAUAACUCCGGAGUUUCUCAUUUUCCUGACAGACUUUAACGUUCUCUGAACAUGUCUUGAUGACUUCAUGUUAUCCUUUGAGCUGCUUACUUUCGUGAUUACAGUUUGAUUGUCGCAGUUCAUCAGGAUACCCGGUACAGGUUUCUCAACAACCGGCAAGUCAUUGAAGAGCCGACGAAGCCAAUUUUCUUCGACCGUAGUUGUAUCUAGUUCUGUGAGAGUUCUGCUUCCAUUGUUGACCUCGUUAAGAUGGUCUGCUUGCAAGACUUCCAAGAAAUAGUGCCACCUCCAUGAGUGAAUACAUAUCCGCUCGUGGCCUUUAUCUCAUCAGCAUCUGAGAUCCAGUUUGAGUCACUAUGCCCUUCAAGCACCUUUGGGUGCCCAGUGUAGUGAAUUCCAUAAUUCGUAGUGCCUUUCAAAUAACGCAAAACUCUCUCUAGAGCUUUACAAUGCACAUCUCCUGGUUUUGAGACAAACCGACUCAGUUUGCUAACAACAAAAGAGAUGUCAGGUCUUGUAGCACUGGCUAAGUACAUAAGCGAUCCAAUAAUCUGAGAAUAUUUCAAUUGAUCUCUAGCAAUUCUUCGAUUCUUUCGAAGUAACACACUCGCAUCAUAUGGUGUUGGAGAGGGCUUGCAGUCACUAUAGCCAAAGCGACUCAAGAUCUUUUCCACAUAGUGAGAUUGAAGCAAUGUAAUCCCACCAUCAUCGUCUCUCAACAACUUGAUGUUCAGAAUGACAUCGGCCCCUCCUAAAUCCUUCAUCUCAAAGCAGCGAGAUAGGAAAUCAUUGACCUCCUUAAUAACAUUCAGAUUUGUUCCGAAAAUCAGUAUGUCAUCAACAUACAAGCAAAGGAUAACUCCCUCGCCCCCACCAUGGCGAUAGUACACACAUUUGUCAACUUCGUUUACAAUAAAGCCUGCAGCUGUUAAAGUUCUUUCAAACUUCUCAUGCCACUGCUUGGGUGCUUGCUUAAGUCCAUACAAAGACUUCCGCAACUUGCACACUUUCCCUUCCUGACCAUCUAGUACAAACCCAUCUGGUUGUUCCAUAUAAAUUUCCUCGUCCAACUCUCCAUUUAGGAAAGCAGUCUUAACAUCCAUUUGAUGAACGAGAAGACCAUGUGAGGCAGCUAGUGAAAGUAGAACUCGAAUAGUGGUAAGUCGAGCCAUAGGUGAGUAAGUAUCAAAGAAGUCUUCACCUUCCUUUUGGGUAUAACCCUUGGCCACGAGCCGAGACUUGUACUUUUUGAUAGUACCAUCAGGCCUAAGCUUCUUCUUGAAUAACCAUUUGCAUCCUAUAGGCUUGCACCCAUAAGGACGAUCAGUUAUCUCUCAAGUUUCAUUCGCCAAGAUGGAAUCCAUCUCGCUACGAACCGCUUCCUUCUAUUAGUCAGCAUCUUCAGAUGCACAGGCCUCUGAAAUAGAACUGGGAGUGUCAUCUAUGAGAUACACGAGAAAAUCAUCACCAAGGACUUUGUAGGACUCUGUCUCUUGCUCCUAGUAGGAACUUCAUUGUUCUCCUCCACAGGAUUUUCGAAGUAUUCCAUCAAAAUGGCAGGUUCAGUAAUUGUAAUUGGUUCCUGAUUCUUUGAACUAGGCAUCUCCUAAUUAAAUGAGGUGGCCAUAUCCUUCCUGGAAAGAUAUCUUCAAAGAACGUUGCAUCAUUCGACUCCAUGAUCGUACCGACAUGCAUGUCAGGUACCUCAGAUUUUACAACCAAGAAUCUAUAACCAAUUCUAUGAAAAGCAUAUCCCAGGAAAACACAAUCCACGACCUUUGGUCUAAGCUUGCGCUUCUUUGGAAUUGGCACAUUGACUUUCGCCAAACAACCCCAGGUUCGUAGAUAAGAGAGCUUUAAUCUUUUCUUCUCCCAUUCCUCGAAUGGAGUUAUCUCUUUGUUGUUUAUGGGAACUCGGUUUAGGACAUGACAUGCAGUCAAUAUCACCUCCCCCCACCAUGCCUUGGAGAGACUCGAUGGGUCUAACAUGGCGUUAACCAAAUCAGCUAGAGUAUGGUUCUUUCUUUCGGCUACACCAUUUGACUGAGGUGAAUAGGGAUGCGUCCUCUCAUGGAUUAUACCAUGUUCCGCACAAAAAGCAUCAAAUUCAUUGGAAAAAUACUCUCCACCACGGUCGAACCUAAGCCUCUUGAUUUUCCGAUCAAGUUGAUUUUCCACUUCAGCUUUAUAGAUCUUGAAAAAGUUCAAAGCCUCAUCCUUAGAUUUCAGAAGAUACACACAGCAGUAUCUAGUGGAUUCGUCAAUUAACGUCAUGAAAUAUAUUUUUUCCAUCUUUCGUCAAAACACCAUUCAUUUCACAUAGAUCUGAAUGUAUGAGUUCCAGUGGUGCACGAUUUCUCGUUUCCGCAGUCACAUGAGACUUACGAGGUUGCUUAGCUUGCACACACACUUGACACUUAGAUCCUUUGACAGUGGUGAAACUAGGUAUUAAGUUCAGCUUCGCUAGUCGCGACAUGCAACCAAAGUUAACAUGACAAAGACGUGAAUGCUACACAUUUGAUUCACUAUUGUUGCAAAUAUGAUUAACAACUUUAUUGCAAACGUCUGAUAAGGAUAAACGAAACAGGCCUCCUGACUCGUAGCCUUUACCAACAAAGGUUCCAUACUUGGAUAUUACAAAUUUAUUCGACUCAAAGACAAGCUUGUAGCCAUCUCUACACAGAAGAGAUCCGCUAACAAGAUUUUUAUUGACGGAGGGGACAUAAUGCACGUUCUUCAGCCGCACGACCUUCCCCGAAGUAAACUUCAGAUCAACCGUGUCAACACCACGAACAAAAGCACUUGAACCGUUGCCCAUCAGCACGGUUGAAGUCCCUGCGGUCUGAUAAGAUGAAAACAUGGAAAUAUCACCGCAUACAUGUUGGAAAUAUGCCCUAGAGGCAAUAAUAAAAUGAUUAUUAUUAUAUUUCCUUGUUCAUGAUAAUUGUCUAUUGUUCAUGCUAUAAUUGUGUUAUCCGGAAAUCGUAAUACAUGUGUGAAUACAUAGACCACAACAUGUCCCUAGUGAGCCUCUAGUUGACUAGCUCGUUGAUCAACAGAUAGUCAUGGUUUCCUGACUAUGGACAUUAGAUGUCAUUGAUAACGGGGUCACAUCAUUAGGAGAAUGAUGUGAUGGACAAGACCCAAUCCUAAGCAUAGCACAAGAUCGUGUAGUUCGUUUGCUAGAGCUAUUCCAAUGUCAAGUAUCAUUUCCUUAGACCAUGAGAUCGUGUAACUCCCGGAUGCCGUAGGAAUGCUUUGGGUGUACCAAACGUCACAACGUAACUGGGUGACUAUAAAGGUAUACUACAGGUAUCCCCGAAAGUAUCUGUUGGGUUGACACGGAUCGAGACUGGGAUUUGUCACUCCGUAUGACGGAGAGGUAUCUCUCUGCCCACUCGGUAAUGCAUCAUCAUAAUGAGCUCAAUGUGAACAAGUGUUUGGUCACGGGAUCAUGCAUUACGGUACGAGUAAAGUGACUUGCCGGUAACGAGAUUGAACGAGGUAUUGGGAUACCGACGAUCGAAUCUCGGGCAAGUAACGUAUCGAUUGACAAAGGGAAUUGUAUACGGGAUUACUUGAAUCCUCGACAUCGUGGUUCAUCCGAUGAGAUCAUCAAGGAGCAUGUGGGAGCCAACAUGGGUAUCCAGAUCCCGUUGUUGGUUAUUGACCGGAGAGUCGUCUCAGCCAUGUCUGUGUGUCUCCCGAACCCGUAGGGUCUACACACUUAUGGUUCGGUGACGCUAGGGUUAUAUAGAUAUUUGUAUGCGGUAACCCGAAAGUUGUUCGGAGUCCCGGAUGAGAUCUCGAACGUCCCGAGAAGUUCCGGAUUGGUCCAGAGGUAAAGAUUUAUAUAUAGGAAGUCUAGUUUCGGCCAUCGGGAAAGUUUUGGGGGUCAUCGGUAUUGUACCGGGACCACCAGAAGGGUCCCGAGGGUCCACCGGGUGGGGCCACCUAUCCCGGCCUAUCCCGGAGGGCCCCAGAGGCUGAAGUGGGAAAGGGAACCAGCCCCUGGUGGGCUGGUGCGCCCCCCUUGGGCCUCCCCUGCGCCUAGGGUUGGAAACCCUAGGGGUGGGGGGGCGACCCACUUGGCUUGGGGGGGAAGCCACCCCCUUGGCCGCCGCCCCCCUUGGAGAUUGGAUCUCCUAGGGCCGGCACCCCUCCCCCCCCCCCAGGGCCCCUAUAUAAAGAGGGGAGGGAGGGCAGCCGCACCCUUGCUCCGGGCGCCUCCCUCUCCCUCCGUAACACCUCUCCUCCCCGCUUGCGCUUGGCGAAGCCCUGCCGGGAUCCCGCUACUUCCACCACCACGCCGUCGUGCUGCUGGAUCUCCAUCAACCUCUCCCUCCCCCUUACUGGAUCAAGAAGGAGGAGACGUCUUCCCCAACCGUACGUGUGUUGAACGCGGAGGUGCCGUUCGUUCGGCACUUGGUCAUCGGUGAUUUGGAUCACGACGAGUACGACUCCCUCAACCCCGUUCACUUGAACGCUUCCGCUCACGAUCUACAAGGGUAUGUUGAUGCACUCCUCUCUCUCGUUGCUAGAUGACUCCAUAGAUUGAUCUUGGUGAAGUGUAGAAAAAUUUUAUUUUCUGCAACAUUCCCCAACAAUACAUGCACAUUAGCACCCGUGUCAAUCAACCAAUCAGGAGAAUGACAUACUGAAAGAAUAGUGGGAAAUAUACCAUACCCAACAUCCUUCAUGUCACUAUCUCCAAUGACAACAUUAGUGGUCUUGCCGCCUUUCCCAGGAUGACACUUGUCAUAGCGAUUAGGGCAACUAGGAGCCCAAUGAUCAAGAUCCCCACACACAUGACAAACACCUCUCUUCUUGUCAUUCUUCUUCUUGAAGUUCGUGUGUUGCACAGCCUUGUUCUUCCCAUCAGACUUUGCUUUACCAUCAAAUUUGCCCUUGUUCUUGAACUUGUGGGGCUGGAAGUUCUUCUUCUGUACCAGAUUGGCACUAAAUCCUCCCUCAAUACCUCAAGCACGUGUGUCCUUUGCUCUCGUCUUUUCUUCCACAUCAAGAGUGCCAAUGAGAUCCGGGACGGAAAACUCCCUUCUCUUAUGCUUCAGUAAGGUAGCAAAGUUCCUCCACGAAGGAGGAAGCUUAGUGAUGAUACCCCCGGCAACAAACUUGUCUGGUAGCAUACAACUAAAGUGCUCAAGUUCUCUAGCAAAUGACUGUGUCUCAUGAGGUUGCUCAACCACAGAGCGCUCUUCAGUCAUCCUGUAAUUAUAGAAUUGCUCCAUGAUGUACAGCUCAGUGCCAGCAUCCGAGACCCCAAACUUGGUCUCGAGUGCAUCCCACAUAUCUUUUCCAUUAUCAAUUGACGCAUAAGCAUCAACUAUGUUCUCACCAAGAACACUCAAGAGAGCAGCCUUAAACAGAGUAUCCAUUUUCUGAAAAGCUUGUGCCUGUUGAGCAUCAAGCUCUCCUUCAGGUUUGCCAAGAGUGGCGUCAUAGCAACUCAUGGUUUGAAACCAUAAGACUGCUCUCACGCGCCACCUCUUCUAGUGGAUACCUUCAAACAUAGGAGGUUUCAUGGAAGCAUCAAAACCACUCGAGGUAAAUUGCCUAUAAUAAGGUUUUUGGAUUGUUGGAAAUAUGAGCAAUUUACCAAAUGAUUUUAUUAAUAGAAAUAUUAGAUAAAGCAUGACUAACAUAACAUGGAUAAAAGUAGUCAUGCGAUCUGACAGAGAGAAGGUAAAUAACAUCUGCAUAUAUGAACUGCAACCAAACAUGUCUAAAGCAGAUAGUAGAAGAGGUUGCAUAUAUGGCGUAGAACCUAUCAUAUGUAGGACAGACACUAGAGCAAAGAACUGCGCAGGACCUCUAACAGAAAGAGCAAGAACACGUAUUGUCGACGUCGGGGAAGAAGUCGUCGGAGUCCAGGGCGUACGUGACAAAGAAGUCAGUAGUCGCGCUGAGUGCUCCCCAAAAAGAGGCCUACUGUCCCGACUCACGGUGCACGCCGCUAUGAGGAAGACAGCAGCAGCUCAGCGAUAGGAACCGGUGGCGAGAGGAAGAAGUAGUUCCGGUGCGUAUCUGCUCGACUCAUUCCCGCAACCCGCGUCGUGGCGAGGCGAGGCGGGCGGCGGAGGAGGAGCGCGCGUGGAUGUCUCUCUUAUUCUCAUCCUCAUACAUGUGGAGAAAGAGCCUUCCUUAUAAAGAGGUCCAACUCCCUCUAAACUAGCAAUGUGGGACUAAACUUUAGUUCCACCUCUUGCCUUGCACGAAUGGGCUGCGUGGACCUCUAGGAUUUAUUAGGAAUUUCUGAAACUGCUAUUGGGCUAGGCCCAAAAUAGACAAAAUUCCAACACACACNNNNNNNNNNNNNNNNNNNNNNNNNNNNNNNNNNNNNNNNNNNNNNNNNNNNNNNNNNNNNNNNNNNNNNNNNNNNNNNNNNNNNNNNNNNNNNNNNNNNNNNNNNNNNNNNNNNNNNNNNNNNNNNNNNNNNNNNNNNNNNNNNNNNNNNNNNNNNNNNNNNNNNNNNNNNNNNNNNNNNNNNNNNNNNNNNNNNNNNNNNNNNNNNNNNNNNNNNNNNNNNNNNNNNNNNNNNNNNNNNNNNNNNNNNNNNNNNNNNNNNNNNNNNNNNNNNNNNNNNNNNNNNNNNNNNNNNNNNNNNNNNNNNNNNNNNNNNNNNNNNNNNNNNNNNNNNNNNNNNNNNNNNNNNNNNNNNNNNNNNNNNNNNNNNNNNNNNNNNNNNNNNNNNNNNNNNNNNNNNNNNNNNNNNNNNNNNNNNNNNNNNNNNNNNNNNNNNNNNNNNNNNNNNNNNNNNNNNNNNNNNNNNNNNNNNNNNNNNNNNNNNNNNNNNNNNNNNNNNNNNNNNAUUUUCUUUGUUCUUUUGGGAGGAGAUGCCUCUUUUGUAGUGGCACCCACUCUCUACGCAGUGGGACAUGGAUGGGCUAGGCGGAGUGAUUAAUCUUAUAGUGGUAGGCGUCAACUCGCUUCGCCUCUUAACCGUUGAUCGGUUGUCUCCGACGACCCUUGUAUCCCCUUUUUUAUUUUCUUUUUUCGGGUUGCAGGAAAUAACUCCUCCGAGGAGACCUUUUUAUCUUCUUUCCUGCAUUUGACUUGUUGUUUGGAUGCGGCCCUUUAUUUAUGAAGUGGGGCAAAUCAUGUUUCAAGAGGAUAAAUGUGGAGCUGGAGGAGAGUGAAAUGAGAAAGAAUUAAAAAUACUUGAUUUCUCAUAAUUAAGAGAUGAUGUCUAACAAUGAUAUCCCUCGACAUAUAUUUAGGUACUUAGUAACACUAAGAGAAAGAGUUAACUCAUUGUACAUCAUAUUUUUAUAGCCAUUAUGUGGCAGACUUAACAUAAGAUAGUCUUACCAACCACUAUAGAUGCUCUUAAGUGCUACACACUAUCGCCCACCUUAUCGAUGAGUUAUUAUCAACUUUGUUUCUUCCUAGAUCCCAAUUAGCAUGUGUGUAUAUAAAUAGCUCCCAUCUACGAUGGUUAGUAGUGCCAAGAUAGCGAGCAGUAGACUAAAAGAGGUACAUAUAUGACAUUUAUCUCAAGUGAGCUUUCCACCAUGGAGGUAGUAAUCCUGGAAGAAAUUCCCCUCGGUAUUACUCAUGGAAGUCAUGUUUCGUUGAAAUUUAUAACAUAUAUUGCACCACACACUAUCAAAAAUAUUUUUGAUUUGGGAGGCAUUAGGGAAAUAUUUAUCUGUGUGUGUGAGGUGUUGCACUACAUCUCUACCCUCUGCGCCAUUGCUGAAUAAUGUUCUGGUGCAUGGAAUGAACAGGCUAGAAGAAAUUCUAGAACAACUGCAAUUAUAGUCCUCUUGUUUGACCACGCAGCAUGAGCGGUAAGCUAUCUCAAAGCCGACUGAUGUUUCUUCAGCGAUUUCUAUUUGUCGUUUCGAGCGGCAAGUGGCUAUUGAGGUCUUUAAAGCUUGGCAUGGCGAGUGCCUUUGCAUAUGGUCCUUUCUUCCUGUUGGUUGAGUGCACUUUUCAAUCUUCGGCAAAACGGCGUACAAUCAAAAGAAGAAGAAGAAGACUAGUAUAUAUUUUUUAAUGUAAUUUCAUUUUUUAAGUUGUUUUGCCUCCAAUUGUCUUUCCGUUAUACUGGCUAUUGCUUUCCUUCAAAAUUAUUAGAUCUAAGAGAAUCUACUUCUCCCCUCUUUGUUCCUAUAUGUUCCGGACAACCCGGACAGUGUCCGGACAAGAGAGAGAGAGAGAGGGGGGGGGGAGUCUACCCAACUAGACCCCCGCUUAUGCGUAUAUGGCAGAGUUUUCUACAAACUCUCAAACUCAGCCUAUAUGUGGGAAGGAUAUUCGGGUGUUUUCACAUGUUCGGGUAGUCCGCCGUGUCAGACACGGCCCAUCGCUGACUCUCGUCCUUAUUCUCUUUUCAUUCUCCAUGUCCAUCACCACUAAACAUAUGCAUUUCUGUCCAAUUAAAACAGACCUUGUGCCAAAUAGAAGGUAGUCCCUUGAUCCAUCCCUGUGGACGAGAUACAUCAACUGGACAAUUUCAAGGCCAUACAUGCACGCACAGAUAAAUUACGGUUUGAAGUUCGUCGAUGUAUAGAAGAAUAAAAUAGCCCAGUCCAGUUGUAGAUGCUCUGACAUACAUUUGAGUGUCUUUUCUUUAGAAAAAAUAGUGUUCAAUCCACGUAGGCACAUUGACACACUCCCCAGACAGACGCCUAUAACGAUAACGUGCAUUGGUUGAAGAAGGGAAAUCAUCAGAUCAUGUGCAAGCAUGCACAACCCCGAUGUUCCGGACAAAUCAACAGAUCCCAUGCCAUGAGAAGAUGUUCGCGGCCCGCAGCAGCCCUCGGGCAAUGGGUUAAGCUGUUGCCCUGCCGCAUGCACCAUGCACUCCAAUGCUCAUGCAUCCACGUGCAUCCAUUGUUUCAAGGAACUAGCAUCGAUCAAUGCACGCACACACCUACUCACCUACUACGUAGUACUAGCUCAACCUGUAGUUCUGCAUAGAAUUGCUCCCUAGCUAUAGUCUAUACAGAUCUUGCCGUCAAGCUGCUGCUAAGGCAGGUCUCUUCAAUCUUGAUGCCAAGAAACUCAAAGUUACCAUGGUUCAUCCAUGGUCACCGGCUCGCCGCCUCGCCGGCCAGGUUCCUAAGCUUCCUCCACAUCAGUAGAUUAAGUAUGGUCAAGACUACAUACAUACACUGAACUUCACUUACACUUUUGCGACAUUUGAGGAAAUCGGACCUACCAUGUACUCCUGCCCCCGCCAAAAAAAUAUUCUAUACUCCUACAUGACUACACGAUGCAUCAGCUGCUUCGCAUGCACGUCAACACAACCCCAUCCUGUUCGCGCUGCCCUUGGCGCUGCAUGUGCGGCCAUGUGCGCGCGUCUUGUCUUUCCCUCCGGUUCAUUGCAAAACCAUUUUUUGUGUUUAUAUGUUUGUUGUCAUCGAUCAUCAUGCGCUCCAGGCUUCAAGUACGUGACCCUAAGCAGGCCUGUGGACAUCUUGGAUCAUACGUGUCCAUCUUGUAUCCAUACGGCCAUACCCAGCAUACGACAACACACAAUGAUAAUGCUACGUAGUAAACAAUGAUAAUACUACGUAGUAAACGCACAUGCAAUGCGUGAUGAUGCAUCAUGCUUUUGAUACAAGAUCGACACCUAGAAAAUGUCUACGUAUGUUAGCUGUCAUGUAUGAUGUUUUGUUUUGAGAGGUCAGACUUUCUCGAGGGUGAAAACAUAAAAUCUUGGAUCAAACGAUGACGGCACUUGUACACUGCUCUCUUCUUAAAGGCGUCGCUUUUGAAGACCUUUUUUAUUUUUGGGUGUUGUCUUUGAUAGUGGUUUGUGUGCUGCUACUGAGAGGAGUUGAUCACUAUGGCGGGCCUCUUCACGAUAUUAAUAUAUAUUUUUUCUCAAAAAAUGUAUGAUGUUAUCUUCGCAAUGUUAAUAUAUUCUCUUUGUCGAAAAACAUAUGAUGUUUUUUGUUGCGUACAUGUAACGCCCGUACCAGCCAACUCCUUUUCUAUUUUUCAAACCAUUUCUGUCGAUAAUCACUGGGGAAGCUAGCCAGCUCAGUAAUUAUGUACACCAUUAUGAGCUUGGGAGACCUUAAGCAUGUGGACAUCUCAAUCCGUACUUGUCCGUUCUACGUCCAUGCCUACUGUACGACAACACAUCAUCAUCACGGAAGAAUAUGAGCACACGCCUGCUUACUGUAUUAAGGCGAUCGCCGACAGCAUGUACAUCAUUGAUGACACUACAUGCCGAAGACUAGUCCUAUUUAAACAGCAGGAGUGCCCCUGUUUCUAGUACCUAUCCAUCGACAUUACUAAUACUUACCACCGGCAAGUACAUCUGUACUUGACUCUGCUCAAGCAAAACAAAAAGAACAUAAAACCAAUGCAAGGCCCUAACAAAAGCACCAAGUCCUUCAAGCAAGCAGUGGCGGAGCCAGCUAUCUGGCAAGGCCUGGCAGCCGCCACACCUAAAUUUGAAGCAACUAUACUGGUACACCUAGGUGCUGGGCAUGGGCAUGGGCAUGUGACGAGUACCUAGCUGGUGGCGAUGAUGUAAGACUCCACAGAAUAAAAAACGCGAGUACAUGCCUGAUAAACGAUCUAGUAGUACUUAAAGUUUGGAUUUUAGUUGUAUUUGCAUAACAGAAAGUAAUAUAUAUCUAAUAUUCUAAUGAGCUUUAGACAGUUGCAUUUUACAUGAUUUCUCCUUUAGCUCUGCCACACCUAAAAAUUAUUCCUGCAUUCGCCACUGCAAGCAAGCAUUCCUCAGGAACCUCCUCUUGGGCCUCCAGCUCCAUGCACCUACGAGCACAUCCUUCGGCAGCAGAGCCAUGAACCUCCAUUUGAGGAAGCUCGCGGUCAAGUCCUCGGCCAACGUCGCCAUGGCGGCCGCGCGCUGUGCCACCCACACCGACGCAAGGUGGCCCAGUGCCAUCUUAGCCUCCGAAGCGGGCGCCACACCAUCAUCCGGCGCGUGCAAAGUGCAUAGGUGCAGGAGAAUCGUGAGCAGGUGCUGGAUUAGAUCAGGUCGCGCUGGUGGUGACGCGGUUGCCAGGAGGCUGUUGAGGACGAGGACUAUGGCGCUCAGGGUGGUGAUACCGGGAGGCCGGGACACUACCGUUGACCAGGCCACCCUGCUCCGCGAGGCCAUGGACUACGCGGUGCACCUGCGCGCUCAGGUCGACGUGCUCCGCCGCUUAUCGGAAAGCGUGCAAAGAUCCAGCUCCAUCUCUCGGCAGGUACGUGACAAUCUAGUUGCUUGGUUCCAUUUAUUGAUAAUUUUAAGUGUGUAAGUAAUAACUUGCUCAUUUGGCAUGCAGGGUCAGCAGUGAUGCUUUGGUCUCGGUGUGCACUUACAAAGGAGGCAUGAUUAAGUAUGUGGUAGUGCUGUGCCGGUGCCCCUGCAGUAAGAAAAACAUUGUCUCCAUGAUGAUCAGGGAGGAAACAGGCACAACUUUGCCUUGAGCAGAGCUGUGAAGAAAUAUAUAGAUCAGGAUUUGUCUUGUUCAUGUUAGAAUUGUGUCGAAUAUUAUUGUACAAAAUAGUUUAUAGUUAGGCUUGGUUUAGGACUGUGUGUAGACAUGGUAAGAGUCAUGUCCAAGUAGAACACUUGUAUCCUAGGCCUCUCAUAUAUAGCGGGGGUAGACACACGAUGUAACCUAUGCCAACAUAAUAGCACGGGCAUGCGGGGGAGCCGACGGCGUGUGCGGGCGCCCGGGCGGCCGGGGUGCGGUAUUGUGACGGUGUCACGGGGAGGAGCGCCCGUAGUGAGGCCCCGAGGAUGUAGCCAUAUCGGUGAACCUCGUUAACAAAUCUCGGUGUCGUGCUCGUAUGAUUGCUUGGUCCUCUGAUAAUUGACGGUAUGCCUCGGAUUUAUUUUAACAAGUGGUAUCAUGAGCAAGGUUCGAAGAGGCCGUGGAAGUUGAUUAAGUGGAGGGAGAACGUAUCAACGGACUUGUGUGCAAAGGAAUCGCAGCCGUGAGAGCGGAGUUAGUCGGCGAGUCGUUGCUGGCUAGUUGUAUCCAGGAGGCAGCGAUGAAGUGUUCGCGGUUGUUGUAGUUCUCCAAGAAGCAAUCGGGAUUGGCAGCAGCUGGCAUCGAUGAGUUGCAUCAGCGGGCGGCAAGAUCGGUUCGAUAGAUCGAAAGCGGCGGCGGCGAAACGUGCGAGCAGCAGAGUCUUGAUGAGAGGGAUCGAUCAAGUCUCGAUCGGUUGGGCACCUGCAGCAGGAAGCUGCAACGCAGGGGGGUCUAGGCUAGGCGUGGCCCGCAGGUGGCGCAGGAGGCCGUGUAAAAGCAGGCAAGCGGCUGCAGGGGCCCUGGGCCCAUGUAAGGCUGUUUGGCAGGCUGAGGCGUGCGCUAGCGAUCGCGGAGCGUGGUUACCAGGGGCUGGAGCGUACAGAACCGAGGGAAGCCAUGCAACGAGGAUUUGUUGAGAAGAAAAAAAAAAGGUUUGAAGCAAGUCAGAGAAGGCAUGUGGUGCAGCGAGGCUUUGUCAGAUGCAAGUUUGUACGUGUGGUGUGUGCUUUGAUGUGUACACAAAAAAAGGCUACACCAGGUCCAGAUGUAAGAUACCGUGAAGCAAUGGAGCUGCCAAGAUGCUUGGGACAAGUUCUAAAACAAAAGGGUUCUACGCGUACAUUUAAGUACUAGCAAAAGGAGCUAAGAGAAAAUUCUGCAGAAGGUAUCUAUCAGGGUCAAGUCUGCGGGGAUGGUUUUUUCUGAUGGGUCAAGUUCGCGGAAAGUGCUUGGAGUGUGUACGACAAAGGACGGAAGACGUGCGUAUAAGGUUCGGAAGAAUCUGGAGCGCGUUGUGACGGGAUCAUGCAAACACAGGGCGUCAAGCAAUGCAUUAAGAUGUGCGAGGCUGGUCAUGACGCAAGGUGGAGCAUGGUUGCAGUCGGAUAUUUUUUGGCUGGGUCGGACUGGAUAGUCUGAUGGAUCGACGGGGAUGUCGGUCAAAGCAGAAGACGGUGGUGAUUUCGGCGACAACGACAUAUGAGCGUGAUGCUGAUGAUGGCCGACUUCUGGGGCAUGGAAACACGUGGUGCAGGCCUGAGGGCUUGUGCGGCUUUGACAAGAUAAUGACGCAGGGUUGAUUCAAGGUUGUGUACACAUGAGACAGCUUGAAGUCGAUAGGGCGCAGGGUAGCGUGGCCAGCUACAUAGAGUCAUGUUGAAGGUGGAGCUGGAGUCUGAUGGAGGACUACACUCUGUGUUGAUGGAGGGGCUAUGGCGUUAAUGCAUGGAGAGUCGAAGCCUAUUUCAGCGGGAUAGCAAGAGACACGUGGAUCGGACUGGGGCCCAAUGGUCUGAUGGAGGCGUGAUACUCGGCAUCGGUCGGUGAUGAUCGGUGGUUCUCUGCAGUAGGGGUUUGAGUGGUGUGGGUCUGCAGCCCUAGAGACUCGACCAGGACAAUAGAGGCUCGACGCGGUGAUGGCGGCAAGGCGUGCGGUAAGCACGGGACACAGCGACAGACCAAGGCACUGGUGGUCAGACAAAUUGUGCAGGGGGUUCUGAAGCAGUGUUGACAAGUACCGGAUUCAAGUUGGUUACUGGGUCUAUCAGUGCCGGAAGAUGGACAAGAGUUGACCAUGGAGAAUCUGAGAAAGUGGCGAAGAGUCUGGAAUUGUCAAAAGCUGAGAGAGUACAUGGCCGUAUAUCCUGUUAUGUUCAGUGCACAUGGCAAAGUGCAGAUGACAAGACAGAAGGAGGUAGAGUGCUAUAGCGGUGUGACAAGUCAAAGACUAUCCGGAAGAAGGGUGAGACAACUGCGAAUUUGACUCAGGGUGGCACAGGGCGACGGUGAAAUUCCUUCAAGUUUCAGACAAGCAGUUUAGGUAACUCUUAUAUGUGACGUCCAAUACGUGUGUUGUUCAUUUUCACGCAGACAGUGGUCGGUGUGUGAUGGCGUUGAGCGGAUACUCCGGAAGUUAGGAGCACAACGUAGAGUAAUGAGGAACUUAAUUUUGCUCGAGUGCUGACCGUGAAGAAGACAAGAAGGGACUACAGUUGCAGGUGGAGUCACGUGAAGUCUGGGAGUAGCAGCGGUGCUCAUGGCGUAUCUCAAGUCUAAUAUACAUGGAGGUUCGACGCAUGGAUAAAUCCAAGGCGAUGAAGAAUAUUCGCCAAGGUGGAGUUUAUUAGAAUUGUGUUGAAUAUUAUUGUACAAGAUAGGUUACAGUUGGACUUGUUUUAGGACUGACGGGGUAGGAGGCAUGUCCAAAUAGAACACUUGUAUCAUAGGCCUCUCAUAUAUAGCGGAGGUAGACACACGAUGCAACCUAUGCCAACAUAAUAGCACGGGCAUGCGGGGAGCCGGCGGCGUGUGCCGGCGCCCGGGCGGCCGGGGUGCGGUAUUGUGACGGUGUCACGGGGAGGAGCAUCCGUAGUCAGGCCCCGGGGUGUAGCCAUAUCGGUGAAUCUCAUUAACAAAUCUCGGUGUCGUGCUCCUGUGAUUGCUUGGUCCUUGGAUAAUUGACGGUAUACCUCGGAUUUAUUUUAACAGUUCUGCUAAGAGGUCAGAUUGGUAUAUGUAUAUGGUGCUUGCUAUCUAGGCACCUAGCUAGUUGAGUGAAGAGACUACUCUUUGUAGAUCAGCAGAGAAAGUGGUGCCAGGAAUUAUGUGCUGCAGCUGUAUCUAAAACAUGUUGUGUUAUUUCAAAAGAAAGGCAUUAGAAAGUGUGAAAAGUUGCUUAAAUCGUGCAUGCGUGUGCAGUUUGAAUUCAAGGUAUGUUCCGUGCAUCCGUACUAGAUAGCUUGAUCAAAUGGUGCCAGGAAUUACGUACUGCAGAAAAAAUGUAUAACAGUCACUGACUCACUGUAACGUGCUGUGUUUUCUCCAUGGAAACAAAUAGUACAAAAAGUUUGUAGAUGCGUAUCUGCAUUCCCAGAAGUAGAGUCUCCGAACUGGUUUUACUGAACCAUGGUAACAACUAACAAUGUGAGAUUUAAUAUCAAAUUGUUGAGCUGCAACUGCAGGUUGUGCAAUAAGUGCACGCAUAAAAUCUUCAUCUAGAGUGCACACAUAAUACAAAUCUUUUUUAGUUAUUGAUAAACUUGCAUAAAGAUAAACUAAGGACAAAACAAAGUAAACAUUAAAAACUAAAAGUAAAAACAAGGGCUCUAGUCACCUUACUAAGGUAGCAGAAAUGAUUCCCGCCAACGGCACCAAAAAAAGGAUUGGUUACCUUUGAUCUGGUUUCAGAUGUAGAUUGUUUUAUUUUUCCAAGAGAUGUUAUUGAAUCCAUGGGAAUGUCUGCUAAAGAUAAAGGUGGUUUAAUUUCUAUAAGCACUUGUUAAUAGAAUGCAGUUUCCCGGAUCGAAAACACAUGGUUUAUAAGAAGAAACAAUAGCAAGGAAAAUAAGACACGCUGCUAGCUCGCUUCGAUGUGUGUGGUGGUCCGGCCUAAGAUCGAUUUCCUAGGACGAUGAGCAGGUUGCUAAAGUGAAAAAUUACGUGGUAUUGGUAGGUACACCAAGCAGCGAUUGCCAUCCAACAUCGUAUAUUCUCUUUCCAUGUUGUAUAAUGGUUUCUCAUGUUUAAAGAAUAUUGAUAUUUCAGCAUCUGGCCCCCACAGCUGUACUCUACAUGCAUGUAUGGCAGCAAUAUGGCGGAACACUCUCUGUCUUCUCCCACACAAUAAAUUCAACCAUUUCUUUCACUUUGUCUAAUUUAAAACAUCCAUAUAAUUUAAACCAUAUAAGAGUUUUUGAAAAAAAAAUAAACUCCUUGCGUCGAAACCUUUAAUGAGAUCAAUCUUUGAUAUUUUUCAAUCAUGUUCAAACUCGAAUGCAUAUUUCACAUUUUGAAAAUAAUCAAUUUCACAAUGAUACAAACAAUUUCACUUUCUGUAGUUACUAUUUAACAAUUCAGAACAUAUAUCUCACUUUUCACUAACUUGUUUCAUAAAAAAUACAUUUAGUUCAAUUGCACAAUUUUCAAAACAGAUAUUUCACUCUUUUAAAAUAAAUUGUUACACACUUCCAAAUAAUCAGUUUCACAAUGAUACAUUUAAAUUUCACUUUUUGUAGUUACUCUUACAAUUCAGAACCAACAUUUUACUUUCCACUAGCUUGUUUCAACAAAAUCGCAUCUAUUUCUAUUACACAUUGUUGAAAUAACAUAUUUCACUCUUUUGGAAUAAACUGUUACACAUUUGUAAAAAAAUCAUCAUAAAAACACAUCUAUUUCAAUUGCACAUUUUAAGAAUUUAUUUCACAUUUCAAAAAUAAUCUGUUUCACAAUAAUACAUUAUAAUUCACUUUGUGUGGUUACCAAUUCACAAUUUCUGAACCUAUAUUACAAUUAUAUUUUGUGUGACACGUUUAAAUGUCACAACUAUUUCAAUUGCACAUUUUUAGUGUAUGUGAAACAGGUUUUUCUUGUAUCUGAAAUAUAAUUGGGUUAAAUAGAUUUCUAGCGAAAUGGGUUUGUUUCACAUAUUCCUAGUGAAAAAGGUUUGUUUCAAUUUUUCUAGUAAAAUCAGUUUGUUCAACGUACGAAAUGUGAAACAUUGAAAAUUAAAUGUGCUUGCAAUAUAUCCAAUAUUGUUCUAGUUCUAAAGGUCUUGGUGGCAGGAGUUCAAAUAUAAAUUAUUUCAAAAAUGAACUUAUAUUUCAAACGAUAUUGAUGAUUUAAUUUAGUGAAGGUGAAAUAAAAGGAUGGAUUUAUAUGUGAGAGAAGAGAGACAGUGGGUACUGUAACAAUGCUUUCAUCCCUGCCAUAUCAAGCACAAAUGCUUGUGGCCCAUAGUUGUAUUAUGUCUAGUAUUCAAUUUGAAUAAUAGAAAGACGGGAAUAAAAGUUGUCCAUCGCUCGGAUCUUAAAGCAUGUUGUCAAUGAUGAGAUCCUUGCCAGUAAGUACUGCUACCGGGCAAACUGACGUUCUGAGCAGGUUGCGGCAUGUGGUGGUGCUACCUCACUACGUCGGUGGAUGUGGUGGUCACCAAUGAGUCUUCAUAAAGGUUUCUCUCUUCAGAUCCGGUGCCUACUGCCGGGGGCCCAUUCUUGCGAGGUUGCGGGGUGCCUACUGUUGAGGGCAAGCCGCAAGGAAAACCCAUCAAAAAAGUUGCCGCGCACUUGCCGCUUGCCGCUCCGCCUUCCUGUCCGGGAGACGCCUCAACGCCGGACACCUUGCCACACACAUGUGACGCGCCGCUAGGGAAGUACGUGACGCCGCGUUCCUCGAGGCCGGCCCUGGCUUCACCGAGUGCAUUGGAGGACGACGAGACGAAAAGGAGCGGGGGACAUAGUUGCAGCGGCUAUGGUUCUACCCCGAGCCGUCAGGGAGAGGGCGCGGGGGUCGCGUAUCCGGUUGUUCGAGCUAGUUGAGUGUAUGCGUCCACGGCAGUGUAGUGCUCACAUCUAGGCCCUCAACACGUACCCAUCCCGUUCGCGUUGCCGCUGCCGAGUGUCGGCGCUGUGUGACGCUGCACGUGCAGCCAUGCGCACACGUCUUUGUUUACCACUCGGCUCCCAGAGCUCCCAUGUCCCCAACUUUCCAAUGCCAUUUUUGCCGGUGCCGAUGACCAUAGUACGGGAGCCAGCUCGGUGAUUAUGUUUGUUAUCAUCAUCAUGCGCUUGAGACUUUCCAAUAUCUUGUGGGCAUCUCGUAUCAUACAUGCCCAUCAUGUAUUCAUGCCCAGCAAAGAACAAACGACAACACACAAUGAUACUACACAUAAUUUGAUGGUAAAGAUCUAUUAGAAGUCCUGGCUUAUAAAAAGACACCACUUACUUUCAGAAAAAGGAUUCGGCAUCCCAAUUCACACCCAAAAAAAACAUGUACCCAUCUACAUGAACUUAGAAAAGUAAACAAAUACAUUUGGUCAUUGUUUGUUAUCAUUGUUUCAAAUAACUUAUCAUUUGUCACGUGGUAUGAUACUAUCUGUAAUUUAACAUCCUACGUUAUGCAUGUUAAUAUAAUUCCAUUAAUUAUUACGUAUCAAAUAAUAGCUAGACUGUGCAGGUGCAUGGGGUGAUGACUAGUGUGACGAAUUAUUACUGCAUUUAUUUCUUACUUGCUCCCAUUCACCAAACAAGUGUAUAUAUAGCUCACAUCCACCCUGGUUUGUAAUGAUCACCUAGCAAGGAACAGAGUGAAGAAAGAUACAUAUAGGUUUUAUUCAUCUCAAGUGAGCUAGCCGCUAUGGAUACAUUACUCCUCAAGACAAUUGUCCUCAAUUUUACUCUACUAAAGUCAUGUUUCAACAAUAGAACGGACAUUAUAGCAUAUGCACAUUACUACAAAUAUGUUAGAUUUGGGAGCCAUUAGGAAAAGAUUUGGUUGUAGUUGUUCAUUAUCUGGAACUGCAUAGUCGCCCGCACCAUUAUUAUAUGGUCCCACGAUGCACGAGACGAGCAGAGUUAGCAAGAAACUGUAGAAUAAGAGGAACCAGACUCUUGUUGGGUCUUGCAGACUAAGAGCAUGGUUAGUUUCAUGGGAAAGUUUUUCUUACCAGUGUAUGGAUGAGCACAAAAUAUUAGCUAUUAAUUAGUUUACAAACAAACUAUCUGGCUUAUCUCUACUAGUUUUUGUAAGAAGUGGUUAUGCCAAAUAUGGGCUAGCCAGGUCAUUGGUUGUAAACAAACUUUGCCCUACAAUUGGAUAUUUGCAAACCUUGAGAAACAUGAGUGCAAUGACGAUGCAAUUUCGAUGGUCAGGUUACACAUAUACACUUAGCCCUAAAACACACACUACACCACGGUACAGUAUUCCCUACUGACGUGUGUUGGAAAAGAUGUCUAUUACCGACCGAUCAGUAGUGGAGAAAACUCUCGUCAGACUGUUGGUCGGGAAAACCUUCGUAUGCUAACAAAUUAUCGGUCGGGAAUGCAUGCACAUUUGCCAUCGAGCGGUCGGUCGGAAAUUCUCUUGUACCCAUCGAACUGUGGGUCGGCAAAUAACGCCGACCGACCGCCUGUGGCUAAAUGGGCCAAGCGCGCGCAGACGCAAAUUUUUAGCGCUAAAUUUUGGCACAUCCCGCGAACCUCACCGCUCUUUUCCUCCAGGUCCCGUGGAAUCCCUAAUUCCCCCACCACGAGCCGCCACUCGCACCGCACAUCACGAGUCACGACGCUCACUGUUCUCUCCGGUCGGCCGUUACACCGCGCGCGUCGUCGUCCUCAAACCCUCCCGACGCCCCACACCGCCCAUCCCCCACGAACUCGUACCCUCUCCUCCACCAAGGUGCUCCGUCCCCAUCCCGUCACCAAGAACUCCGGCCUCGUCAUCGUCCUGGGCACCAGGUAGAUCCCGGUGAAGACUAGGCUCAACCAGUGUCAGAAGCUCCUGUUGGCCGUGGCGGGGCACUGCUCCACGCCAUCUUGCUUCUUCACUGCCGCCCCCGCGUCGUCCUGCCUCUCCACCGGUGCCCCCAAACCGGCCUGCUUCCCACCAUCGCCGCCCACUCCUUGCUGCCGCUGCCAGCAAUUUCCCACGGUGAGGCAACUCCCUCCCCCCCUCCGCUCUCCCCCUGCUCUGUUUCUCGAACCUGACAACCAAAUUCAUCUCCCAGAUCGGAACACAUCAGCACUGGCGGGUUCUUCUUCAGAAGACUAGACGUCUAGCGUUCAUCUUCAGAGACCAUAUCCAUUUGACGUGCAACCACACUCUGGUGAGUUUCUCUGCCCCGAGUCUUGACGACCUCCUUAUGUGUGGAUGUCAAAAGAUGUGUGUUGUUUUUGCAACUGUGCAAUGACGGGUGAGGCAACUCUCUUAAAAAUCCUUCAACAUUAUGUUUCUCGUCUGUGAUUUAGUGCACUGUCUGUGGUUGUUCUUUGCUUAGAAAACAUUAUCGUCAGAUCUGUUGGUAUAUGAUGACUUGAACUAAUUUUAGUUUCAGAUGAAUUUUGUUCAUAAGAUGUGGUGUGUAGAGGCUCUUUUUUCUUUCUUUCAGUAGAUGAUGUUUUGAUUUAGUAGCUUGGAGCCUGGCACUUUAAUUCAAAACUGGUGUGAAUACCUAAAAUGAUAAAAAGAGCAGGAAAUGGUGGCUAGCAAACUUAUCUUUUUUAUAAAAUUUAUGAGCUGAAUGUCCAGGUAAUGCUUUGUCUAUAACUAAUUUGGCUGCUAGAUUUUUUGAAGUUGUUAGACUGUACUUUGAUGGUUAUAUAUUAGAGCUAAAGAACAAUAUGUACACAACAAUAAAGAAGAAUAUGUACUUUUUCUCUUACGAGAGCAUCUCUAAGCUUUUCUAAUAUGUCAUCCUAGUCUAUUGCUAUUAGCUCCCAGCCAAUGCAGUGUGUGAACAAGUACUGAAUGUUUUGUUUAGGCUUUGGUUCUUAUGUGAUUUUUUAUUUAGAAAACCACAUCGUGGGCAUUCAUCUUGAAGUCAUCUAACGUGCUUGUUGCAACCACUUUGGUGAGUUUCUCCACCCCAUGUAUUGAGGCCCUCCUUAAGUGUGGAUGCAAUUAAUGUAUACAACCCCUUUUCACACUUUGGAUUUUCCUUAAACAUAGAUCAUGUAUGUUGAUUGCUGAAGUAGAUUACUUUAGUAUUGCAAGUGUUUUCACCUACAUGUGACAUCUGAACUAGCAGUUUUGUAGUACAAUCUCGCUUUUAAAGCUUUGAAAUUUCCAUUGCAGCCAUCAAAGUCUGUUCACCCUAUGAUUCAACUUCUAGAUAUUUCUCAUGGUAAUCAUAAUCCAAUUAAUUAUGUUGUUCAUGACCAUGUCCUGCUAGUGCGGCACCGUUUGAUUCGUUCCUGGUUUAGUGUCUUGCUUACAUGCUUGAUUGAGUUAAGUGUACAAUAAAGAAAGGGGCCUCAAUCUGUUAUUUAGAUAUGUUUUACAUCUACGCUUCUCUGAAAUAAAUGAAAUUUAGUGUUGAGCUGAACCAUACUACUUGGUGAGAAAUGGUAAGCAUCUGCUCUAUGGAACACCAUGUUUUUCUUUGUUGAAUUGGAUAUCGUACGCUUGGUCCUCCUUGACAAAUAACACCUUGUGUUCAACUUGUUUAUUUCAGAUUUUGAUUUCUAAUAGUUAUUCUUGUAUGGAGAAUGUGACACCACAUGUAAAACCUUGUAGGUGAACAUUUAAAGCACUGCCCAGCAAAUGAAGGGUGGAAACAGUACUAACCAGGAAUGCCACUAUUCAAUGGGAUCCGAAUGACGCCUGGAAUCCUGAAAGGUGGGUUAUUAUGUUUUAUUUGGCUAUUAAGUCGUACCUGCAGGAUCAAAUAUACAGACAUGGUAUAGUUAUCCCUGCAGGAUCAUGCUUGUUUUUAGCAAUAAUACAUUCUAGGGCAAACAAAAACAUGAGAUUAUACUGAUAUUAUGUACUCCCUCCGUCCCAAAAUUCAAGACAAGAAUUUUGGGACGGAGGGAGUAUGUACAUUCAUAAAAGGGGAACUUGUGUCUUUGGCCAAUUUUUUUCUCUUUCAAUGAAAUUUAUCAGGUAAUUUGGUUAUCCUUAAAUAAAGUUCCGUGACAUUCACUUGCUAUUCCUGCUGCUCCUCCUCCUGUUUAGACCGUGGGCAAUAUAUAUAAAUUAUGGCAUAUAUGUCAUUCCUGGCCAUUUGCUGUUAAUAUCAUGGCAUACUAAUCUCAGGUGUUAAUCUGAAACUACCACAGUAAUUGGUACGACCGGUAUGUCUGAAAGUUCAUCCAAGAAAUAAACAAAAGGGAAAUUGGGUUACAUUAAAUAGGACACUCUAAUAUACUUCCCUACAGUCUUCUAAUUACUACUGUCCAAGUGCUGAGGUUGCAUUCCUUGCAUCAUGUUCCCCUUAUUCCUUGAGUAAAAGGGUUGUGUAUAUGAAGAACUGUCAAAGUUUCUGCAGUCGCUCUACUGGUAUUCCUAUAUUUUUCCCAUCUGUACAAAAAACAAAAGCACCAAAUAUAUUCUUACCUCUUCCAUGUUAGGGGCACUUAUACAAGAAAGGAGAUGGUUUUGGAUAUGAAGGUAUAAAAAUAUAUAGUGCAUCAUCAAACAAUGGAAGAAGCUAUAGCAGAUCUGAAUAUCAACAAAAAAAUGCAGAACUUAAUUAGUUUCUGGAGCAUAUACUUAAAGGAUCAUAGAUCAUGCAGGUUCAUAACAUGGAAAUGCUCUUAGAAAGGUGGUUUACAUGGAUGUUGUCCUCUAUUUGUCUAACCAAAAGUAUGGCGAAUCUUACUACGAUGUAAUUGUUACACUGUCGUUCACUUACAGUAAGAUAGUAAGUGAUAAUUUUUCGCUGUCGUUUUUGUGUAUAUUUAUUUCUUUCUAAAAAAGUAGGGUACAAUCUGGAAUAUUAGUAUAUUGGUUCCAUCCUACUUGCUGUAAAUGCUUGAUUUUGAUGGAUUUUGUUCAUGGCUUUGAUUAUACAGUCUGGAAUUUUACCCUUUUGCGACAAAUUCAACAGAGUAUACAAUCCAAUACCAAUGAUUUCAAUUAUCAUGGUGUAUUCAGGUCAAACCUAAAUACUAGUCUGCGUCCGCCUACCUUGGCAGGGAUACCAGGUUAAUCUACUUUGGUGUUGUGGCCUCUUUUCUUCUUACUCGUAGUUUUUAGGAGCUAAGACGAUACUUUCGGGCAUUCUGAAAGAGUCACAUCUAUAAUUAGCUACCAGGUAGCUAUAUCCAGUGUGAAAUACUAGAAAACUGUACAUCUACUGAAAGAGUCACAGUUAUAUUUAUUUAGCUUCCAGCUCAUUUUAUCCACUAUCUAUAAAGUUGUAUGUUUAUUUUUUUGGAAACAAGUGUUGGAAUAUUGGCUAGUACCUAUGUACAGUAACUUAAGUAUAUCCUCAGCACACUCUAUGAUCAGCAAUCAUACAGAGUAAAUGAUGCAUUUCCUUUCAAGUGGAUAGACAAAAGGUGGACAGAGGGCUUCUAUGCCACAUCCAUGUCUACUGCUGGAUGUUGAUUGGCGGUCUUCAUGACCAGAAAUGCUAGUUUUGUAGAUUAGGCAAGUGUAUUCUUCUUUCUGCUGUUGUGUGUGCACAGUACACAUGUGAAUUCUGGCUGCAUUCAAUUUCAUAAAUUAAUUGAUCAUUCUAAUGAGACUUGUUUAACUUUUGUAGGAAACAACCAUAAGGACUCGACUCACAAUGACCCAUGAAGCCAGCGAUCCGCAUCACCGAAUGUUUUACUUUUCAUUUUGUACAACUGCGUCCUUUGUUGAACCUGAUGUAUGGUGUAUUGGUGAUUAUGUUUAGAACAGAAUGAUGUGUAUGUAUGUGACCAUUAGAGAAUGGAAUAAAAAAUGUUUGGUGCACCUGAUGUAUGAUGUCUUCGUGAUUAUGCUUAAAACACAUGAACUAUAUGUAUGUGACAAUCAGUACCAUAUGUUAGUUAAAGUUGUGAUUGGAUAAACAAAAUGUAAAUGAAUUUUUGGUCGCAAAAGAAAACGCUGGGCAAAACAAACCCUGCCCGACUGUCAGUUGGGAAAGGCUAAAAUAGGCCAAACAGAAUGUUGGUCGGGAAAGAAUUCCCAUCCGAUAGUUGGUCGGGAAAGGCCCACGGCUACCCCAACGGGCUGUUGGUCGGGAAAGGCCCAUGGCAAGCCCAACAUAUUGUUGGUCGGGAAAGAUUCGCCAUACCCAUAAAGCAGUCGGUCGGGAAAGAUAUGUCGGUCGGGUAAGGGUUUUCCCGUCUAGACUUUCCCCAACGGACACGAUUGGUCGGCAAUAGUGUUUCCUGACCGACUGUUUGUUGGCGGAAGUUGUUUUCCCGACCAAGUAGGUUGUUGGGAAUGUAGUGUUAUGGUGUAGUGACAUGUAUAUGUAGUUUUAAAAUAGUGUGCAUGAAUAUGUGUACCUCUAAGAACCACACGGUCGUGUAAGACAUACCAACAUCGGAAUGUCUUCUAAAGUCCGAGGUAGCUGAGUGUAUGCGUCUACAGCAGCGUAGUGCCCCGUCACAUUCAGGUCAUCAACACAUACCCAUGCCGCGCGCACUACCGCUGCCAAGUGUCGGCGCCACGUGACACUGCUCGUGUGGCCAUGUGCGUGUCUUGUGUUUACCACUCGGCUCCCGGAGCUCCCACGUCUCCUACUUUCCCAAGCCAUUUUUCCGGUGCCGGUGACCAUGUCAUGGGAGCCAGCUCUGUGAUUAUGUUUGUUAUCAUCAUCAUGUGUCUGAGACUUUAGAAGACCUUGUGCGCAUCUCGUAUCGUACUUUCCCAUCAUGUAUUCAUGCUAAGCAAAGAGCAAACGACAACACAGAAUGAUAAUGCACGUAGUAAAUGCACAUGCAAUGUGUGAUGAUGAGGCGUUGAGAUGUCAGCGUACCUGCAACUAAUGGUGGGCAUGUGUUGCGCUGUACUCUAUCGCGCGUUUAUAGCAAAACUCUCUUUCAACUAUUAAAGCCAUUUAUGUGUAACCAUGACACGCGCCAGCUGAUCACCAGUAAUACUACCAUGACACGCGCCAUACAUGUCGGUAUUACGUCCAUGCGUAGCAUAAGACAACACACCAUUAUCAUCGCAGAAUAUGACACGCCUUCAUACAUGCAUGCCGAAUUAAGGUUGUCACCAUCAUCAUGGAAGAAUAUGAGCACGUCUAGCUGUGAUAUUAAGGCGAAGGCAAUUAAAUGUCAUGAGCAUACCACAAGAAUAUGGCCAUAUACUUUUAAUUCAAGGCCUCGACAUGCGGAUCUGGCAGUGCACAAAACGUUGUUAUCGGCAACAACGACAAAAAUCAUGCGUGCAUGUGUGGGAGAUUAUGGUUCAGCUGCCGGUGACACAAGCAUGUUACACCUACUAUGUGGAAUAUUUUAGUGCAAGGGACCUUGUUAGAGUUGUGUCGAAUAUUGUGUACAAGUUAGGUUACAGUUGGACUCUGAGUUGUAUUGUGUUUAGAUAGGAUAUGUAGUCAUGUCCUAAUAGGAAACUUGUAUCCUAGGCCUCUCAUAUAUAACGGGGGUAGACACACGAUCUAACAUAUGCCAACAUAAUAGCACAGGCGCGCAAGGGGGAGCCGGCGGCGUGUGCCGGCGCCCGGGUGGCCGGUGUGCGGUAUUGUGACGGUGUCACGGGGAGGAGCGCUCGUAGUCAUGCCCGGGGAUGUAGCCAUAUCGGUGAACCUCGUUAACAAAUCUCGGUGUCGUGCUCGUGUGAUUGCUUGAUCCUUGGAUGAUCUACGAUAUGCCUCGGAUUUAUUCUAACAAGUGGUAUAAUGAGCUAGGUUGUUCGGAGGCUGUGAUUGAGUUGAUCUUGAGGAAUUUGCGUGGAGUUGCUGCGAGGAAAUCUAAUUCGUUUAAUAACGAGCGUCGAGUUGGAAGCGGCCGAAAGGUCGUACUCGGCAUGAUCAAGCUGUUAAUCGAAGCAGUUGAGAUCGAUUGGAAUUAGAAAUCAGCGACUGGAACGAGGGAGCAGCAGAUCAGAUGGCUCGGCUCGGCUUUGGAGGCCGCCUAGAAAAGCGUGUGGCUAGCUGAGCCCUGUGUGGCAUGGCGUGCUGGGGCGGCAGGCUUGGAGCCUGGAGGGCUAGCGAUGCUGUCCGGGUUGGAAGCGUGAGGGCGUACGUGGAAGCGCAAGGACGUGGCCAGGCUGAUCGGGAAGCCGUAGUGAGAUUUGUUUUGGAAAAGAAAAAGAGAGGACCAGGUUCUCGUGUAGGACACGGAAAGAGGCACAAACAGAUCGUUUUGAGCGGAGGGAAAAAGACCAUCACGUUGUGCAUCCAUUGGAAAGCAGAGACUUGGCAAGACAACACUAGCAUCAUAUAUUGAGCCAGGAGCAUAUCACGAUUUUUGCUAUUAGUACACAGGGGUGUACCUUAUCAGGUUUUGUUUGUGUACUUGGGGCAUUGUGGUGGAGCUCGGUUAAUUUUUCACAGGAUGAAAAUUUUGUUGGCACGACAGGGAUGCUUGAAGGUGUUGCAGGAAGUCAUGUCAGCUAAGAUGGAAUUAUCUGGUGAUGGAUGGAGAUUCGCGGAAGACGUUUUGGGAGUCUCGAGUGUGUCAUGCAGUCGGAUAAGUUUGGCUGGGCCAGACUUGGACAGUCUGACGGAUCGACGCAAGUCGGUUGGUACAAAAGACGGUGCGGGAUCAGCGGUGGCGACAUAGGAGCGUGAUGCUGAUGGUGGCCGACUUCUAGGACGUGGAAACACGUGGCGCAGGUUAGAGGACUUGUGUGGCUUCGACAAGGCUAUGGCGCGGGGUUGAUUCAAGACGGUGCACAUGAGAGCUUAGAUCGACGGGGCGCGGGGUGGCACGUACAGCCACCAUGGAGUCAUGUUGAAGGUGGAGCUGGAUUGAGGGGCUACGGCGUAAGUGCACAGAGAGUCGAAGCCUAUUCAGCUGGAAAAAAGUGAGUGACACGUAGUUCGGACUGGAGCCCAGUGGUCUGAUGAAAGCGUGAAACUCGUCAUCGGUCGGUGAUGAUCGGUGGUACUCUGCAGUGGGGUUGAGUGGUGUGGGUUCGCGGCCCUUGAGACUCGACCGGGAUAGCGGAGGCUCGACGCAGUAAUAGCAGCGAGGUGUGCGGUAUGCAUGGGACAAGGAGACGGGCCAGGGCUCUGGUGGUCAUACAUGUGGUGAGACAACUGUGAAUUUGACUCGGGAUGACUAAAAGCAAUGGUGAAAUUCCUUCAAGUUUCAGACAGGCGGUCAAGAAAGGAGCGGUGAUGUUGAGUUCAGGUAACUCUUAUGUGUGACAUCCAAUAUGUGAGUUGUUCACUUUCACGCAGGUCAGUGAUCAGUGUGUGAUGACGUUGGACUGAUACUCUGAAAGUUGGGAGCACAAACUAGAGUAACAAGGAACUUAAUUUUUCUCGAGUGUUGACUGUGGUCAUGAAAAGAAGGGACUACAAGUUGCAGGUGGAGUCAUAUGGAGUCUUUGGAGUAGCAGCGGUGCUCAUAGGAUAAGCUCAAGUCCAAUGUACAUGGAAGUUUGACGCAUUGACAAAUUCAAGGUGGUGAAGAAUAUUCGCCAAGGUGGAGUUUGUUAGAGUUGUGUCGAAUAUUGUGUACAAGUUAGGUUACAGUUGGACUCUGAGUUGUAUUGUGUUUAGAUAGGAUAUGCAGUCGUGUCCUAAUAGGACACUUGUAUCCUAGGCCUCUCAUAUAUAGCGGGGGUAGACACACGAUGUAACUUAAGCCAACAUAAUAGCACAUGCGCGCAAGGAGGAGCCAGCGGCGUGUGCCGGCACCCGGGUGGCCGGUGUGCGGUAUUGUGACGGUGUCAUGGGGAGAAGCACCCGUAGUCAUACCCCAGGGAUGUAGCCAUAUCGGUGAACCUUGUAAAGAAAUCUCGGUGUCGUGCUCGUGUGAUUACUUGGUCCUUGGAUGAUCUACGAUAUGCCUCGGAUUUAUUCUAACAGACCUUUUAGUGACACUACAUGGAUGCCGGAGACUCUCAUAUUUAAGGUGCAGGACCGCCCCUCACUAGUAGAAAAGGGGGAAAAGGCCCAGGCCGGGUCAGCCCAUUAGUCCCAGUUCAGUCCAGAACCGGGACCAAUGGGGGCAUUGGACCCGGUUCAUGAGCCCAGGGGGCCGGCCGGGCCACAUGGGCCAUUGGUCCCGGUUCGUCUGGACCUUUUGGUCCCGGUUGGUGGGACGAACCGGGACCAAUGGGCCUCGCUCCUGUCCCAUCACCAUUGGUCCCGGUUGGUGGCUUGAACAACCGGGACCAAUGAGGUGCCUAUAUAUACCCCCUCGCGUAAGAGCAGAGCACAUUGCUCUGUUUUUUCUGGCCGAGGGGGAGAGGGCUUGGUGGUGCUCUAGCUCACCUCCUAUGCACACAAGGUGUUCGAUGGAAUGCCCGAGCCACACUACUUAAGCUUCCUCCUCUCCAAGCUCGACCUCCAAACUCCAUUUUCCUCAAUAUUUGUCUAGGUUUAACGGUCCGUCACGCCCCGUCCCCGUCUUCACCGCCGUCGAUCACCCGCGCCGAGCUCAUCGCCGGCACCACCGUGGUGAGCCUCUUGUUCUUAUCUUCUUUCUGAAAGGAAAAUAUAUUCUUACUUGUAUGUUUACAUAGAUACUUGUAUUAUUUUCUUACUUUUAUUAUUGCAUCUUAUAUAGUGCGAUGGUUUUGGUAUCCGCCCCCGUCGGCUCUCGUCAUGUCUAUGAUUCGGAGGUGGUAUAUAUAUUAUCUUAAUAACUAUUGGUUCAUUUAUUGUUUAUGAAAAUUAUGCCGACCAACGUGACAUAGAUUUUAUUUAUCUAGGAUGUAUGUGAACCGGAAAUUCCAACCGACCCUAUUGUCGAGAGGUUAAAUUUAGUUGAAGAAGAAAACAAUUUCUUGAAGGAAAAAAUAAAAAAAAAUUGAGAAGGAGAAGAUGAUAUUGGAGUUGCAUGUUGCGGAUGUCGUCGAUGAUCACAAGAUCAAAAUUGAUGCAAUGCGCUUGAAGAUUAGAAAGAUUAGAAAAUAUGCCAUUCAUACCGAUGCUUGGUAUCAUUAUGCCGUUGGAUCAAUUGUUACCCUGGUUGCGAUUAUGAUCGCAUUUGUUUUCGCAUUGAAAUGUUUUACAUAGUUUCAAUGUAUGGUUUAAUUAAUUAGAUGCUCUGGAGAGCUAUAUGUUGUUAGAUGAGAACUAUGUAUGUACUUUGGUUUUAAUGUGAUGAUGAACUUCUAUUAAUUUGGACACUUAAUUAUAUAUAAUGCACGCAGAUGAACCGGCAAUGGAUGUACGGUGACAGACACACCUCCGAGUACAUUAAGGGCGUGCAAGAGUUUCUCGAUGCGGCUGAGGAAAACAAGCAAAAUGGUUUUAUGUGUUGUCCAUGCACUGAAUGUGGGAAUACGAUGUCUUACUCUAACCGGAAAAUCCUUCACUCCCACCUGCUUUACAAGGGUUUCAUGCCACACUAUAAUGUUUGGACGAGGCACGGAGAAAUAGGGGUUAUGAUGGAAGACGGAGAAGAAGAAGAGUACGAUGACAACUAUGUGCCCCCUGAAUACGGUGAUGCUGCAAUGGGGGGAGCUGGUGAAGAUCAAGAGGAACCAGACGAUGUGCCUAAUGAUGCUGCAACGGAUGAAGCUACUGAAGAUCAAGAGGAACCAGACGAUGUGCCCGAUGAUGAUGAUCUCCGUCGGGUCAUUGUCAAUGCAAGGACGCAAUGCGAAAGUCAAAAGGAGAAGCUGAAGUUUGAUCGCAUGUUAGAGGAUCACAAAAAAGGGUUGUACCCCAAUUGCGAAGAUGGCAACAUAAAGCUCGGUACCAUACUGGAAUUGCUGCAGUGGAAGGCAGAGAAUGCUGUGCCUGACAAAGAAUUUGAGAAGCUACUGAAAAAAUUGAAGAAAAAGCUUCCAAAGGAUAAUGAAUUGCCCGACAGUACAUACGCAACAAAGAAGGUCGUAUGCCCUCUAGGAUUGGAGGUGGAGAAGAUACAUGCAUGCCUUAAUGACUCCAUCCUCUACCGCGGUGCGUACAAGGAUCUAAACGCAUGCCAGGUAUGCGGUGCAUUGCGGUAUAAGAUCAGACGAGAUGACCCUGGUGAUAUUGACGGUGAGCCCCCCAAGAAGAGGGUUCCUGCGAAGGUGAUGUGGUAUGCUCCUAUAAUACCUCGGUUGAAACGUCUGUUCAGAAAUGGAGAGCAUGCCAAGUUGAUGCGAUGGCACAGUGAGGACCGUAAGAAAGACGGGAAGUUGAGAGCACCCGCUGACGGGUCGCGGUGGAGAAAAAUCGAGAGAAAGUACUGGGAUGAGUUUGCAAAGGACCCAAGGAACGUAUGGUUUGCUUUAAGCGCGGAUGGCAUUAAUCCUUUCGGGGAGCAGAGCAGCAAUCACAGCACCUAGCCCAUGACUCUAUGUAUGUAUAACCUUCCUCCUUGGAUGUGCAUGAAGCGGAAGUUCAUUAUGAUGCCAGUUCUCAUCCAAGGCCCUAAGAAACCCGGCAACAACAUUGAUGUGUACCUAAGGCCAUUAGUUGAAGAACUUUUACAGCUGUGGAAUGGAAAUGGUGUACGUACAUGGGAUGAGCACAGACAGGAGGAAUUUAACCUAAAGGCGUUGCUGUUCGUGACCAUCAACGAUUGGCCCGUUCUCAGUAACCUUUCAGGACAGACAAACAAAGGAUACCAUGCAUGCAUGCACUGUUUAGAUGACACUGAAAGUAUAUACCUGGAAAAAUGUAGGAAGAAUGUGUACCUGGGCCAUCGUCGAUUUCUUCCGACCAACCAUCAAUGUCGAAAGAAAGGCAAGCAUUUCAAAGGUGAGGCAGAUCACCGGAAGAAGUCUGCCAUGCGUACCGGUAAUCACGUACUUGCUAUGGUCAAUGAUUUACACGUAAUCUUUGGAAAGGGUCCAGGCGCACUAGCUGUUCCGAAUGACGCUGAGGGACACACACCCAUGUGGUAGAAGAAAUCUAUAUUUUGGGACCUACCCUACUAGAAAGACCUAGAGGUCCGCUCUUCAAUCGACGUGAUACACAUGACGAAGAACAUUUGCGUGAACCUGCUAGGCUUCUUGGGCGUGUAUGGAAAGACAAAAGAUAAACCUGAGGCAUGGGAGGACCUGCAACGUUUGCACGAAAAAGACGGGAUGCCUCCGAAGCAGUAUGAAGGUCCUGCCAGCUACGCUCUUACGAAAGAAGAGAAAGAAAUCUUCUUUGAAUGCCUGCUCAGUAUGAAGGUCCUGACUGGCUUCUCGUCGAAUAUAAAGGGAAUAAUAAAUAUGCCAGAGAAAAAUUUCCAGAACCUAAAGUCUCAUGACUGCCACGUGAUUAUGACACAACUGCUUCCGGUUGCAUUGAGGGGGCUUCUAUCGGAAAACGUCCGAUUAGCCAUUGUGAAGCUAUGUGCAUUCCUCAAUGCAAUCUCUCAAAAGGUGAUCGGUCCAGAAAUCGUACCAAGGCUAAGGAGUGAUGUGGCGCAAUGUCUUGUCAGUUUCGAGCUGGUGUUCCCACCAUCCUUCUUCAAUAUCAUGACGCACGUCCUACUUCAUCUAGUCGACGAGAUUGUCAUUCUGGGGCCCGUAUUUCUACACAAUAUGUUCCCCUUUGAGAGGUUGAUGGGAGUCCUAAAGAAAUAUGUCCAUAACCGCGCUAGGCCAGAAGGAAGCAUCUCCAUGGGCCAUCAAACAGAGGAUGUCAUCGGGUUUUGUGUUGACUUCAUUCCUAGCCUUAAGAAGAUAGGUCUCCCUAAAUCGCGGUAUGAGGGGAGGCUGACUGAAAAAGGCACUCUUGGAAGUGACUCAAUAAUAUGCAGGGAUGGAUAUUCUUGGUCUCAAGCACACUACACAGUUCUACAGAACUCUACCUUGGUGACCCCGUAUGUCGAUGAACACAAGAACAGUCUGCGCUCCAAACACCCGGAGCAGUGCGACGACUGGAUUACAUGUGAACACAUCAGGACUUUCAGCGGUUGGUUGGAAACACGUCUCAGAGGUGACAACACUAUUUGUGAUGAGUUGUACUUGUUGUCCAGGGGACCAUCUUUGACUGUAUUGACUUACAAAGGAUACGAGAUAAAUGGAAAUACAUUUUACACGAUCACCCAAGAUCAAAAGAGCACCAACCAAAACAGCGGUGUCUGCUUUGAUGCAGCAACCGGGAGGGGAAAUGACACAUAUUAUGGUUACAUAGUGGACAUUUGGGAACUUGACUACGGACAUGAUUUUAAGGUCCCUUUGUUUAAGUGCAAAUGGGUCAAUCUAUCAGGAGGCGCGGUACAGGUAGACCCAUAGUACGGAAUGACAACAGUGGAUCUGAAAAAUCUUGGGUACACCGACGAACCAUUCGUCCUAGCCAAUGAUGUGGCACGGGUUAUCUAUGUGAAGGACAUGUCUACCAGACCGAGAAAAAGAAAAGAUAAGGAAGCGAAUACAUCAUAUGAUGAGCCAAAGCGCCACAUAGUUCUUUCAGGAAAAAGGGACAUCCUGGGAGUCGAGGGCAAGACAGACAUGUCUGAAGAUUACGAAAAGUUUCAUGAAAUUCCUCCCUUCAAUGUCAAGGCUGACCCAAGCAUCCUGAUAAACGAUAAAGAUUAUCCAUGGUUACGGCGCAAUAAGCAAAUGACACAAGCGAAGAAAAAGUGAAGACUUUCUCCCACAACUAUUAUGAUGAUACCAUGCCAACUUUGUACCAGACAAGUAUGUUAUGCCAACUUUUUCAGAGUUCAGUUGAAAACUAUGAAUUUAGGUCAAAUUUUCUCUAUAGGUGCAUCUAUGUUCAUUUUUUUAGUAAAGUUAAUCACAAACUUGUGAUUCACACAAAUUUCAAAGAAUUCAAAUUUUAACUAUUAAAAUUUGAAAACUAAUGGCACUAAUAGAAAGUUUAUAAUUUUUCUAAAACUAAUGGCACUAACAGAAAGUUUAUAAUUUUGCUGACCUAAAAGCAAAAAUAAUUAAAAAAUAAAGCAAAAAAACAAAACAAAAUAAAUAAUACAGAAAACAAAAUAAAAAAUUGGAAAAAAAUAAAAAUAGCAAUAAUAAGUAUUUUGUUGUAAGUAGAAACAAAAUAAAAUAAAUAAAGCAACAAAGAAAACAAAAAAACUAAAAAAGUGUUCUCAAAUUUGAAAACUAAUGGCACUAACAGAAAGUUUAUAAUUUUUCUAAAACUAAAAGCAAAAAGAAUUAAAAAAUAAAGCAAAAAACAAAAGAAAAUAAAUAAUGCAGAAAACAAAACAAAAAAACUGGAAAAAAUAGGGCUCGCCCCUGGACCAUGACCAUUAGUCCCGGUUUGUGCCAUAAACCGGGACUAAAGGGUUGGUCCUCGUUGCGCUCAGAGUUUAGUCCCACCUCGCCAACCGAAGGGCGCCCACACCGGUUUACAAGCUCGUCCCUCUCUGCCUUGUUGAGCUCCUCUCAAAAUGAAAAUAGAUGCCUCUAUACAUGGAAUUUGACCUAAAUCCAUAAUGAAUUUCUCUGAAAUUCAUAGAAAUUGAUUAUGAAUUUAGGUCGGAUUUUCUCUAUAGGUGCAUCUAUGUUCAUUUUUUUAGUAAAGUUAAUCACAAACUUGUGAUUCACACAAAUUUUAAAAAAUUCAAAUUUUAAAACUAAUGGCACUAACAGAAAGUUUAUAAUUUUUGUGACCUAAAAGAAAAAAUAAAUCACUAAAAAACUAUAAGUAUUUAGUUCUAAGUAGAAAUAAAAAAAUAUAUAGCAAAAAAGAAAAAAAUGCCUAUAAUAUUUGUUAUGACUAACUAAAAUUACCAAAUUGAGUAUAAUGAUAAAACACAGUAAUAUUAAAUAUCAGGAAAAAGAAUGACUCAAAAANNNNNNNNNNNNNNNNNNNNNNNNNNNNNNNNNNNNNNNNNNNNNNNNNNNNNNNNNNNNNNNNNNNNNNNNNNNNNNNNNNNNNNNNNNNNNNNNNNNNNNNNNNNNNNNNNNNNNNNNNNNNNNNNNNNNNNNNNNNNNNNNNNNNNNNNNNNNNNNNNNNNNNNNNNNNNNNNNNNNNNNNNNNNNNNNNNNNNNNNNNNNNNNNNNNNNNNNNNNNNNNNNNNNNNNNNNNNNNNNNNNNNNNNNNNNNNNNNNNNNNNNNNNNNNNNNNNNNNNNNNNNNNNNNNNNNNNNNNNNNNAUUUAAACUAUUCAAAUUUUAAAACUAAUGGCACUAACAGAAAGUUUUUAAUUUUUGUGACCUAAAAGAAAAAAGAAAUCACUAAAAAACUAUAAGUAUUUAGUUCUAAGUAGAAAUGAAAAAAUAAAUAGAAAAAAGAAAAAAAAAUGCCAUCUACUGGGCCAGCAUGGUCUGAAUACGACUUGAAACCCAACCAUGGGCCAGGAUUCAAGCCCGCGGCAGGCCCAAUAGGCCCACACGCAUUGCAGUGUCCCAUUAGGCCCGUAAGCCUGCAGUUCAGAGGAGUUCGAAAGGGAACACAGAGCAGGGCUUAUAAACAGGUGCGGGAGCUCUUCAGCUAGCGAGGUGGGACUAAAAAUCCCACCGCACAGCACCGCGGCGCAGGCCAUUGGUCCCGGUUAGACGCACGAACCGGGACCAUAGGGGGGCAUUCGUACCGGUUCGUGGCACAAACCGGUACGAAUGCCUACCUAUGGUCCCGGUUCGUGCGACGAACCGGGACCAAUGGGCUCUGCUUCCCGCCCUUUGGGCUGCCGAAAUGAGACCUUUGGUCCCGGUUCGUAACAUUAACCGGGACCAUAGGGGGUAUUGGUACCGGUUUGUGCCACGAACCGAGACCAAUGCUUCAUGUAUAUAUACCCACCACUUAGCGGUUUCAGUUUACAUUGCCCAUUUCCCCCUGACGCCGUCGAGCUCAUCGCCGCCAGGCUGCCUCGCCGUCGCCGCCCACGUUGUUGCCCCUGCCCAGCCACCGAGCCCACGCCGACACCGUCUGCCGCCCACGCCGUUGCCGUCCGCCGCCCCCGAGCGUGCCCUGCCGCACCCCCUGCGUCCCCGAGCCCGUCCGCCGCCCCCGAGCGCGCCCUGCCUCGCCGUUGUCCCGUGGAUGCUAUCAGGAGUCUCAAAAUUGCCACCUUAUGACACAAUGGAUUAAUAUGAAGGUCAAGGAAGCUGUUGGCUCUGAUUUUUCUACUGAACCCGGCGCAACUUUUCACUGCCGGCCGAUUUCAGAAGGAUAUGCUACGGUGAUGGUGGAUGAAAUAACGGAGGGAUUUGAGGACCUCCAGCUUGACCACCCUACCGGUGAAGGGGAGACUCGACUGGGUUCUGCUCUGAAGACUCCAUGCCUAUGGCGGAAGGAGCUCAUCAACCUUCCUAACUGGACACCUCCUCCUCCUCCUCCGGCGAGUCAGGGCACUCCGCCUCCUCCACGGCCUCCUCCUCCAGCGAGUGACGAUCAGGGCACUCGGCCGGCUCCUUCUCCUCCGCGUGGCGGCACUCCGCCUCCUUCUCUGCCUGCACCGGCGCGCCCGAGCAGCCAGCCUCCUCCUUCUCCGCCUCGUCAGCAAGGGCGGAAGAGACCCGCCGCCGCUCCGGCUGCUCCGGCGCGUCGUAGUCCUUCUCCUCCUCCUUGUAAGCAAGUAAAGAAGACAGCCGCUCCGUCUGCUCUGCCAGCGUCUAGCAGUACAGCCAGAGGCGGGAGGACAUACAGAUUCGGUCCUUCUCUGAAGACUCCUGAGAAGUUACCAUACGAGAGGACCCCGGAGGAGAACAUCGAGAUCGCGCGAGAAGGAGUGAGGAACUUCUUUGAAGGGGUGAAAGCAAAGAAACAUCCACCUCCGGAGGAGAAGGUAGAUCCGCUGAAAGCGAAGCGCACUCUGGCUGCCCUGACAAAACUACCCAAGUCUCCGCCGAAAGGCAACUAUGAGCGCAUUAUUGGAAAGGCAUUUGCCGAAGCGGAGCGGUCGGGAAGUACUGUCAGUGAUCAAAGGAUGAAAGAACGACGAGCUGGGAAACAAAUUGCCCAGCUUGGCGAACAAGCGAAGCAAUCGUGCCCCCCGCUCAAGGUGCCUAGCGACAUCGUCGCUAAUGAUCCGAGGAUGGUGCCCGACUAUAGCAAUCUUGGAGAUUACCUGCCCGACAAUGUACAUUAUGAUUUCUUGGAGGUGCAGAUACAAAGAUAUGUGUACGGAAAGCCUCUCGUCAAAGAUGAAAGAUCUCUAUCAACAAUGAUGCGAAGAUUGCAUGAUUGGUACUUGAAAAUAUGCAGAGAGUCUGGGGGGAGGAAUACUUUGUAUGUGAGAGUUAAAAAAGGAGCAUGACCUCGUUGGAAUUGAACUGUUGCCUGUUCCAUUUGAGGAGUUCUUUCAGUUUUUCAAUCAAUUGGCCCUCGAUAAAGCAACGGUCAUCUGCUACUGUCUGUAAGUAGUACUACUUUUGUCAUUAAGUCUCUCUAUAUAGCUCAGCUCUUUCAUUGCAUGUAUUUAUAAUUAUCCUCACUAUAUUAUGCAGAUUGAAGAUCGUCGAAUUGAAGAAAAGACAAGUCGGUGAUAUUGGGUUCAUUAACAUAAAUCUCAUAGAUGCAACUGAGCUUAAAUUUUAUGCCGCACAUACCGAGGCCAACUUGCUACAAUCGUUGGUAAUAAAUGAAAACAAAGAUAUAAUACUCUUUCCUUACAACUUCAAGUGAGUGUUACUGUCUUGUGCAUAUUCGGUUUCCUUUAUAUAUUAGUCAAGGUUAUAGUAAUGUAAUUGAUGAGUUAUGCAUGCAUGCGCGGGUUCCACUAUAUUCUCCUAGAGAUUAAGCUUGAGCAGGGAGUAGUAACUGUCUUGGACUCUAAACGAAAAGAUCCCCAGGAGUAUGCGGACAUGACUCAAAUGCUCGAGAAGUAAGUUAAAUCGAUCAUUAUCCACCAUAUCAGCAACUUUGUUCAUUUCUGAUAUCAAGUAAUUGUUUUCUUUGUCUGGCAGAGUUUGGAGAAAAUUCACCAAAAAAGCUCCGGAACUGCCGAAGAAGCUGGAAUUUAGACACCCGAAAGUAAGUACUAUAGUAGUAUUUUCCGCACAUCUCCUAGUGAUUCAAGCGCUAGUUUCAUCAAUACUAUAUUGAUUGACCUCUAUUUCUUGUAAAGUGGUUGUGGCAGGAACAAGGGAACGAUUUUUGUGGAUACUACGUGUGUGAGUCCAUCUGCCACACGACCUGUGAGCGGGGCUACUCUGGCGAACAAUAUGAAGUACGUAAAUAACAAUAUUCACAAUUUUAUUUUAUUACCAUCAUUUGUGUUGAGUUUCAUUCAUUCAUAUAUAUAUAUGUAUUGACCCCCUUCUUCAAAGUAGAUGUUUCGGAUGCGGGAUGAACUCCUAGCACCAGAUCGCAUGUGAGCAAUUCAAGAAGAAUUGUCAGCAUUCUUUCUUGACCACGUGAUCACUGAAGACGGAUAAUACUAUGUGGACCAUGCGUCCGUAUGUUAGGAGAUUAUAUUUGUAAGAGAUAAUUAUUGUAUAUAUGUAGCCGGUAGUGUCGGAUAGAUAUACGAGAACUUGUUGUUCGACCAAUCUCUCGGAGAAGGAGAGGUGGUCGAUAUCACUUCUCUCUGUAUGCAUAUAUGUUCAUGACGAUCUUCUGUUUCCUUCGUUUGCUUACUAGCUAGCUAGCGUGUCUAGUCCUCUCUAUACGUAUGUAUAGUACGUAGGGUCGACCAAGCACGGACAUAAGAGAGGACACUUCUCUCUAUUAAUUAGCUAGCUAACACAAUAUAUGAAACACCUAAAUUAACCNNNNNNNNNNNNNNNNNNNNNNNNNNNNNNNNNNNNNNNNNNNNNNNNNNNNNNNNNNNNNNNNNNNNNNNNNNNNNNNNNNNNNNNNNNNNNNNNNNNNNNNNNNNNNNNNNNNNNNNNNNNNNNNNNNNNNNNNNNNNNNNNNNNNNNNNNNNNNNNNNNNNNNNNNNNNNNNNNNNNNNNNNNNNNNNNNNNNNNNNNNNNNNNNNNNNNNNNNNNNNNNNNNNNNNNNNNNNNNNNNNNNNNNNNNNNNNNNNNNNNNNNNNNNNNNNNCAAAAACCCCAGCCACAGAAAUGCUGACGCAUGGAUGCCUAUUGGUCCCGGUUGGUGCCACCAACCGGGACCAAAGGCCCUCCUGCCUGGGCUCCGCGCACAGGCCACGUGGAGGCCCAUCUGUCCCGGUUCUGGACUGAACCGGGACUAAAGGGACAGGGCAUUAGUAACGACCCUUUAGUCUCGGUUCAGGAAUCGGGACAAAAGGCCCUUACAAACCGGGACAAUGGGCCCGUUUUCUACUAGUGCCUCUCCAUCCAUCAACAUUACUUGCCAGAGCAAGUACAUCCUGUCCACCUAAAAUGUGAACUUCUCUUUUACAAUUUUCUUGAAUCGGCGAACUUUUCUAGAAUGGAGGAACAUUGUUUUGGAAAUUGGUGAUACAAUUUUUGAAAUUCACGAACAUUUUUUGAUUCAACAAAUAUUUUAUUGAAAUGCAUGAUCAUUUUUUGAAUCAAUGAACAUUUUAUGAAUGAAUAGAAUAUUUUUUGAACAGUUUUUUAAUUUUUAGGAUAUUUUCCAUUCAUGAAUAUAUUUAAAUUGGCAGAAUUUUGUUCAAUUUCAUUAACAUUUUCACUUUAUGAUUUCCCGAACAUUUGUUUUCAAAAUUUCAAACAUUUUUUGAAUAGGCAAAUAUAUUUUUAUGAAAUCACAAAUAUUUUCUAAAUCCACGAACAUUUUAUAAUUUAUUAAACAUUUUAUUUUAAAAAUCUCAUUUACUUUUUAAUCCACAACCAACCAACCAGCUAGGUCAACACGUCUGGGUUGGAUCGAUCCAACCGGCUGCUGGUCUCGAGUCAAUCUAUGUAUCGGAUGCACGGCAGCUAACAAUGGGGACUGUUCCGGUUAGGUCAACUCACGCCUCGAACGCAUCGCUCGAUCGGGCCAGCAAACUACGUACGCGUACGAGACUCGCUCGCAAUGAUCAUUCGGGUUCAGUAAGCAGCGAAGGGAUCAAUCGCUCGGGUUUAGUUAGCAGGGCAGGUAUCACUAGGGUUCAUUUAUCGGCGAGGGAUCGAUCGCUUCAGUACGUACCGAGAAAGAUCGAUCGUUGUGUUCAAUACGUAGUACAUGUGAGGGAUCAACCGCUUGUGCUUAAUACGUAGUACGUGCGAGGGAUUUAUCGAUCGAUCAGUUUCUGUAGGCAAACGACUCACUCGGAUUCAGUUAGCGAAGGGCUCAUAUACGCAUGUGUAUAAGAGAAACACGUAAACCUCUGCAUCGCUCGUGCCCGACCACUCACCGUAUACCGAGAAAUCUUAAAAAAAAAUCUCCGUCCUCACUUCUACCAUGACUAUUUACGUAAUUGACGGCACAAAGAAUAUCAUGCAGGUGCGCCUCCGGCCCGUCUAGGACAAAAAAUCUAUUUUCUGUCAUAAUUUUUUUAUAGAAGUAGGAGCCUAUCACAUCUAUAAUAAUACGUGUUUUUGUCACAAUUAUUGUCAUAGAAGUGUCACAUUCAUAACAAAAAAAGUUAUUAUUUGGGUCAUAAUAUCACGGAUGUGUCUUUAUUGUAGUGCUUAUAAUAUAGGAAAAGGAAUCACGUAAAGACAAGAAUCAUCAUGCUACAAGAAAAGAGCCAUCAUGAUUUUUAUUUUAAAAGUCCAUCAUCACACACGACCAAGUUUCCCUACAACGAUACAUGCCUUGAAGAAUCCUCAUGCUACAAGAAAAGGGCCAUCGUCAUGUUUUUAUUAACUAGCAUAUAUGCCCGUGCGUUGCAACGGGAGAAACUUUUGAUGUAGAUUCAAAUUUAGUAAGAAUUGUUAAAUCUUGUUCAUUUCACCGCGCGCACCUUCUUCUUGUCAACUUUGACAAAGCGCCCUUCUUUUGUCCAACUUUGACAAAUUCUAUAUGAAUAUGGAUAGAGGAAGGUAAUAAUUUUGAAAAAAAAAAUCUAGUGCACUCCAUAUCUUAAAUAGUCACAAAUAUGGUUACUCACCCCGCAAAAAAGCUACUUUACUCUCUAAUGAUUGGUCUUGUGAUUGUGUAAACAUAACGUAAUUGUCGUCGUGUCUACAAGAGUUUCACUAAAAUGGAAAAAAUGGAAAAUGAGCUAGGAACCGAGGAAGAAAAUUGUGGAAGUUACAAUCUUUUGUUCAAAAUUGUACAAUUAAAAUAUGCUCGUAUGUUGCAACGGGUGAAAAACUAUUAUCCCCAUAUGGUCAUAUCCUCCUACUAAAUGAACACGUUGUCAAGACUCAAGAAUAGCUAUGGAGAUGUGGUAGAGAUAAAAAAAAGCUUUGAAAUUAUAUACUAAAAUGACAUAAGGACUUUUAAAAUGCACUUGAAUCUAAAAGGGCUACGAUGUCAACAUGGCCUAAUUUCACAAAAGCAUCCAUGGUAAUUUUGGUCCUAUAAAGGCAGACUCCAUACACUUCAAGCAUCAGAGUCGUUGUCUCCAAGCUUGAUGUCCCUCUAGCCUUAAAGUACGUCUCCAACAAAUGAAAAAAGUAAUAUUAAUUAGUCUCACAUAUGAGAAAGCGUUGUAGCCGGUGAUGUUUAUUAAUGGAUCGAUUAGAAGCAAGCUGAUCCAAGACUGUCGAACAACACAAAAUGAUGAGUCAAAAAAGUGAAAUCACUGUUUGGAACAAAAAGAUAAGAACAAACCAAUAUUUAAAAAAGAAUUCCAAUACAAUUAAGGGUUCGUCUGUGGUAAACCUUUUGUUUGGACACACCAGGUGAGCUACCAACGUGCGAGACGUGAUGAGGCUAAUUUGAUGCGUGCUCAUAUAUGCCUGAUUGAUUAUGCAUUGAUUAUUGGAAUGACAACCAGAUUUUUUAUGUUUCAGAUCAGCCAGGACAUACAUGUAUGUGAUGUUCGGAUCGGCCAUAGGUUAUGCAGGUGUUUAAUUAGGAGAAAAAAUCACACGAGUCAGCAGCAGCAUGUAGAGCUCAUUUUAAGGAGAGCGCUAGCCAGAGGCUGCAAAAAUCCCUCCGACGCCACUUUGCUCUGCUUCAUGUGGCCGGUUAGCACUGCCGUCCGUCGAGCUGCCCCCGCUGCUCGGCUUCUCUCUCCCUCACGCCUCCCUAUCCAUCUUGCUUCGUCCGUUGAGCCGCCCCCGCUGCUCAACUUCUCUCUCCCUCACGCCUCCCUCUCCAUCUGGAUAUCAAUCCCUCUUUUUGCCCUUUACUUGUUUGAUUUCCAAGCUUGCUUUUUGAUUUCCUAAGCAACAUGUAUUUAAACUGGUCUGCUUCGAUCUAAUGAAGCGAGGUGGGACUAUUCUAUGGAUGCACGAUCAUGGAAGGGCUGAUCAAACUUUCACAACCAGGAUAGACCAACGAAUCGUUGAUCGAUACUGGCUGCAUGAUGGCGAUCAGCACUCUGAGGUCGGCGUUGAGCGAGAGGCCGCGGGCCGGGCCGCCGUGGACGUUCAGCUCAUCCACAUAUCCGGCAUUCAGGGACACAUCCGUAACGCGGAGCUUCGGCGGCUGCGGGCGGUAGACGAGGUACACGGUGAGCACGGCCACACCCAUGACGACCACCGCCAGCCAGAACACGAUGCCGCAGAGGGUGAAACAGAAGGCCGACAGCUUCCUGUGCUUUGCCUCCAACGAGAGGAAGCCCGGGGAGCCUUUCCGGUGUCCUCCUCCCCGGUGUCCAGCAAGAUGUCCUGGCGGCGUUUGCGACGGUGACCUCUGGUGAUCAUGGACUCAUGAUGCUGGUGUUGCUGCGGCUCUCGUUGCCCGGUACCGGCGUGGCCACUUGGUAAGGGCGCGCGCCUUUAUCUAGCUUGAUCAUGGUGACGCGCUCGACUCUGGUGGUGUUCAUCCUGAAGCCACCGUUGCCAGUCAGGCGCGGGCCCAUCCGCAGCGCCGGGAUCGGCCCUGGGAACCUCGUCCUAUGCUCUCCCGGGACAUGCUUGUACAUGUACCAUGGCUUGUCGACCACCAUCGGCGGCAGCAGCGCUGGCGGUGGCUGCCCAUGCCUGUGCCACGUCGCCAUGUAGUACGGCCUAAAAAGCUAGUUGAUCUUGCCGAUUAAUUUCAUCAGACACAUAUGCACGUAUCUACAGCGAUUGGAUCGUUCUUUUGUUUUCUCGGUACAGCUUUUCUUCUUCAUUUAUAGAUUAUUAUUUUUAUAUGCGAGGACUUUAUUUAUAGCAUACUGAUUGCAUAGAGUCCAAUCCAAAUACUUACACAACUCAAAAAGUUGAAACCAUGUUACGGGCCUGGGGCUUUUUUUUUUGCAAUGUUUUUUUUCCUUGUACGUGUGUAAAUUUAUUUUUAAAUCUCAGCCAUCAAAUCUUCAUGAUUAACAUAAAAUUAACGGAUAUAAAUAGAUGACGUAUGGAGAACUAUGAAAGGUUCCACCCUUUAAUAUUAGGUAUAGAUAUAGAUAUAGAAAAGGCCAUCGUCACACACGAUCAAUUUCCUUCAACAAUAUAUACCUUCUCCGUUUUGAAAAAAAAAGGUAAGAAGAUACGUAAGAAUAAUCACUUCUUUCUUCCUUUCUGAACAAAGAAAAAAACAGAUAUGUACAAAUUUUCAUGGUAAAGAUCUUUUGGAAGUCCUGGCUAAUAAAAAGACACCACGUACUUUCGAAAAAAGGAUUACGAGAGAAGAGCCAUCGUGAUUUUAUUUUAAAAGGCCAUCAUCACACGUGACCAAGUUUUUCUACGACAAUAUAUGCCUUCAAGAGUCAUCAUGCUACAAGAAAAGAGCCAUCGUGAUGUUUUUCCUUUAACAGUUUUGCUAAAGUACAUUUAGAUGUGCUCUAAGUAUUGUCCAUCUAAGUUCUAUGUCGUCAAUUUUACGCUAAGAUUUAUGCAAACACUUUCUUUUAGCUUCUUUUGUUUUUAGUUUGAUUAAGUCACAAUAACAAGGAUCCUUUUUAAAAAAAGGCCAUCAUCACACAUGAUCAAGUUUUCCUUCAACAAUAUAUGCCGUCUCCGUUUGGAAAAAAAGAAGGAAAGAGAUGCAUAAGAAUAAUCACGUUCUGUCUUCCAUUGAUCCAUUCUAAACAAAGAAAAAGGAUACAUACAAAAUUUGAUGGUAAAGAUCUAUUCGAAGUCCUGGCUUAUAAAAAGACACCACUUACUUUCAAAAAAAGGAUUCGACAUCCCAAUUCACACAGAACAAAAAACAUCUACCCAUCUGCAUGAAGUUAGAAAAAUAAACAAAUACAUGUGUUCAUUGUUUGUUAUCAUAGUUUCAAAUAACUUAUCAUUUGUUCCGUAUUAUGAUAUCUGAAAUUUAACCUCCUACGUUAUGCAUGUUAUAUAAUUAUGUUAAUAAUGAUGUAUCCAAAUAAUAGCUAGACCAUGAAGGCAGAUGGUGUGAUAACAGUGCAAUGAAUUAUUACUGCAUUUGUUUUUUCCUAGCUCCCAUUCACCACACAAGUGUAUAUAUAGCUCACAUCCACCCUGAUUUGUAAUGAUCACCUAGCAAGGAAUAGAGUGAAGAAAGAUACAUAUGGGUUAUUCAUCUCAAGUGAGCUAACCACUCUGGAUACAUUACUCCUCAAAAAAAUUGUCCUCAGUUUAACUCUACUAAAGUCAUGUUUCAACAAAAUAUAGAACGUACAUUAUAGCACACACACAUUACUACAAAUAUGUUAGAUUUGGGAGGUAUUAGGAAAAGAUUUGCUUGUAGCUGUUCAUUAUCUUGAACUGCAUAGUCGGUUGCACCAUUACUAUAUGGUCCACGAUGCACGAGACGAGCAGAGUUAGCAAGAGACUCCAGAAUAAGAGGAACAAGACUCUUCUUGGGUCUAGCAGACUAAGAGCAUGGUUACUUUCAUGGGGAAGUUUUUUUACUAUUGUAUGGGUUAGCACAAAGUAUUAGCUAUUAAUUGGUUUAAAAACAAACUACUUGGCUUAUCUCUACUAGUUUUUGUAAGAACUGGUUAUGCCAAAUAUGGGCUAGUCAAAUCAUUAGUUGUAAACAAACUUUGCCCUACAAUUGAAAUCUUUGCAAACCUCGAGAAACAUGAGUGCGGUGAGGAUGCAAUUUCGAAUAUAGUCAAGAAAAGUUGCACAUAUACACUUAGCCCUAAUACACAUGUAUAUGCAAUUUCAAAAUAAAACACAUGAAUAUGUGUACCUCUAAAAAACACACAAGUUAUUUGGUCGUUUAAGACAUACCAACAUCGGAAUGUCUUCUAAAGUCCUCCAACUGUUCAAGCUAGCUGACCAUAUGGUCUACGGCAGCGUUGUACCCGUCACAUGCACGUGGUCAACACAUACCCAUCUUGUUCAUGUUCCCCGCUUCCAAAUNNNNNNNNNNNNNNNNNNNNNNNNNNNNNNNNNNNNNNNNNNNNNNNNNNNNNNNNNNNNNNNNNNNNNNNNNNNNNNNNNNNNNNNNNNNNNNNNNNNNNNNNNNNNNNNNNNNNNNNNNNNNNNNNNNNNNNNNNNNNNNNNNNNNNNNNNNNNNNNNNNNNNNNNNNNNNNNNNNNNNNNNNNNNNNNNNNNNNNNNNNNNNNNNNNNNNNNNNNNNNNNNNNNNNNNNNNNNNNNNNNNNNNNNNNNNNNNNNNNNNNNNNNNNNNNNNNNNNNNNNNNNNNNNNNNNNNNNNNNNNNNNCUCCCACGUCUCCAACUUUCGAAAGCCAUUUUUUCGGUGCCGGUGACCAUAGCACGGGAGCCAGCUCCGUGAUUAUGUUUGUUAUCAUCAUCAUUUUCUUGAGACUUUGGAAUACCUUGUGGGCAUCUCAUAUCAUACUUGCCCAUCAUGUAUUCAUGCCUCGCAAAGCAAACGGCAACAGACAAUGAUAAUACUUGUAGUAUACGCACAUGCAGUGUGAUGAUGAGACGUUGAGAUGUGAGCGUAUCUGCAAUGGUGGGCAUGUGUCGUGCUGUAUUCUAACGCGCGUAUAUAGCCAAACUCUCUUUGUAACUUUUCAAGCCAUUUCUGUGUGACCAUGACAGGUGCAGAACCAGCUGAUCACCAGUAACUUUUUUACCAACAUGUGUUUGGAGAAUUGGGAGUCGUACUUGUCGGCUGUACCUCCAUACGUAGCAUAUGACAACACAUCAUCAUCAACAUCAUUACCAUGGAAGAAUAUGACAGGCCUUCAUAUAUACAUGCAUGCCGAAUUAAGGCGAUAUCACCAUCAUCAUUGAAGAAUAUGAGCAUGCACGUCUAGCUGUGAUAUGAAGGCAAUCACUAUUAGUGUCAUGAGCAUAUCACUGUAUGAGGUCGUAUACAUUUUUGCUUCAAGUCACCAACAUGCGGAUCUGGCACUGCACAAAACGUUGUUAUCAUCAACAACUAAAAUCAUGUGUGCAUGUGUGGGAGAUUAUGAUUAGGCUGCCGGUGACACAAACAUGUUACACCUACUAUAUGGAAUAUUUUUAGGCAAGGCGCCUUUCAGUGACACCACAUCCACAUGGAACUGAAGCCUGGUGCUCUUUUCCUCUAAACAAGAUUUAAAGGAGAAGGCCACAAGUGUUCGUAAAUAAGCUCCAAGUGAAAAUGCAUGACAACAGGGGUCACUGUCAUGUCACAAUGGAAACAAAUGGUAAAAAUAUGUCCAAAAUUAAUAUGUAAAUAACUGAGUUUUCACGGAAAAAAAACAGAGUCCUGACAUUUAUAUGCUGCGUAUUACUGCAGUACGCCAGAAACAGCUGGGAAAUUAAGUCUAAUAAAAUUCACAGGCAAAAAUGGAGCUAGUGACAGCAGAUUGUACCAAAGCCUACUGUAAGAAUAGUGCACACAUAUAAGGUAUUGUUUGUUUCAUAGGAUAGGAAUAUCAUAGAAAUAAAAAAAUCAAAGAAAACACAUGGCAUACAUCUCAAUUCGUAUAGGAAAACAAAUGUCAUUAGAUUCACCGCUUUUGAAGUGGCUUCUACAAGAUAAUCGUUUCCUAACGCCUCCCAAAUCUAAUUAACAUACUUGUGGUAGUGUGCACAUAUGGCACAAUAUAUAUUUCGUAUUUCCUAAAAACAUGACUUCUACAAAAUAAAAUGAGAGGAAUUGUCUUAAGUACUAUCCACCAUGACUAACAUACUCGAAGAUAAAAUGUGUGGGCACGAUGGAUGUGUAUCCUAUCUUUAUCUGCUUCUGGUUGUGUGAUCACUAUGAACCACGGUUGAUAUAUAUAUGCACGAACACUUGAUGGGGAGGUCGCCAAAAAAUAAAUGUCAUAACAACUCAUCAACGAGGUGGAUGGCCAUGAGUAAUUGGUUUUUUGUACUUUUUCUUUAGGUUUGCUUGAUUUUGUACCAUCACUUUUUCAACCAAGUGAGCUUAUUGUACUUGGUUAAUACUAACACUAGUACUUUUAAGGUCAUCACAUACGCUUAAAAAAACAUAUCGUACACGCAUAUGUGAAUCAUUGUCUUGCAUGGUUUGCUAUAGGGGGUGUAUCACAUGUGUGAUAGGGUGCUAGGAUGCAGAAAAUAUUGUAAAAGCGAUCAUAUGCGAUGCACGGGCCUAUCACACACAGGAAGCAAGAAAAAAUCGUUUACAAAGCAUCCAAUGUCCCAGAUAUUUCAUUGUCAAGAACAUAUGGGCUUAUCACACAUGCUAUGUUGUUUCACAACAUUGGUGAUGCGGCCAACAACGGAGGGGCCUAUCACACACAAUACUAGGGCACACGAUUUGUGAUGCAGCACGCAUCACACAUGUUUAACAGCUAAACGUGUGUAGUGUCUACCAAUCGCACAUGUUUUGUAUAAGCUAAGCUUGUGCCAUAAGGUAGCCUAUCACACACUCUUUGCAAUAGCGCACCAUUUGCGAUACGUCGACCAUCUCACAUGUUUGGUGACAAAGAAACGUAUGUAUUGUAGGGGAAUGUUGCACACAUUUUUCUUUCUAAAACCAUGUGCACCGUAAUGACAACCACAAUUAGUUAUUUUCUAUAAUUUAGUUUCCACGGUUUAGAAUUCUUUAUAAUUUGAAUUCAAAAGAAGAUAAUCAACAUAUUUCAUGUCUAUCAUACAUGCCCAAUUUGCAUAGGUACAACCACCUUGCAUAAUUCACAUCACAGAAGCAUAUAUUCAAGCAUUCAAAAGAACCAAAUAGAAAAACCAUUACAAAAGCACCAAAUUAAAACAAGAACAGCAGUAGCAUUAAGGAGCGGAAGAGAGACAGACGAAAUAUAUUUUGGUUGUUGGUCCAGGUGAAGAAGCAGAAGGCCUAUAUCCUGCCCUCCUUCAUGAUGAAGGCACGCACAAAUUUAGUCCAACCCCUUGUGAGGACAGUCCGCCCAACCUUCACCAUUUUGAGGAAAACUUUUGGUCUAUCAUAGUAGUUAGGGCCAAUUACUUUAAUUUUCAUUUGUUUGGCACCCAUCACAUGGUUUUGCAAUAUCUUCAGUAAACUGGUUUGGAAACUACAAGAACAAAAAUAUUCCGAUAUUGUUGCCUACAUACUCAUUGUGAGUAGUGAAAGGAGACUUCAUAGUUUUUACCAUCCAAAAGUUCAUUGUUGUCUUGGACAAGUGCAAGCAAAGAGUUACCAGCAGGUUUUUUUUCGUUCUUUGUUUUUUCUAGACGCUUUUUGUGAUGUUUUUAUUUCAUGUUUCUUUCUCUUUUAAUUUGUUUACAUUUAUUUUUUCUUAUUUUUCUUUUUUCGGAUGCACGAACAUUUUUUUUUAAAUGAUGAUCUUUUGAAAGUUUUGUGAUUUUGUUGCUCAAAUUUGAUUAACUUUUUUAUUUUAUUUGAUUUUUCUAAAAACAAUUGAUGAACUUUUGUCAAAUCGAUGAACUAUUUUCCAAAUUUGAUGAACUUUUUUCACAAUUCGUGAUUUUUCUUCAAAAAAAUUACUUUUUUAGAAUUCAUGAACCCUUUCUGGAAAUCUUUGAAACUUUUUCAAAUCGAUGAAAUUUUUUCAAAUCAAAUGAACUUUUCUCAAAAUCUGUGAACAUUUUUCAAAAUUGAUGAUUUUUUCAAAAAAAAUCAAUGAACUAUUUUUCAAGUUUGAUGAACCGUUUUCCAAAUUCGAUGAACUUUUUUCAAAUUUGAUGAACUUUUUUUCAAAUUCGAUGAACUUUUUUGUAAAUAGAUGAAGUUAUUUAAAUUCAUAAUUUUUUAAAAAUAAUUCAAAAUACUAAGUGAUGGUGUACACAUACAAUAAAUAGCACGCCCAAAUGUCCUUAUAAUGUUGGCACUUCUAUCAGUCACUACAGUCGAAUAGUUCUAGUGGUUGUGCGCAGCUGUACGUUAAAGCAACGCCUCGAGUUUGAAUCCUGGAGAGGGCCACCUCCCCAAGCAGUCUUGUUAGCAACCGGGCACAUCGGCCUUGUUGGGCCAGGCCCGGGCAGGCAGCGCGUGGGCGCCAGUACCUAUUAUCGGCGUAAAGCCGUGGCUUUGGACUUUGCAAGAUCUUGUGGGCAUCUCGUAUCAUACUUGCCCAUCAUGUAUUCACUAGAUCAUUGAUGGCGCGUGUUGCUACGCCCAUCCGUUAUGAUGAUAGAAUGCUAGGAAUUUAGUAAAUAUAUCAAAGCAUGAAGAUAAAAAAAAUAUGUUUAUGUCAGUAUCAAAAGUAACCAUAUAAAUCUAAAGCAGAAGUAUCUACCAAAUAGUAUUUUAACCAACAUGAUAAGAAUAUAGGGUUUUCAUUUCCAGAAUAAUAAUAACAUAUCAUCCCAACUGAAGUGUUAUUUACAAAGAUGCAAUGCAUUAUCUUGUAGUAGAUAAUGUUUUCCACAAAGAUCGGAACGUAUGCUUCUUUCACUACCUCCACACAUUGUAUCAAAGUUGUUAUUAUUUGGACUUCCUGAUGGAAUUUGGAACCAGAUAGCUUAACUGCACACGUCUAAAAAGACAAACCAAAAGAUGAGAAGCCUGGUUAUGUGGUAAGCAUCUUUAAGCAAGAACAAGUGGAAACAAUAUUGUCACAGAACAUCGUGGGAUGAAAUUUAUCCGAAAGUACAAAAAACAAAAUGUAGGAAAUAUCAAAAUGACAAUGAUUUAUCAUUCAUACUCACAUGAAGUAGUCUGACAUCUUUAGAUGGAAAUCAUCCGAAAGUACAAGUUAAGACAAGGUAUAUACAGAUAUUUAGUGUACAAAAAAUGGAAUGUAGAAAAUAUCGAAAUGACAAUGAUUUAUCAUUCAUACUUAUAGGACACCAAGCAGUGGUGAUUCUAGAGUUUAUUCGUUUUCUCUACUACUCUAAUACGUACCCAGCAGAAAUUUAAAAAGGUGCUUCAGAUAACCAACUUGUGGAAGUGAUGUGCUUAGUGGGCAGCUUCAUUUAAACUUACGGAAUCCACCUGUGCAGCAACAGAGUUAAGGGAACAUGGCACAUGAACUGAUGAAAGAGAGAAAAUAUUUGUCUUUUAACUUGCGACAUCCCCUAUAUGAGAUGAAGCCAGAGAAUAUUCUGUGUGGGAUAUUGAAGAAUGGGCAAAGUAACAGCACCUCGUUUUCUUGCGCAUUUUUUGCUUCAUCGAGCCAUUUGCACCACCUCACAUCAUCACAAUAAAAGUGGAUCGUCACUAUUGCCGUGCGCCUUCACGAAAGUAAACUGUCGCAUAAGCAAUCACAUAUCCUUAAUGCAUAUAUACUACUCCCUCCGUUCCAAAUUACUCGUUGCAAAAAUGGAUGUAUCUAGAACUAAAAUACAUAUAGAUACAUCCAUACCUGCGACAAAUAAUUCAGGACGGAGGGAGUAAAACAUAACGGUAUGAUGUAUGACAGUACAGGUGAACUAAUUAUCUGACCCACGGCCACUGUAGCAACUACACAAAGAAGGACAUCUAAAUAUAAAAGAAAUGAUAAAAUGAUAGAAAACGGAUGAUGAUGGUAGUAGCAAUUACAUUGAGUCAACAAUAAGUAACUAUAUAAUGAAGAUUCCAUUAUGAAUCUACUGUAUGGAAAAUAUUAUCUUCGAAACAUCACACAAGUAACCUGUUUACUUUGGUUACUAGUAAGCAAUUUUGCAAAAAUAGAACAUUACUAAACAAAAAAAAUCUGAGGAUAAUAGUAAAAAAAAUCUAAGGAUAAUAAGGCGCUGACCAACCUUAUGCAUUAAUUAGUGAGUUGGGAGCUAGAUUUAUAAUUUACAAAGAACAGUGAACCCAGAUGGAAAAUAAUAAAUCAGUACCUCUUGUAACUCCAAUCCCAAAUAAAAAAAGCAUGCAUCGCAGGAUUGGACUGUUGUAGACAACGAACUUGAGAUGCCUCCUCCGUUCAACAGUGCUGCCAAUUGUCGCGUCCAUAGGCAGUGGAGUUAUUUCAGUAAAUAAUAUGCAUUGAAAAUGCCAUGAUAUUGUAGGAAUAAUAGACACGUAUACACAGGUUUACACAGAUACUAACUUGGCCUUUAGGCAAUGGAAAUCAACAGCAUUAGUAUACCUUCAGCCAACUGAAUAACCAGUCGCCAACCCAACCAUUGACACCACUUGAAUCAAAUUGGAAGAGAAAGAGAUCAACACUAAGAAGAACCCAUAACUAAUUGUGCAAAAGAGGGAAGGUAGCAAGAAGGGGAAUCUGCAGCAAGGGAGAGGGAAACCAAGAAGAUCUGUGUCGAAUCCGUCGACCUAGAGCAGGCGCAUCAAGCUGGGAGAAGAAAUAACAGCAUCAGUAAUAACGAAUGAUGAAUCCAUUAUGAAGAGGGGCUCAACAAUGGCUGCCCGAGACGCCACUGCCGACGUAAAGAAGGGGUGGGGAAGGAACAGUGCGACUAUAUGUAUACGCCUGGAGUAAAGGAAGAGCCUGAGCGUCACGGUAACCGGCAUGCAAACAAUGCCAUCCGUGAGUGGCACACUUUGAUCGCAAUUAGAGGCUGUCACCAAUGGUGAUUUAUUUCCUCAAACUCUGUACUCAAAUGAAGGGACGGUUCGUUGCCCGCAUCCCAUGAAUGCCAGACUGGUGAGGUGGGAUCGCCGUGUGGCGUCGCAUCGCAUAGCGAGGCCCUCCCCGCCUUGGACCCCAUUGCCGCCACGGGGGGAGAUGAGAGAAGUAGAACCCAGCAAGCCCAAGUCGGCACAACGCAAUGGUAAGCUGGCCCAAUUAACAAGAAAGGUUGGAUUUUGUUACGGGAGCAGCAGCCCAAUCCACUUCACUACACCCAUGCGGGAUUAGAAGUGCAUCUCACGGCCAAGAAUGUGUAGAGGGCGAGAUCCGACGGCUCAAAAGGCUGAUGACCUGAGAGGGAUGGAAAAGUGCUCAGUUUUAAUAUCUCUAAAUGUCAAGCAAAGAGCAAACGACAACACACAAUGAUAAUACACGUAGUAAACGCACAUGCAAUGUGUGAUGAUGAGACAUUGAGAUGUCAGCGUACCAGCAAUGGUGGGCAUGUGUUGUGCUGUAUUCCAACGUGCGUAUAUAGCAUAACUCUUUCAACUUUUCAAGCAAGCUAGCAAAGUGGCCCGCUCGAUGCGCGGGCUAGAACUUUACACAGUUUAGUAAUGACAUCAUAUUAUUCGGUUUUGUGUAAAUAAUGGCAGCAUCUUUAAAGGAUAGAUGGUAUGAUAUACUUUUUUAAUUUUUUUCAAUUGUAUAUUUUUGUUCCAACAAAGAAAUAGAAUAAGAGUUGCAAGUUCCCAUGGAUGGAAAACAUAAACUUGAACUAAAUAUGAAAUUUGGUGGCUGGUUGCAAGAGAAUUAUUUUACUUUCCCAAGGUUGUAUAUGAAAUUUAAUAAUCCAUACGCGUAGUAUGCUGAGUAAGAACACAUAUGUCAAUGUGUAAUUCUACGUGUCAUGUGAAACUGGAUAGUCCCCAUAUACUAUUACAAUCUACCCCUCCAUUAGCACACCCAAUCAUUUGUUUUAUCUUUUCCACUAUCUGUCGUUUGAACUAUCGUAUUGUGCAUGGCCGCCUCCUUAAUUUAUCUGGCAAUGUAGUUGUACACAUGCAUAAUCAGUGCAUAAUUCACCAUGAACUUCUUUUUAGUCACUCGCACAAUGUCACAUCCCAUCUAGAAAUCGCUCGAAGGAUGGAACCCAUAAUUGCAAGCAAAUUCCGAAUUCUAUACCAAAGUUUGAGAGAGAAAUAGGCCAAUUUUGUCUACAAAGGUAUCCCUUUGUGUGAUCAUUGAGUAAAUAAAUAGGUCAUCUAAAAAAGCUAUACCAUUUGGAUCUUGUGAAUUUCAGUGUGCCAAUUGUUUCCUCCUCUAUGCUAGCACAUUUAUGCUAACAUCUUGUCCUGUUAUAAUGAAACACCGUGGCGCUCUUACUUAUCAUUUAGAUAUUUAUAUUGAAUAUGUGAGACAAAUACAUUUAUAAGAUAGCAUGUAGUUCUACCUGUAAGUUUGACUUAGAAUGCUAUGAUUUGAUUUAUCUUGAGAAUAUAUAUAAUGUAUAUGUGUCAUAGAUUGUGUUCCACUAUUUAACAGUAAUAAUGGAACAAUUUUUUUUCAUGUCAAACUAUUUUUGUUCUUGUACUACAUCUACAUCAGAAACUCAUCAUACAUAGUUCAAUAGUCUAAAGUUAUCAGUGAGGAGAAGAAAUAUGAUCGGAGCCUUAAUUUAAGUCAUGCCACAUUUGGUCUCCCAAACAUACAUAAAUGGAAGAUUUACUUUGGAUAAUCUAUUAUUGGUCUAUCAUAUUGAUGACAUGCAUAGAUCACAGAACACAUUUUUUUUCUCAAAAUAUCUAAUUCAUGAUUCAAAAGUUCUAUUCAACCAAAAUGUCAUAUUUGUUUCUCCAUACACCAACUGGUAAUUAAACUACACAAAAUGGAAAAACUGAAUUAUCUUAGUGAUAAUAUCACUUGGUAGAAUGCAUAUGAUGUGCAUUUUCUAGAUCAACACAACUUAAGUGCAUUCAGUUGUUGGUAUUACAUUAUGAUGUAAGCCUAACACGAACAGAUUUUUUUCUGGAUAGUCCAAGAGAAAUAUUUAAAAUAUCAUGGUAUCUUUGUUGUGAGCUAAAGAACACUAUUAUUUCAUAUAUUGUUUCGUACAAUCACCAAAUAACGGGGUAUUGAUAUUUUCUAAAUAUUAAAAAAAAUCGAUAUACGUAAGGUUCAUACAAAAUACAUUGAAGUAUUGAGCACAAAAUACAUUGAAGCAAUCACACUUUUUUCAGGUCCUCAGCUGCUUAUAUGAGUCAUUCCAACCAUAUUCAAGUUUUCAUUGUUCUGAAAAAUAUACCACUCGUUGCAGUAUGUUUUCUCAUUGGGUGCAAUCGGUUUGCUAACACAAAGAGCUAAAUGAAGUCAGGCUCAAGCACCGAGUACACACUUUAUCUUCAGUAAAUAAGUAGAACGAUGCAGAAAAUGAAUUAAAUUAGUGAUAACAUCUAUUGUAGCCGCCCCUUGAUGCCAGAAUAUAAGUUGCACCUUUUGUGCAUAUGCAGAGGUAGACCUCAUCGCGGUUGCUUGAAAUAAUUAAUAGUAUUCUGUAUUUACCCAAUAAUUUUGUAUUAUGUGGAUACUUCUAUGAAGGACAUCCCCAACCCGUGCUUUUGUGUGGCUAGUGGUGAGACAUCGUAAACAUAUAUUAUUACAUAUAGAUAUUUAAUUAAAGGAGUUGUAGGUAUAGUAAAUAGAUGGCAAAUUCAGGACCAUGGUGUUUGUAUGUUAUUAUUAGAAGAGGUUGUCCAUUCACGAUUUUCCAUGUCACUCCAUGCAUAACUUACAACCAAAACAAUGCAAUAACAUAUCUUACAUCUUACAUUCUUAAGAAGUUGAUCCCCACUACUAGCAAUUCUCUCAACAUGCACAUUGUCCACAUCAUCAUCAUGCCACAUCAGCUUUUAUUUCCAAACACCGACCAAUCGGCUCAUUUCCAAGAGGACCUAAUCUCUCUCUUUUUAAAACGGAAAUGUCACAUUCACCUACGCCACCCACUUUUCAUGACUGCUCUUCUUCCAUCUCUGAGUUUAAUUGCCCUGAAUUCUUCACCUUCAGGCUCACAAUGCAAUGUUGUGAUGCUUCGGUUACCACCUUAUUACAGUGGAGAACCAUCAAAGGUUGCCCGUCUCGUGUAGAACAGACUACAGAAUGUGCCUCUCUCUCCCUCGAUUCAGCCGAGCCCAUCGACUCCCCUUCCCCUAUGUACAGUCCGGCGUGGCGGCCGAGAUCAUCUCACUCCCCUCCGGUAGGACCACCGACUUGGCUCCCGUCUGUGAUUCUCCUGGGGUCACCCGUGCUAUGUUCCCCUUCUUGGCACGGUGCUUGAGUCCAUGGUUUGAAGGUCCUCCUGAGCUACUGGUCCGAAUACAUGGGCCACCUCGUGUGCUUCAGGCCUGGUGGUGGCGGCUGCUACGAGAAAUGGAGCAGGAGGUACGUCCUAUGCCAGGGCCGGUGCGGCGGGGUGCGCUCGGUAAUGAACCGGUGCGGCGUGGUGCGCUCGGUGAUGAAAUUACGAUUUCUCUCCUUGGAGGACCUUUGGCGGACGGCGGCGAUGACAAAGGCUGCAAGCCUUCACCCUGACGAGGAGUCAAUUGCACAGAACUACCACAUUUGCGGCUAGGUUUGCAGAAAACCAACAAGUCGCUAAUCCGUUGCAAAAAUCACCGCGAUCCGCAUAAUCUCGUUGCAAAAAACACUGAUCGGGUGAUUUGUCCUGUUUGAUCGCUUUGUGACAACUGGGGCCCAAUUGUAAGGUGCUGACAUGGCAAAAAAUUAACAUACACAUCCCUGGAUCUAAAAUAAAAAAGCAAUCAGACCCCCACCCAUCCCUCCCCCUCCCUUGCGCUCGUGACCCAUCUUUCAUCUCCCCUGCGCGACUGACCUUCCUCCGGCUCCGGCCACCUCACCUAACCCGUCGGCACCGCCCUAACCUACUGGGGCCUGGCCCUUCUUCUUGUUGUAAUCGGCGUCGUCGUCGUCUCCUUCCUUGUCAGCAGCAGGGGAGGGGGCGGGCGCGGCGGCGGAGUGCAGGACGAGACGGCGACGGCGAGUGCGCGUAGGAAGGGGCCACAGCGGGGGAAGGGAGCGGGGACGUCUCGAUGGGCACGGAGGGGAUGCCGCCGGCGCCUUGUCCUUGUCGAGGGACCCUGCGGAGGGGGAUAUGGAAGGGGAGGCGGAUCCGUUGGCGUCGGGGCGGAGGAGCGGGGACGCGGUGGGCGCGUCGGGCGAUGGGGGCUGCGAGAUGGGGCUCUGGGCGGCGCAGAGCGGCAGCGCGGCCACCACGAGGAGGAGGAGGAUGCCGUCGUGGAGCCCCCGUCCAAGAGAGCCACGCCCAGCCCCUGGUGGUGGUGCACCACACGGCGUCCCCAACUGCUCUGAGCUGCUGCUUCGGGCACGGCGUCGAGCCAGGGAGGAGCGGCGUGGAGCUGUUGCCGCUGCUUGCACGGCGUCUAGCAGCCGCGGGGCCGAGCACUCCCGUCGCCACCGCGCUGAGGGUGCCGCUGCUGCCCUUCUCUAGUGAGGAUGCCGUUGUGGCGGCUACGCGCAGGCGGCGGGUGGGCUUCUGCCGCGGCCACGAGAGCCAGCGGGAUCGAGAGCAGGGGUAUUGAGAGCAAGGGGGUUGAUUGCUUUUUAUUUUUGGAUCCAGGGGUGUGUAUGCCAUUUGUUUGCCAAGUCAGCUCUUGACAACCGGGCCCCACUUGUCAGAAAAUGAUUAAAUGGGUUAAAUCACCUGAUCAGUGCUUUUUGCAACAAGUUUAUUGCUAAUGAAGUGUUUUUUGCAGCGGAUUAGCGACUUGGUGGUUUUCUGCAAACCUAGCCGCAAAUGUGGUGGUUUUGUGCAAUUCACUCCCCUGACGAGCUGUAAAUCCCUCGCAAAUCCACCUCCAACUUCCUCUGAGGUCGGCUUUGGCCCCGUCUAGGGGGACUCCGUCGACGGCGGCCUUCGCCCCAGCCCCACUCCGCAGCAGGUCGCCGUCAAGUACCUCGGCCUCGACAACAACGGUGUCUAGCGGCACACGAGUUGCUGGUACGUCGCCCUUACUCGGUGCCAUAGAGAGUCCAGUCAUCAACCACAGAUCGUUGGUUGGUUCAUUGAUUCCAUGAUGACUAAUUAAUUUUUUGGUUAGUCAACAGGCGGAGGUGAUGUAUCUGCGGAUGGUGAGCCACCUGCACCUGACGUAAUAGUAGCCAUGCUCUUGGCAAGUUGAGCUACUGCAUAGUACUAGGAAGUUUUGCUCAUGCGUGUCCGCCAUGGGUUUGCGGCAAGGGUAGCAAACUUCGUGAGUACGUCGACAGGUUGUGUACUCUUCGGGAUUUUUUCUGUCUUCAGUAUUUUUGUUCUUAUAAAAAUGAUCGUAUUCUUUGCACACAACCGAUCGAAUUAGCCUCGCUUGCCUUCAGUUGCAGCCGUAACCCAUUGACUGAUCGAGCCAAAAUAAUCCCACUGCAGUGCGUCCUACAUCAGUUUUUCAUCUCCCCCACUUAACUUUUUAUUAUGGCUUUUAAUAAACACGAGUUCAUAUAGGAAUCCAAGUAAAUAGCAACGACAAUUAUUAACAGGUUACAAAUCUUUUCCUUUCGUCUUCCUUCUACCUUGAUCGGAAAUAAUUCUCCACCACUAUUAAAAUUCUCUGCUGAAACUGCUCUACAGGUCCAUCGUUUCAGCUUUAGGUUCAUUCAUCUCUUUCAAUUGAGCCAUGAGAAGGAGGAGCCACCAAGGCUGGGGAUGCGUCUACAUUGCCCCUAGCCAUGGGAAGAAGCGGUCCGAUUUCGCCCUACAAACCUAAUUGUCUACAGUUUUGAAUUGUUUUUAUAUUUUGUAAGAAUUAAAAACUGCAGGACGCACGGUGAAUGAUAAUAAUUUUUGUGAUGAUAUAUGAGCCAGUACCAUUGCUCAUCUUGAUCUGCUAUUUGGAUAACUGUACUUUCGUUGAAUUCUACUUCUCUUUAUGUUGUUUGCAGGCUUGCCAUUGUUACAGAUCCAUACAGGAUAACUACACUUUCAAGGACCUGUACUUCUCUACAUGUUAUUUCAGGCAAGACAUUGUUACAGAUCCAUCAAAAAUUAAAUUACCAUUUUUGUUCUAUGCAUGUACCCUAUGUAAUGGCUUUUGGUUGUGUGUGGCUUGGGCAAAAUCUUGAUUUCCUAUUUGUUCGAUCAUUUGAAUGUUUAUGGCACAUGUAGUUCUUUGUACACAAGUGUAAGCUGCAGAUAUGAUUUAUGGAAGAUGAGGUAUGUUCUCCGCAUUUUCGAAGAUAGAUAAGUCCUAUGGGUAUCGCUGGAGCGAUGUCUUUUUUAUUUACAAUAUGUACUGCCGUUGUAUCAUAACUUGUGGCUGUAUGCCCGUCGUAUAUUUGGUGCACUUACCUACGUUGAGUAAUAAUAUUAAGUAUUCCUAAAUUAAUCUCAGAUAUACCUUUGCAACUUAUGCUUGAUGAUGAAAAUAGGAGAUUCAACAAAACCUGAUAUUUUCCAAACAGAGUGGUUUCUUCAUCAAUUGUGAAAAGUACAAUAUUUAACACAUGUUUUAUUACUUGUGUUUUCAACCAACAAAUGUAUCAAGCAGUCUCUAUUCCGAAAACUACCGCAUUUCCCAUGAAAAAGGAACAAUUGUACUUGAUGGAGAACAAUGGAAGUAGGUUGGCGUCAAUAGGUUUGUUUUCAUGUUCAUUUUUGUCAAAUAUCUUCAGAAUUGUAAAAGUUACUCGCCUGAUUAAUCUUUUGAGCUCCAUAGAGGCUAUGUGAUGAUGUCUUAAUCAAUGGUAAUUGGAAAUCUACUCCAAUAGUUCAAAGGAAAAAUAAAAUAGAGUAAGUCUUUCUUAGUAUCAAGGCACUGUUCCACACUUUGAUACUUUGAUACACUAACUUGGCGCAAUUCAUAGAAAUGUUGUUGGCACUCAAGCAUUGGUCAUACAAAACGAUCGAAUAUUGAUAUCUAUACUUUGGCCAUACAUCCACAAGACCCAGUCUACUACCUGCGGGAAAACUGUUCUCUUUGUUGUGAUUCACCUUGGAAUGUAUAGUGCUGACUUUCGGUUCUAUUAGGUUUUUUAUGCCACUUUUAAUGCUAGCAAAGAGAUCCCGCAGCAAUGCGCGGGGUAUCAUCUAGUUGAUAAAAUUUCACACCUUCAAAGAGAGAAAUGGAGGCUCUAGUAGUAACUUUGGGCGACCAAGAUUUUAAAUGGCAAUUGGACAUUAACAACAGUGUUAUUAAGAGCAUCUGCAUCUGCAUCCACAUACUAUUGGGUUAAAUAUUCGUCAGAGCGUGAAUUUGGAAAUCAAGUUCAUACUAUUUUUCUAGUGGAAAUAUAUUAUUAAGGUACUUGUUCAAACAAAUGCAAACAUUGUUUUCAUGUGAUUCACAGGAUUGAAAAUAUAUUAGUUCCAUGAAAUUUUUACUUCACAGAUGUUAAUAAGGGCCACCCCAAAUAGGCGGCGUGUUUACAGUGAUUAUAUAGGCUGUGAUGCUAAUUACAAAAAGGAGAUAUAUGUUGUACAUAGAUGUAACCCACAGGCAGAACGUGAUAAGAAAACUCAGAUGCAGCAAACUAACAUUGCCGUCCAUCUUACGUUGCUUUUCCAGUCUCAUGUGUGCAAUACCUAAAAAGAAGAGCUUCAAUCCAGCGUGAACGUUGUUAGUCUGGACACACGACAUAUCAUGUGACAUCUCUUAUCAACUGUAUGGCUCCUCAAGACUUCAUAUAGCUUAUUGUCCGAUCAACCUACAAGGCCCCAAAUCAUGCACCAAGCUUCUCAUCCACUGUACAUGCUGCAGAUUUCAGAAAAAGGAAAAGUUUAAUCAUACAUGAAAAUCUAGAUAUACGUUGUUAUGUAGAAAAAUAGAUGACGCAGACACCCCUCCAUCCAGUGUGUUGUCCUACCAAACGGCCAGUCACAUGAUGCACGGGAACGUCUUCAUCCACCACAAAAAUAUAGAUAUUCCUAAGCACAAGGAUUAAUUAAAAGGCCUCCAUAUCUUGAUACAAUAUAGGAAAAUAGAUGAUGCAGUCAAAAGCAGAUAUGUGUUAGUUGUAAUAUGUAUGUAUGGAUGCUUAGGUCGAUCAGCUGGUUUGUAUGCUCAUACCUCGGCAUGUGGCAAGUUGUCUUGCCUGAUAUCGUGAUGGAUGUGCAUGGAAGAAUAACAGGCAUGAUGCGUACAUCUGUUUACCCCAUACCGAUCUGAAUCAGCCAAUCUGCACAUGUUUACUAAGUUAGUCUUCGUGAUGUAGCUAGUUGCAUCCAUGCUCUCAUUCAUCCAGCUGAGUAAAAGGAAGUUAAGGAUGCAUGUGUGGGUGGGUGGAAUCAUAGGAACCUUGCCCUGACGUCGGCAAACCAUACGUUUUGUAUAUAGUGAGUCUCAUGUAGUGUCAUGGGUCUUCACAUCCUCUGUGCCGCUACACGCAGAACAUCAUAUAACCUGUUAAUGCGGAGACAUAUGUCAGAGAAUUGCCAGUUAGCGGCUUGUACAUGUAGAAUCAGAGUUGAGGCCGGAGCCCCUGAUCCUCGCCUAGACAACGGCAACAUCAUGGAAUUUCCAGGGAAUUCAUCCAGCAAAGCACUUCUGAUCGAUCUUCCAUUGUAGGAUGGGAGUAAUAGAGGAGGCGAGAAGGGCAGACCUUUCCACCUAUUUUCUUUUCUGUACGCAUACCUUAGGUCUAGAUAGGUACUCCCUCCGUUCCAAAAUAGAUGACCCAACUUUGUACUAAUUAGUAUAAAGUUGGGUCAUCUAUUUUGGAACGGAGGGCUGCGUUAGGGGAAUUGCUUGGGAACUCAUCCAAGAGAGCACCUCAGAUCGAUCUUUCCUGCCAGGAUGGGAGGAAAAGAGGAGGCGAGAGGAGGAUAGCUUUCGAUCUAUUUUCUUCCCUGGUAGGUAUAGAUAUGUACCUACGUGAGGGGGAUGGCCUUUUUUUAUUUCCUAGAUGGAUACAUAAGAGUAGGUUUUCUUUUCUGUAUGGAUGCGUGUGUUUUUUUUACAUCUGGAUGUGUGAGGAGUUUUUUUUUUUUUUGCGUGAGUAGUUUCUUUCCUUUUUUUUGAGGGGAUAGUAGUUUCUUUCCUAGUAGAUGGAUCCUAAGGGGUAGAUUUUCUUUCCUGUAUGGAUGCGUGAGGAGGUCCACCAGGUUAUUAAUAUCCAACGACUAUGGUUUGUUAAGAAAAAGAAGGUCUAUUAAAUCAAUGGUUAGAUACUUCUAAUUACUCCCUCCGUUCCUUUUUAGUCUGCAUAUAAGAUUUGGUCAAAGUCAAACUUUGUAAAGUUUGAACAACUUUAUAAGAGAAAAUAUCAACAUCUACAAUAGUAAAGCUAUAUGGUAUGCAAAUUCAUUUCAUGAUGCAUCUAACAAUAUUGAUUUCAUAUUAUGAAUCUCGAUAUAUUUUUCUAUAAACUGAGUCAAAGUUAACAAAGUUUGACUUUGACCAAACCUUAUAUGCAGACUAAAAAGAAAUGGAGGGAGUAUUGUGGGAAUUUUUAGCCUAAUUAUCUUUUUUGUGGUUAGCCUGUCAAUCUCUUUUUUUAUAUAAAUAGAUUUCUGUGUGAUCAUGACAUGGAGCCAGCUGAUCACCAGUAAUUAUGUUACCAUCAUGUGUUUGGAGUACAUUAAGCUUGUGAACAUCUGGCGUCGUACUUGUCGGCUCUACCUCCAUGCGUAGCAUAAGACAACACAUCAUUAUCAUGAAAGAAUAUGACACGCCUUCAUAUAUACAUGCGUGCCCAAUUAAAGCGAUCACCAUCAUCAUGGAAGAAUAUGAGCACGUCUAGCUGUGAUAUGAAGGCAAUAACAAUUAAUGUCAUGAGUAUAUGACUGUAUGUGGUGGUAUACAUUUUGGCUUCAAGUCACCAACAUGCACCGCACAAAACGUUGUUAUCGGCAACAACGACAAAGAUCAUGCGUGCAUGUGUGGGAGGUUAUGAUUCAGCUGCCGGUGACACAAGCAUGUUACACCUACUAUACGGAAUAAUUUUAAGCAAGGCGCCUUUUAGUGACACCACAUCCACAUGGAUGCCGGAGACAGUCAUAUUUAAGCAGCAGGAGCCCUUGUGUCGGGUACCUAUCCAUCCAUCGACAUUACUUGCCACAGCAAGUACAUCCUGUCUCCUCUCAAGCAAAACAAGAUAUAGAAGCCAUGAAAGAUCCUAACACCAGCACCAUGUCCUUCAAGCAGGCCUUCCUCAAGAACCUCCUCCUCGGACUGCAGCUCCAGGCACACACGUGCACAUCCUUCGGUAACGGCGCCAUGAGCCUCCACGAGAGGAAGCGCGCCGUCAAGUCCUCCGUGGACGUCGCCAUGGCGGCUGCGCAUGGAGGCGGAGCGAGGUGGCCCAAGGCCAUCUUGGCACCGGCGUCCAGCGCGUGCAAGGUGCAGAGGUGUAGGAGGACCGUGAGGAGGUGCUGCCGCCAUAAGAGGUGCUCGGGGAGAUCAGGCCGCACCGGUGGUGGCGACACUCCGGGGAGGCUGGUGAGCAGCAGGACCAUGGCACUGAGGGAGGUGAUACCGGGAGGCCGGAACUCCACCGUCGACGAGGCCACUCUGUUACGCGAGGCCAUGGACUACGCCAUGCACCUGCGCGCUCAGGUCGACGUGCUCCGCUGGCUCUCGGAAACCGUGCAAACAUCUAGCUCCAGUGACUCUAACCGUGCACUGCCAAAGGAGGCAUGAUUAAGGUACCAGGUGGUGGCUUGUCAAUGCUUCUGCGAACAGAAGGACAAGCUACGCACAACAUAUUGCCCCUUGUGAAAAGCGGUGAAAAAUAUCAGGAUUUUAUCUUGCUCUUGCGGAAGUUCCUAUCAGUGUAGAGUGCUUGCGAGCAGCAGACUACACUCUUUGUUGAUCAGCAGAGAGAAAAAGCUGCCCGGAAUUAUGUAUUUACUGUAGCAAAACUUUGUGGUGUCCGUUGCAAAUGAAGAUAUUAGAGUGUGUGAAAAGUUACUUAUUUAGAUCAUGCGUGCAUGUGCAGUUUAAAUGCAAGGUCUGCUUUUGCAUUAGUCAGGAAAUCUGCAGAACCUGAAACAACUUGCAGUGCUCACUCAUUUAAAGGAGAAGGCCACAACUGCUCGUACAUAGGCUCCAAAUGAAGGUCACUGUCUUGUCACGACGGAAACAAAUGGUAAAAUUCUAAAAUCCAAAAUUAAUAAGUAUGUAAAUAACUGAGACCUGGCAUAUAUAUGCUGCGUAUUACUGCAGUACACCCGAAACAGCUAUAUGGAAAACACCUAGGAAAUUAAGUCUAAUAAAAUUCACGGGCAAGGAUGUAGCUAGUGACAGGAAAUUGUACCAAAGCCUACUAUAAAAAUAUUGCACACAUAUAAGGUCUUCUUUGUUUCAUAGGAUAGGAAUCAUAGUUUUAAACAGUGCGCUAAGCAUCUUAGAGGCGGACCUCUUCAAAUGCUAUAGCAUGCUAUAGCGUGCUAUUUAAAAUGUUUGUUUAUUUGUUUGGACAAAGUCUCUUAGCGCAAGACCUUUUGUAAACGCUAUAGCGGGCUAUUUAAAACAGUGAUAGAAAUAAAAAAAAACAAAGAAUAAUAGAUGUCAUGCAUCUGAAUUCUUAUAGAAAAAAUGUCAUUUGAUUCACCGCUUUUGGAGUAGUGUCUACAAGAUAAUCGUUUCCUAACGCCUCCCAAAUCUAAUUAACAUAUUUGUGGUAGUGUGCACAUAUGGCCCAAUAUAUAUUUCAUAUUUCCUAAAAACAUGACUUUAACAAAAUAAAAUGAGAGGAAUUGUCUUGAGUACUAUCUGCCAUGACUAGCAUACUCGGAGAUAAAUUAUGUGGGCACAACGGAUGAAUAUCCUAUCGUUAUCUGAUUCUGGCUAUAUGAUCACUAUGAACCACGGUUGAUGGAAACUAUAUAUAGGCACCAACACUUGACGGGGAGCUUGAAAAAGAAUAAAUGUCAUAACAGCUCAUCAACAAGGUGGAUGGCGACGAGUAAUUGGUUUUUUGUACCUUUUCUUUAGGUUUGCUUGGGUUUGUACCAAACUUUUAAAUCGCGGAUGAAAAUUGCGCGAUCGCUGGCUGGAAGCCUUCCCGCGACGCGAUGCCUUAAAAAACGCGAUCUGUAGCUAAUCACGCGAUCGCUGCGCGAAGCGGCGCAAAACUCAUUUGCGCUCGCUGCAAUUUCGCUGGGACGGGCUGAAACAGAGGCCCAACAAGAGCCAGGCCCACAUUUGCCCCGAUGGAGAGGACAGAGGAGCAGCUCAUCCAGAAAACCUAACUCAUCGCUAUCCCCAUUCCCUUCUCAGCUGUUGCGGCGGCUGCGCGGUUCUUCCCAGCUGCGCUCGGUGGGCCGGCGGCUGCUUCGCCGGAAGUCGGAUGCACUAAUGUGCGAGGCAGCAAAGCGGAGACCAGAGCACCUGGCAGGAGCCGCAACCUAUACUGCUGCGGUCACGCCAACGCUGCGACCGGCGAUGAAGGCCUCUGCAGGACGACGUCGAUGUGUCCACACUCCAUAAUGAUAGCUCAGUCUCACACGGUUCCAACUCGCAGUAUAUCUCCAGGAGGUACAGGAUUGCUCUGAUCCUCUUUAAUCUCUAUCGUUUGUUGAUUCAAUACAAGCAACAGAGCAUGUCAGCCUAUUGGUAUUGCACGACUUGUAGGUUGUAGCUUAGAUUUUCAACACUGCUUCCAAGAAAAUCCUCUGUUUUCUGCUGAAAUUCCUAAAUUUCUUCAGACAAACAUGCAUAUGUACUGUUCCCGCUAAAUGGCAUAGCGGCCGUAGCGUUUUGAAGAGCCAGCCGCUAAAUCAUUUUCGCCGUGAUCUUAAACUUUGGUUUGUACCAGCACUUUUUCGACAGUACUUGGUCAAUACUAGCACUACUACAGUUAAGGUAAUUACAUACACUUCAAAAAAAAACUAUCGCACACACAGAAGUGAAUCAUUGUCUUGCAUGGUUUGCUAGAGGUGUGUUACUGUCACACAUGCUACGGAUAAACAUGCGCGAUAGGGUGCUAAUUUUGUAAAAGCAAUCAUAUGCGAUGCACGGACUUCUUUUUAAACUCUUACCGUAGAAGAAUUGCUUUACGGUAUUUCAAUUAUAUUAAAAAAAGUAUAUACAAAGGAAGUCCAGAAUACAUCAUAAAUCACCCAAUACCAGCUCUAUCAAAAUUAAUCAUGGACUACAGAUUGUUACUAAUUCAGGACUGAAGCUUGUUGGCCUUGACUUGUUUAGCUCUCAGCAUUGAAUAAUAGAGUCCUUCUUUCAAGUAGGAAGUCCAGCUGAUAGGAUGAGCAGGCACUUGCUUAAAGAUCUUAUCAUUUCUGACCAUCCAUGUACUCCAGCAUCCCAUGACGAUGAUGUCUAAUGCCAAAUCUAUAGGAAGGACUAAGAGAAACUCCAAUGGAGCGAUCCAUUUCGUCCGCCCGUGUCCGUUUUGGUCGGCGCGGACAAAAGUGGCGGCCCAACGCGCCGACCCAAACGGACGCGCGUCCAUUUUUCGUCCGCGGGCGACCCAUUUCAGGCUCAAUUUUGAGCCGGAUUUGCGUCGGUGCGGACACGAGACGGACGCCGCGCGCCUACUCCUCUCCCCGGGCCCGCCUGUCGGUGGCAGCCACCAUCAUUUCCCCCCAUUUUCUCCAAAAACGCUCCCGCCCGCGUGCGCCCCCGCCCCCCGACCAGCCAUGGAGGACGCCAUCGACCUCGACCUCGACGCCGCCGCCGGCCCUCGCCUUCCUCGCCUCGUCCGGCGCCGUCGCCCCCUCUGGGAAAGGCAAGCCUCGUGCCCCGCGUAAGACCGCCGCGGCGACCAAGCCGAAGAAGGCGCUGACGCCCAAACAACGGGCAAGCGAGUCUGCCAAGAGGAAGGGCCGGAGGCACGCUGCGGACGCGAGGGAUGAGGCCGCUGCGCAGGCCGCCGCCGUCGCUGCCGCGCAGCAGGAGUUCACCAACGCCCGCGUCGCCGCAGCAACGAGGGAGGCGCUCUACAUGCUUGGGGUAAACCCUAGCCAGCAUAACCUCGUCCAAGCCGCCGUUGCCGCGGCCAGCCCCGGCUCGUCGGCGUUUCCUCGGAUGGUGAUGCCCGACUCACCCUACGCAUCGGCUUGCAACCCGGUCCCCGGCUUCCACGUCUACCCGCAGGCCUCCCGCCUCUCCGGGGAGUGCUCACCCGACGUGAGCGUGGUUGCGCCUUCCACGCCCGCGCCCGCGCCCAUCGACCUCAACGCCACCCCGGUGGUCGGUGGCUCGUCGUCCGGAGGCAUGAGGAAACGCGUGCGACAGACGCCGGCCGGCGGUCUCCCGGACGCCCGUAACCUAUUCGAGGAAAUGUCGUCCGCCGUCGACGAGGACUUCAUGCAACACCUCAUCUUCGAGGGUGGUGCGCCGGGCGCUGGCUACGAUCCAGAGGAGACGCAAUGCCAGGACGGCCGCGGGGCGUUCACGCCGGCCGCUGGCUAUGAUCCCGAUCAGGCGGCCUUCAUGCGUGAUCAGUGUGACGCCCGGAUAAUCAUGCUACAGUAAUCUCACGUUAAUGGUGACACGUCACCUCUGUCACUGUAGUUAAUCUCGGGUUAAUUCGAAACCGAUUCAAAUUUAAAUCCUAACUAAGUCAAACGACAAUAGCUUUCAAAAUAUUAAACAAAAAUGUUCGGACGGUGCCAUAUUUUUCUUAAGUAAAUAUGGUGUAAUAAACACAUUUUUAUAAAAUGCCUAGAUAAUUUAAAAUGAUUUAAAACAGAAAAGAAAACACAAAAACAGAAAAGAGAACUAACAAAAAAAAGGAAAAGAAAACCCCCCAGGCCAACUGGGCCUUGGCCCAACCAGCUGGCCACCAGGCCGACUAGGCCGGCCCGUCCCCACUCCCCCAUAACCCCCUCCACUCCUAACCCUAGGCACCGACACCCCCACUCCCCCCCACUCGCGCCCCCACUCUCCCUUUCCCCGAUCCAAUCGGGAUCGGGCUUGANNNNNNNNNNNNNNNNNNNNNNNNNNNNNNNNNNNNNNNNNNNNNNNNNNNNNNNNNNNNNNNNNNNNNNNNNNNNNNNNNNNNNNNNNNNNNNNNNNNNNNNNNNNNNNNNNNNNNNNNNNNNNNNNNNNNNNNNNNNNNNNNNNNNNNNNNNNNNNNNNNNNNNNNNNNNNNNNNNNNNNNNNNNNNNNNNNNNNNNNNNNNNNNNNNNNNNNNNNNNNNNNNNNNNNNNNNNNNNNNNNNNNNNNNNNNNNNNNNNNNNNNNNNNNNNNNNNNNNNNNNNNNNNNNNNNNNGCAGCUGACGCCCCCGUCGCCGCGUCGCAGCUCGCCGUCGUCCGUGCCCCGCUGACCGCCACCACCUCGACCCCGCGCCCCCUCUCCUUCCACGCGGCGCUGCCCGACCCGAAGCCGCUCGUCGUCCCGACCCCAUCGCUCGCGCUGUCGCCAUCGCCGGAUCGCCGGCGUCACCUCGCCCCGACGCCCGUCCGCGCGCCGCCUUGUCGCCCUCCACCCCGGAUCUGGAACUGGGGCUCGGCCUCGAUGCCGCCGCUGCUCGGGGCCCCCCCUCGUGGAACCACGACGCCGCCGGACUGCUUCCCCGUCCAUUCCCCGCCGGCUUCCUCGCGCCUCGUCGAUGAACCCCUGCACCGGGGGUAUGACCCCAUCUCCCCCUACCCCUUCCCCUACACCGUCUGCGCCGACGCCGCUUCGCCUGGCUGGCCGCGUCCGCCAGCGGCUCCACCCCGUUCCCUCCGCCCCGUCGCGCCUUCCCGGCCGGCCGUGGCCACCGACCGCACUGCUAGCCGCGNNNNNNNNNNNNNNNNNNNNNNNNNNNNNNNNNNNNNNNNNNNNNNNNNNNNNNNNNNNNNNNNNNNNNNNNNNNNNNNCGUGGCCACCGACCGCGCUGCUAGCCGCGCCAGGCGCCAGGGCCGCGCCCUCGCUCCCCGCACCCGCCUCACCUUCGCUCCGGCGCACCCACGCGCCCGUCCCGUCGCCUCGGGUCCGCUCCGAUGGGCACCCGCUGCCGAGCACCCGAUCGGGUGACAUCCGCACCCGAGCGCCCGAACCCGAUAGGCCCCUAUGGGCCUAUGACAGAUGGGCCCCAUGCCCAUAACGUUUAAAAAAAAGAAGGAAUUAAAAAUAAAAAUAAUAAAUAAAAAAUGAUUUAAUAAAAUUAAUUGUUAAUUAAUUAAUUAUCUAAUGAAUUAAUUAAGUUAAUUAAUCCGGUUUAAUUAAUUUAAUUAACUAGUUAGGUUAAUUAAAUAGUAAUUAAAUAAACUAAUCUGUAAUUAACCUAAACAGAGAAUGACAGGUGGGUCCCACCGGACCCACAUGUCAGGUUGACCAAGUCAACUCUGUUGACUGCUAACGUCAGCAUGACAUCAUGCUGACGUCAUAAAUCCAUUUUUCGAAUUAAUUAAAUAAUUAAUUAAAUUCCAGAAAUUAAUAAAAUCUUUAGAAAAUCAUAUCUUUUAAUCCGUAACUCGGAUUAAAUUAUUUUCAACAUGAAAGUUGCUCAGAACGACGAGACGAAUCCGGAUACGCAGCCCCUUCGUCCACCACACCCCCCUAUCAUAUCAAACUCGCAACUUUCCCCCUCCAGCUCCUUUGCCCGAAAACACGGAACACCGGGAAUACUUUCCCGGAUGUUUUCCCCCUUCGCCGACAUCACCUCAUACUGCGUUAGGACACACCUAGCACCGCUCUUUGUCAUGUCUUGCGUCGUCUUGCUUAUGUUUGCACUGUAUUUAUUGUUUCUUCCCCCUCUUCUCUUCGGUAGACUACGAGACCGACGCUGCUGCUGCCCAGUUCGACUACGGAGUUGACAACCCCUCUCUCUUGCCAGAGCAACCAGGCAAGCCCCCCCCUUGAUCACCAGAUAUCGCCUAUUCUACUCUAUACUGCUUGCAUUAGAGUAGUGUAGCAUGUUACUGCUUUCAGUUAAUCCUAUACUGCUGCAUAGCCUGUCCUUACUACUAUUGUUGUUACCUUUACCUGCUAUCCUACUGCUUAGUAUAGGAUGCUAGUGUUCCAUCAGUGGCCCUACACUCUUGUCCGUCUUCCAUGCUAUACUACUGGGCUGUGAUCACUUCGGGAGGUGAUCACGGGCAUAUACGAUAUAGUUUACACAGUUACAUUACCUGUGAUACUGUUCGGAGAUGGGGGCUGAAGGGGCAGGUGGCUCCAUCCCGGUAGAGGUGGGCCUGGGUUCCCGACGGCCCCCGACUGUUACUUUGUGACGGAGCGACAGGGCAGGUUGAGACCACCUAGGAGACAGGUGGGCCUAGCCCUGUUCGGCGUUCGCGGAUAUUUAACACGCUUAACGAGAUCUUGGUAUUUGAUCUGAGUUGGCUACGAGCCUAUACGCACUAACCAUCUACGUGGGAGUAGUUAUGGGUAUCCCGACGUCGUGGUAUCAGCCGAAGCACUUCAGACGUCAGCGACGGAGCGGCGCGCGCCGAAUUGGACUGGAACGCCACUAGGCUAGGUCUGCUUUCGGCCGCCCACGCAACGUGCAGGUGUGCUCAGGGCGAUGGGCCCAGACCCCUGCGCGCUUAGGUUUAGACCGGCGUGCUGGCCUCUCUGUUGUGCCUAGGUGGGGCUGCGACGUGUUGAUCUUCCACGGCCGGGCAUGACCCAGGAAAGUGUGUCCGGCCAAAUGGGAUCAAACGUGUUGGGUAAGGUGGUGCACCCCUGUAGGGAAGUUAAUCUAUUCGAAUAGCCGUGAUCUUCAGUAACAGGACGACUUGGAGUUGUACCUUGAACUUAUGACAACUAGAACCGGAUACUUAAUAAAACACACCCUUCCAAGUUCCACAGACAACCCGGUGAUCGCUUUUCCACAGGGCGACGAGGAGAGGAUCGCCGGGUAGGAUUAUGCUAUGCGAUGCUACUUGGAGAUGCUACUUGGAGAUGCUACUUGGAGGACUUCAAUCUACUCCCUUCUACAUGCUGCAAGAUGGAGGCUGCCAGAAGCGUAGUCUUCGACAGGAUUAGCUAUCCCCCUCGUAUUCUGGCAUUCUGCAGUUCAGUCCACUGAUAUGGCCCUUUACACAUAUACCCAUGCAUAUGUAGUGUAGCUCCUUGCUUGCGAGUACUUUGGAUGAGUACUCACGGUUGCUUUUCUCCCUCUUUUCCCACUUUCCCUUCUACCUGGUUGUUGCAACCAGAUGCUGGAGCUCUGGAGCCAGACGCCACCGUCGACGACGACUACUACCCCGGAGGUGCCUACUACUACGUGCAGCCCGCUGACGACGACCAGGAGUAGUUUAGGAGGAUCCCAGGCAGGAGGCUUGCGCCUCUUUCGAUCUGUAUCCCAGUUUGUGCUAGCCUUCUUAAGGCAAACUUGUUUAACUUAUGUCUGUACUCAGAUAUUGUUGCUUCCGCUGACUCGUCUAUGAUCGAGCACUUGUAUUCGAGCCCUCGAGGCCCCUGGCUUGUAUUAUGAUGCUUGUAUGACUUAUUUAUGUUGUAGAGUUGUGUUGUGAUAUCUUCCCGUGAGUCCCUGAUCUUGAUCGUACACAUUUGCGUGCAUGAUUAGUGUACGAUUGAAUCGGGGGCGUCACAAGUUGGUAUCAGAGCCAACUGCCUGUAGGAAUCCCCCUUCCACACUCCUUGGCCGAAGUCGAGUCUAGACUUUACAAAACUUUUACUAACUUGGCUGUGUGGCCCAUGGGCCCACGUCGCCAUUGGGUGGUAUUAGGAUCUUUUAUUCCUCGUCUAUACUCUGGGACUCUGAUCUCUCUACUAUUCGGGUUAAAUGAAUUUGCUAACUCUAAGAUGAGGAUCUCGUGAUCGCAUCCACCCGAAGAGUCCCUUAUUGCAGAGGAUCGCCUGCUACAUCAGAAGAUUCCGAAGAUACUCUCUAAUGUUCUCUCGAGACUUUGUGCCCAUCACUUUUGCUAUUCCUGACCACCGAUAAAUCCGUAUGGAUAACUACUUACACUUGCCAUUCAUAUGAUCAUCCCCCAUUGAUCUUGUUAUUACAAGAUACCCCCGAAGUUUUCUCUAUUGUUCCGAGAAUACUUUGUGCCUACUGCCUAGCAGUUCUUUGCCACAUGAAUACCCCGUUCAAAAAAAUUCUCGCACUUAUCGAGUAUCCGCUCAUCCCCUAGUUGUUCACGUGUUUCACAAAAGUCUUCAAAAUACUAUUUGAUCUUCCGAAAAUCCUCUGGAGCCUUUUGCUCUUGAAAUUCUUGCUUGCUUGCAAUAUGAUUAAUCACAUAAGUCUCGUAAUCUUAAUGGCAUACCUUGUCAUUAUCAUUUUGAGUCUGUUGAUUCAAUAUGUUGCGGAUUCUCGCAAUCCUCAAAUAGAUCCUAGAAUUCAUCCUUCCGGCUCAGACGUCAUUUUGAACAUGAGUUGGUUCUCGACCAAACUAUCUGUCAUCGAUUGUGCCUCUGGUAUAUUCAAUUGAUCCAUCCUUGAUCAGAACGUCUGCUUCUGAUCCUUUGUUUUGGAAAUCAUAAUUCCUUUGCAUUUAAGCUGUGAAUUAUUCAGAUGCUUCCAUAACAGUUGCAUUUGCAUUCCUUCCUCUUCUGGUUGAGUAUCGAUACUCAUAUCGGAUCCUUUGUGGACCAUCAAGUCCUUUGUUGGAUUGUUAUCCGACAGUGUCCUUCACAUUUGAUCACCUUGUGAGUUCUUCCCCUGAUACAUAAUGCCUUUGUUAAGUUGUAUCCUCUGCUUGGCCAACCAUGCUCUGCUUUCGGGCUUGUGUUAUUUACUCUUGAAACUUGUGGUAUAUGUCUCUAAGAAGCCCCUAUGGGUUGAACAUAUGCCUUCUCUAAACCGUGUGAACCCGAAAGUUUUCACGAGUCAUACUUAUCUGGUAUUGCACCAGGUAAAACUUUCAACAACUAAUGUCAUCUUCGAAAUACGAGAGGUGAAUGGAAGAUUAUGCAUUGGAGAAGUGGGAGUCGACCUUGAACUUUGUGUUCAUGCCCAUGGACACGAUGUAUAUCCUAUCAUGGAAGCUUCUUGUAACAAUAACUAUUUCCUUGAUAACUAACAUAUGGUAUCUGUGAAUUGAUCCCUUGCAACCGUGGUUCCGACCAUGAUUGUUCUUCUUUGAUCUCAUUUAUCGGACAAGUUAAAACAAUUGUCUCCUAUGGAUCAAUACCCCAGUCCAACCUCUAUUUUGAUCUGUCGUCGGGUAUUACCCCCUGGUAUCUCGAGAUUAUCAUGGAACUGCAUAACUUCUUAUGAGUUCUUCAUCAAGUGCUAUGUUCCCACUGAUUCCAAUUUUUCACGGGCUCUGAGUUAUUAUACACUCAAAGACACCGAUAACUGAACCGAGUCCGCACUACGGUUCAACAACUCUUCAGUAAGCUUCUAUAAAUACGAGUUUGUACCCGAUCACGCCAUUCCUAGCCUGUUUGGCUAUAUCAUUGUCGUGAUGAUUUUAACUGUGCUACCUGGUCCUUAUUCUCGGAGCACUAAUUUGCGACGAUAGCUAAGCUUACGUCGAUUUUCCUCGUCAUACCCUUUCACCUUAAACAACAAGCUUGAGUUCGAGUUUGUGUCGUAACUGUGGUUCCAAUAACCUCUUGCUUCAUCAUUUCCCUUGACUUGAUGUCGUCGCUGAGUGAUUACUUCUUCAUGAAAUCUCUCAACACUUGUGUCGUGAUCAUCAUCAACCUUACGAACUCUUCCAGAAUAUCAAUUGAAUUUAUGUUGAGAAACACCAUCCUUGCCCUCGAUGAUUAGUGAUAUCAUCGACCACUCUACUACCUUUCCUCCAACACAAACUUGUUCUUGUUUUGUGUUAUACCUUGAGUUCCUUGCUAUCCAGCAAUUGCUCUUCUUUACCUUGGAGUAUUACCAUCCUUUAUGUCAAGAAUGUCGUGAGAAUUUCACCACCUCUGGAGAAUUCUUGAUACAAGUGAUACUUAUCACCAUCACCAUUCUUUUCCUGGUCACCGUGUUAUUUCUAACCACCGACAAAUGGACUGUGAUGUGUAAUUCCAAAACUUCUAGCAACCCUAUUGCUUUGAAGUUAAUGGUCGGCCGUUCAUUCUUAGACUAUCGAUUAUUGAAUCACCAUUCCGAUGUUGGUUGUGCAACCCAGCCCAUAUUUCGGGUGCACCUUUCAACCAAUGUUUAAUUGUGUAUGUUUCCCUCGAGCAUACAUCAUUAUACCAUUUGAUCUGACUAAUGUUAUCUCCUUGUUCACUUAAUUGUGGAAACCAUCUUUUGGAAGUCUCGAUGAAUUGUCGCUGAGUUCAUCAGCUACCUCCUUAUCCCUUCAUUGGUUUAAUGAUGAGCUUUUGUUUCGGAACUCGCUUCCGUAGUAAAUUUCCCGAGAAUCUUACAAUGUCAUCUCGUCAUUUGUGUUGCACCUUUUCUUCUCUGGCCUCCUAAGUCGGAGGUAUCCUGACACCAAUCGGAUCUGAACCUCGGUCAGAUAUGAUGGCUGGGACAUUUCCAAGAGUUAUAACAUUGGUCUUUUAUGACCCGGUAAGGUGAUGGCAUGUCCGGCACACCUGGCCGGAGGACCUACUGCUAUAAUUUCUUUUUAGCAAGGUUAACCAUUCUUUCAUGAGGAAAUCAUAGGACUUAUUCUAUGAGUUGUUCAUGAUGGAUGCCUUGUGUGUCCAAAGUCCGAACUUUGCUUAAAGACCAUGGCAAUGCUAUUACGAAGCAUGUAUGUGGUACUCCUAUCAUCAAUAAGAACACUUGAAGCACAAUGCUAAAUUUUCUUACUCAAAUUAUCCAAACAUCAUUGUAUGGGUAAUGUCAUGAAAUUUCUCUCCCCUUCCCUAACGGGUUUUCUACUUAUUAUCCUGUCAUGGUUAUCAUGCUCUGCUUGUCCUUGGGAAGGAUAUACCCCUGAAAUAUGUGUUUAAACACAUUUUCCUUUCCAUUGUUUUGUUUAACCUUUCUUGUAAUCUGACUUAACUGAGCAGUGAUACCCCCCUGCUUAGGUAAGCAUCUCAUUGUACAACCGUGUCAGUAAGACCCUGUUUCUUUUGUUGAUAGCAUUUCGGUAACCACGGAUGGACGAGAACUUUGCCUAUUGGUCCGCCUCGUUCAACGAGCAGGAAAAUGGUUCUCUUCGUCCCUCGCCCUUGGUACCGACAUUGUUGCUGACAUAACCGACAGGCUAUCCUCUGACAUGCCUUUCUUGCAUGAUCAUGCAAGACGUCUCCGUCCUUCCUACUUUUGAACCACAUGGUGGGCCCAUAACCCACAGGUCCACUGGAUCGAAACCUGACUCUCCCGUACAACCCUGUUUCUAGUGGUUAUUCCCCACGCUUGGCUUCGUAUUUAAUUCAUGGGCCACCUUCCUAGUGCUCUAUUAUGGUAUCAGACGCAAUGCUUAUUGUCGCUACUUUGAACCCCUUUCUCACUCUGGUUCGGACUUCGAGCAACCACCUAUCCGCUUGGAACCUCUUAUUGUACCUUCGUACCUUACUCUCGAUGUAUUUUAUAUGUUCAACUCGAGAGAUAAUCUUAUGCUCAUUCAUGGGUUAACCCCAGAUUGUUUCCCUCAUAAGCAUUAUGUCGUAGCCGAGCUGCCCCUUACCUAUUCGUAAGUACGUUGGAGUUCCCGAAGAAAAGGACGACUUCACCAUGAUGACCUGGAGUAGAGAAAUGAAGACAUCACCAAAGGGGAUCAACUACUUCGGGAAGUGCAACCAAGACCGAGAAGACUCGUUAGAAUAUCGUAACCAGACCUCUCCCCCUUGCUCUACCUCUUAAAUCUCGGGACGAGAUUUCUUGUAGUGGAGGAGAAUUGUGACGCCCGGAUAAUCAUGCUACAGUAAUCUCACGUUAAUGGUGACACAUCACCUCUGUCACUGUAGUUAUUUUCGGGUUAAUUCGAAACCGAUUCAAAUUUAAAUCCUAACUAAGUCAAACGACAAUAGCUUUCAAAAUAUUAAACAAAAAUGUUCGGACGGUGCCAUAUUUUGCUUAAGUAAAUAUGGUGUAAAAAACACAUUUUUAUAAAAUGCCUAGAUAAUUUAAAAUGAUUUAAAACAGAAAAGAAAACACAAAAACAGAAAAGAGAACUAACAAAAAAAAGGAAAAGAAAACCCCCCAGGCCAACUGGGCCUUGGCCCAACCAGCUGGCCACCAGGCCGACUAGGCCGGCCCGUCCCCACUCCCCCAUAACCCCCUCCACUCCUAACCCUAGGCACCGACACCCCCACUCCCCCCCACUCGCGCCCCCACUCUCCCUUUCCCCGAUCCAAUCGGGAUCGGGCUUGANNNNNNNNNNNNNNNNNNNNNNNNNNNNNNNNNNNNNNNNNNNNNNNNNNNNNNNNNNNNNNNNNNNNNNNNNNNNNNNNNNNNNNNNNNNNNNNNNNNNNNNNNNNNNNNNNNNNNNNNNNNNNNNNNNNNNNNNNNNNNNNNNNNNNNNNNNNNNNNNNNNNNNNNNNNNNNNNNNNNNNNNNNNNNNNNNNNNNNNNNNNNNNNNNNNNNNNNNNNNNNNNNNNNNNNNNNNNNNNNNNNNNNNNNNNNNNNNNNNNNNNNNNNNNNNNNNNNNNNNNNNNNNNNNNNNNNNNNNNNNNNNNNNNNNNNNNNNNNNNNNNNNNNNNNNNNNNNNNNNNNNNNNNNNNNNNNNNNNNNNNNNNNNNNNNNNNNNNNNNNNNNNNNNNNNNNNNNNNNNNNNNNNNNNNNNNNNNNNNNNNNNNNNNNNNNNNNNNNNNNNNNNNNNNNNNNNNNNNNNNNNNNNNNNNNNNNNNNNNNNNNNNNNNNNNNNNNNNNNNNNNNNNNNNNNNNNNNNNNNNNNNNNNNNNNNNNNNNNNNNNNNNNNNNNNNNNNNNNNNNNNNNNNNNNNNNNNNNNNNNNNNNNNNNNNNNNNNNNNNNNNNNNNNNNNNNNNNNNNNNNNNNNNNNNNNNNNNNNNNNNNNNNNNNNNNNNNNNNNNNNNNNNNNNNNNNNNNNNNNNNNNNNNNNNNNNNNNNNNNNNNNNNNNNNNNNNNNNNNNNNNNNNNNNNGACCGCGCUGCUAGCCGCGCCAGGCGCCAGGGCCGCGCCCUCGCUCCCCGCACCCGCCUCACCUUCGCUCCGGCGCACCCACGCGCCCGUCCCGUCGCCUCGGGUCCGCUCCGAUGGGCACCCGCUACCCAGCACCCGCUCGGGUGACAUCCGCACCCGAGCGCCCGAACCCGAUAGGCCCCUAUGGGCCUAUGACAGAUGGGCCCCAUGCCCAUAACGUUUUAAAAAAGAAGGAAUUAAAAAUAAAAAUAAAAAAUAAAAAAUGAUUUAAUAAAAUUAAUUAUUAAUUAAUUAAUUAUCUAAUGAAUUAAUUAAGUUAAUUAAUCCGGUUUAAUUAAUUUAAUUAACUGGUUAGGUUAAUUAAAUAAUAAUUAAAUAAACUAAUCUGUAAUUAACCUAAACAGAGAAUGACAGGUGGGUCCCACCGGACCCACAUGUCAGGUUGACCAAGUCAACUCUGUUGACUGCUGACGUUAGCAUGACAUCAUGCUGACGUCAUAAAUCCAUUUUUCGAAUUAAUUAAAUAAUUAAUUAAAUUCCAGAAAUUAAUAAAAUCUUUAGAAAAUCAUAUCUUUUAAUCCGUAACUCGGAUUAAAUUAUUUUCAACAUGAAAGUUGCUCAGAACGACGAGACGAAUCCGGAUACGCAGCCCGUUCGUCCACCACACCCCCCUAUCAUAUCAAACUCGCAACUUUCCCCCUCCAGCUCCUUUGCCCAAAAACACGGAACACCGGGAAUACUUUCCCGGAUGUUUUCCCCCUUCGCCGACAUCACCUCAUACUGCGUUAGGACACACCUAGCACCGCUCUUUGUCAUGUCUUGCGUCGUCUUGCUUAUGUUUGCAUUGUAUUUAUUGUUUCUUCCCCCUCUUCUCUUCGGUAGACUACGAGACCGACGCUACUGCUGCCCAGUUCGACUACGGAGUUGACGACCCCUCUCUCUUGCCAGAGCAACCAGGCAAGCCCCCCCCCCUUGAUCACCAGAUAUCGCCUAUUCUACUCUAUACUGCUUGCAUUAGAGUAGUGUAGCAUGUUACUGCUUUCAGUUAAUCCUAUACUGCUGCAUAGCCUGUCCUUGCUACUAUUGUUGUUACCUUUACCUGUUAUCCUACUGCUUAGUAUAGGAUGCUAGUGUUCCAUCAGUGGCCCUACACUCUUGUCCGUCUGCCAUGCUAUACUACUGGGCUGUGAUCACUUCGGGAGGUGAUCACGGGCAUAUACGAUAUACUUUACGCAGUUACAUUACCUGUGAUACUGUUCGGAGAUGGGGGCUGAAGGGGCAGGUGGCUCCAUCCCGGUAGAGGUGGGCCUGGGUUCCCGACGGCCCCCGACUGUUACUUUGUGGAGGAGCGACAGGGAAGGUUGAGACCACCUAGGAGACAGGUGGGCCUGGCCCUGUUCAGCGUUCGCGGAUAUUUAACACGCUUAACGAGAUCUUGGUAUUUGAUCUGAGUUGGCUACGAGCCUAUACGCACUAACCAUCUACGUGGGAGUAGUUAUGGGUAUCCCGACGUCGUGGUAUCAGCCGAAGCACUUCAGACGUCAGCGACGGAGCGACGCGCGCCGAAUUGGACUGGAACGCCACUAGGCUAGGUCUGCUUUCGGCCGCCCACGCAACGUGCAAGUGUGCUCAGGGCGAUGGGCCCAGACCCCUGCACGCUUAGGUUUAGACCGGCGUGCUGGCCUCUCUGUUGUGCCUAGGUGGGGCUGCGAUGUGUUGAUCUUCCACGGCCGGGCAUGACCCAGGAAAGUGUGUCCGGCCAAAUGGGAUCAAACGUGUUGGGUAAGUUGGUGCACCCCUGCAGGGAAGUUAAUCUAUUCGAAUAGCCGUGAUCUUCGGUAACAGGACGACUUGGAGUUGUACCUUGACCUUAUGACAACUAGAACCGGAUACUUAAUAAAACACACCCUUCCAAGUUCCACAGACAACCCGGUGAUCGCUUUUCCACAGGGCGACGAGGAGAGGAUCGCCGGGUAGGAUUAUGCUAUGCGAUGCUACUUGGAGAUGCUACUUGGAGAUGCUACUUGGAGGACUUCAAUCUACUCCCUUCUACAUGCUGCAAGACGGAGGCUGCCAGAAGCGUAGUCUUCGACAGGAUUAGCUAUCCCCCUCAUAUUCUGGCAUUCUGCAGUUCAGUCCACUGAUAUGGCCCUUUACACAUAUACCCAUGCAUAUGUAGUGUAGCUCCUUGCUUGCGAGUACUUUGGAUGAGUACUCACGGUUGCUUUUCUCCCUCUUUUCCCACUUUCCCUUCUACCUGGUUGUCGCAACCAGAUGCUGGAGCCCUGGAGCCAGACGCCACCAUCGACGACGACUACUACCCCGGAGGUGCCUACUACUACGUGCAGCCCGCUGACGACGACCAGGAGUAGUUUAGGAGGAUCCCAGGCAGGAGGCCUGCGCCUCUUUCGAUCUGUAUCCCAGUUUGUGCUAGUCUUCUUAAGGCAAACUUGUUUAACUUAUGUCUGUACUCAGAUAUUGUUGCUUCCGCUGACUCGUCUAUGAUCGAGCACUUGUAUUCGAGCCCUCGAGGCCCCUGGCUUGUGUUAUGAUACUUGUGUGACUUAUUUAUGUUUUAGAGUUGUGUUGUGAUAUCUUCCCGCGAGUCCCUGAUCUUGAUCGUACACAUUUGCGUGCAUGAUUAGUGUACGAUUGAAUCGGGGGCGUCACAAUCAGGUCGGCAUCGACCUGGACGGCUUCCCCCUCGACCACGAGUUCCCGAAGGACUAUGGGCUAGAGGAAGAUGACGAGUGCGACAUUGAAGUGGAGCCUUUGUUCGAGGACGAGUUCGCCAACCAAACCGCCGGUCCUAAGCCGAAGCGCAAGAGCAAGCGCACGAAGGCGUACACAGCUGUCGAGGACAAACUUCUUUGUGAGUGUUCGCGAGACAUUGGACAAGACCCAAAGACGGCGCCGAGCAAAAGCAUUCGACCUUUUGGACUCGUGCGCACCGCGAGUUUCAUGAGUGCAAGAAGUUUCCACCUUACCAAUUUGUGAGCACGCGCGGGUGGGUCUCCAUUUCCAAGCGGUGGAGGGUGAUCCAACAAGAGUGCAACAAGUUUUGCGCCACCCUUAAGAGCGUCAAGGUCCGCCCCAUGAGCGGCAUCGGCAUGCAAGACAUGGUAUGCUAGCAAGCCGCCCUCUUUUGUGCCAUCAAGAUCACUUGCUCAUAUGCUUGCAUGAAAACAUUUUGUAGGCAUUUCAAGCUUUGGAGGCAUUCAAGGUUCAACACAAUGGCAAGUGCUUCAACCUCUCCCAUUGCUAUCGGGUCAUCAAGGACGAAGAGAAGUUCAAGGCACAAUAUGCCGCGCUCAAGGCACGUGGGGGGAAGGGCGCCGUGGAGGAUGUUGCGGAGGGCGAGCCGGCACGGCCGCGGGGGAAGACCAACUCCAAGGAGGACAAGCGAUAUGCGGCCACCAACGCCUUGAUCGCGAGCGUGGACGGCAUGAUGAAUAAGAAGGACUCAAGAGAGGAGGAGCGCCGGCGUUUCAAGGCGGAGCAAAUGGAUGCUUUCAUGGAGAUCCAAAGGAGGAGGCUUGAUCUUGACGCCGAGAAGCAAGCCAAGAUGUUCGAGCUCGAGGCGGAGAAGCAAGCCAAGAUGCUAGAGAUCGAGGCCGCCAUCGCCAAGACAAAGGCGAAAGAAGUGGCUCUUGCAAGCAUGAUGACCGGAGUGGAGAUCAUGAAGGUGGAUCUCAACGCCUUAUCGCCAAGGAAGAGGCCGUGGUUCGAGAAGAUGCAGGCCGACAUGCUCAAGUUCGACGACGAGUGAUCUAUGGCGUUGAGGGGCCAUCUUUUUGUAUGCCGGCAGGUGUGCCGGCAUGACUACGGGAGCCGCGAUGGCGUGGUCGAACUCAAGUCCCACCAUUUUUUGUGUGCUGACAUGUGUGCCAGCAUGAACUGUGGUGUUUUCUGAAGCCGGCAUUGUAUGCCGGCGCUGGCAUGAGACAUGGCCGCUGGCAUGAUCGGCCGCGGGCCUUUUUUAUUUAAAAGUUGAAUGCGGACAUGAAAUGGGUCGGCGCGUUGGACGCAUUGCCGAUUCUAAUGCAAAACUGGGAGGACGCAGGCGGGCGGCCGACCCAAACAGACAAAAAACGGAUAAAUGCGCCGUCCGUUUAGGUCGCCCCAUUGGAGUUGCUCUAAGCUGGCCAGGCAAAUUUCAUCAUAACUUGAGAGUCCUCUUUUCUUAUUGGGGGCGAUGGUAUUCCAACAGUGCAUGGCAAAACUGCAGUCCCAGAAUAAAUGCAUGGAUAUCUCUUCCGUGUGCUCAUUGCACAACACGGACCUAUCACAAACAGGAAGCAAGAAACAAAAUAAUUUACGCAGCGGCCAAUGUCCCACACGUAGCAUAUGACAAAACAUCAUCAUCAACAUCAUUAUCAUGGAAGAAUAUGAGCAUGUCUAGCUGCGACAUCAGGGCGAUCGUAAUUAAAUGUAAUGAGCAUGUUAAAAUUUGCCAUACUUUUAAGCUUCAAGUCGCCGACAUGCGGAUCUUUUUUUUUUUGNNNNNNNNNNNNNNNNNNNNNNNNNNNNNNNNNNNNNNNNNNNNNNNNNNNNNNNNNNNNNNNNNNNNNNNNNNNNNNNNNNNNNNNNNNNNNNNNNNNNNNNNNNNNNNNNNNNNNNNNNNNNNNNNNNNNNNNNNNNNNNNNNNNNNNNNNNNNNNNNNNNNNNNNNNNNNNNNNNNNNNNNNNNNNNNNNNNNNNNNNNNNNNNNNNNNNNNNNNNNNNNNNNNNNNNNNNNNNNNNNNNNNNNNNNNNNNNNNNNNNNNNNNNNNNNNNNNNNNNNNNNNNNNNNNNNNNNNNNNNNNNNNNNNNNNNNNNNNNNNNNNNNNUGUAGGAUGAUAAUAUUAUGUUGUUGUAUUGCUCUCACCCGUGUAUGGGGGUAUAUAUAGAAUACAUGAGGGGUAGAGGCUUGGAGUACAAGACAAGUCAUAGAUAGUUUAAACCUAUUUAAUCUCUACUCCUUAUCUCUAUCUUUAAACCCAUAUCAUAUUCUAACAUUCCCCCUCAGUCGUAGCGGGAGUGAAGCAGACGAUGACGACUGAAUUUGAACUCUUGUGCUUUCGUCGUCUUCUCCGCCGCGCCAUCAUCAACUGCGUCUCUGAUGGGUCGGCACCUAGGGUGGUGACUGCAUCCCCUUCUGGUGCCUUCCUGCCUUCUCCUCUAUUCCCUCCCGCAGUUACAGCGGGAGUGGCGUGGACGCUAGUGACGACGCGGACGCUGUUGACUGGAGUUGUUGCCGAUGAGUUGCUGUAGACGUAGCCAUUAAUGUCAAUGUCGAGGUAGCCGAUCAUGGUGAUGUAGCCGUGGUCGAUGUAGUCGUGGUCGAUGGUGUAGUCGUCGUGGAUGAUGAAGCCAUACAAAGCCGGAGGCGCAAAAACAAUGUGCUAUGACGAAGCUGCAGACGUGGACGAUGCACCUUGCGGAUGUCAGAGGGUGCCGUCGGCGACGAGUCCGCCGGUUUUGCCAAGACCGGAGGAAGCCCAUCGAGCACACAUCGGUUUUGCCAGAACCGUGUGGCCGUGUAGGGUCGUCACUAUAGUGACGCCGUGUCGAUGCAGUCGUGCCGUCGUGGAUGACGAGGUCAAUGCCGGUGUCGUGACGCGGUCAAUACCGUCGUCGAGGUCGCGUCUUGCAGAAAGGUCUGUCAGAGGACGCUAGGUGUCCAUCUUGUGGACGAUGUGGCGGCGGUGUGUUGACGAUGAUAGUGAUGAAGACCACGUUGAUGAAGACCUUGGAGAUGAAGUGUCGGCGAUAGCGUCGUAGCAGCGUGUCGACGAUGAUGCGUCGCUUGAAGGCGUCCCUCCGUGGCGACGAAGUGUCGAUGCCGUGCCGAAGAAGUAUGUUGGCUCGUGCCUGGCGUAGUCGGACAGCUUGAUGUCGUUCGGGUCGAUGCAGAGGCGUCGGUGUGGCUGUGCAGUACAGAUCGGCGGCGAUUGUCGACGCAGCCAUGCAGAAGAUGAUGUAGCUCAGCUCGGGAUGUAGCGAUCGGUGUAGACGAUGGUGUCGCGGGCGUCGUUGCAGAUUGCUUGGUGCUGGAGGUGGUGCGCUGUCGUCUGUAGCAUGCGCGUUGACGAAGCCAUGAUGCGGUACGGGAUGUCGAUGACGAACUGGUGCGGGGCCGCAGAAUAGCUGAACUGCCGUGGAGAUCCCAUCGUAGCUUUGCAAGGCAUGAGCGUGUAUGCCUGAUUUCUGGACACCACGUACUCGGGUCCUGGACUCGUGCAUGGGAGCACCUCAGAUCGGAGUAGCCCCCAGUUCCGAUUGGAUCGGGACGAUGCUCAAAUCGGUGUGCUUGCCUGAGGACGCCGCGUACGCGUUCUGGCGCGUGCAGUUUGCCAGCAGCGAUGAUAACCUUGGUCGCGUGCGUGUCACGACCACAUCACCGUGCGGACGGCGGCCCGUUGUGGAUGCAGGCGUAGAUCAUGUGGAGCUGCAUCCGAUGCAUGCGGGUUGACGAAGUAGAAGCUGGCAUCCGGGGUGGCUGUUUGUCGAUGCAGAUCGGAUCGAGUCCAUGUGACUCGCCGGGUGUCAAACUGUCGAUGCGCUCGUAUGCCCGUGGCGUUGAUGUAGAUCGCGUCGGGGAGGUGUCGGGCUGAUGCGCUCGUUCGACGAAGUUGUGCGUCGCUCGGAGACAAGCGGGCCGUCACUGGUCGCGAACCCUCCUGCCCUGCGCGUAGCUUGUCGAGCUUGAUGUCGAGCCGGCUGUUGAGGGAGUACUGCCCGCCGCAUGCACGCGCGCCUGCGCGUGGAUUCGGGUCAGCUCUCCUAUUUGCCGGCUUGUUCGGCCGGCCGACGCUGCCCCUCCUGAUUGCACCUGAUUUUCACCAAGAUUCGAGGAUGGUCGGGAUUUAUUUGUAGCUAAAAAUAAAUUGACCUAAGGGAUCUGAUUUGGAAAUCGAUCUAAUCUAAAGAAUCGACCUAACCAUGAUGAACUCGAAAAAUUGAUCUAAAACUACAAAACCGAUCAAAUCUUUGGCUGAUCGGGUGCCGCGCCCCCGAGGAGAGAAGAUUAAUCUCCCCGGGGGCGGCGUGCUGCGGAAGUGGUAGAGGAACCUAGGAUCGGCGUCGUGAGACUAACCGCUCUGAUACCAUGUAGAAAAUAUAGAACCUACAAUAUUCGUUGUUGUAUUGAUCUGACCCUUGUGGGGUAUAUAUAGAGUACAUGUGAGGGAGAGAGACUUGGAGUAGAGGACAAGUCAUACAUGAUUCAAACCUCCCUUCUGGUGCCUUCCUGNNNNNNNNNNNNNNNNNNNNNNNNNNNNNNNNNNNNNNNNNNNNNNNNNNNNNNNNNNNNNNNNNNNNNNNNNNNNNNNNNNNNNNNNNNNNNNNNNNNNNNNNNNNNNNNNNNNNNNNNNNNNNNNNNNNNNNNNNNNNNNNNNNNNNNNNNNNNNNNNNNNNNNNNNNNNNNNNNNNNNNNNNNNNNNNNNNNNNNNNNNNNNNNNNNNNNNNNNNNNNNNNNNNNNNNNNNNNNNNNNNNNNNNNNNNNNNNNNNNNNNNNNNNNNNNNNNNNNNNNNNNNNNNNNNNNNNNNNNNNNNNAUCACCAGGGCAAGGAGUCAACCCUUACAACCAUCGCCAAAACCUAACCGAGCUAUUAAACCGACCAGUUUGAAAAACACAAUUCGACACAAAGAAGAAGGAAGCCGGAUCUAGCAUUGCAGAAAAUGUUAUUAUCGACAACAACGGCAAAAAUCGUUCAUGCAUGUGUGAGAAAUUAUGAAUCAGCUACCGGUGAUAGACUAGUCCUAUUUAAGCAGGAGGAGCGCCCCUGUUUCUGGUACUAAUUACUACAGCAAAUACAUCUUGUGUCUGCCCAAGCAAAGAGAAGACAUCUUACAAAAAGUCAAAAGAGAAGAGAAGCCAUGCAAGGCCCUAGCACCAGCAUCAAGUCCUUCAAGCAGGAGUUCCUCAAGAACCUCCUCCCAAGCCUCCAGCUCCAAGCACGCACGAGCACAACCUUCCGCGGCGCCACGAGCCUCCAUGAGAGGAAGCGCGCCAUCAAGUCCUCUGCGGACGUUGCCAUGUCGGCUGCGCAUGCCGGCGGAGCGAGGUGGCCCAAGGCCAUCUUGGCUCCGGCGUCCAGUGCGUGCAAGGUGCAGAGGUGCAGGAGGAUCGUGAGGAGGUGCUACCUCCGGAAGAGGUGCUCGGGGAGAUCAGGCCGCGCCGGUGGGUGGUGGCGACGUUGCGGGGAUGCUGGUGAAGAGCAGGACCAUGGCGCUGAGGGAGGUGAUACCGGGAGGCUGGAACUCCACCAUCGACGAGGCCACUCUGUUACGCGAGGCCAUGGACUACGCCGUGCACCUGCGCUCUCAGGUCGAUGUGCUCCGACGGCUCUCGGAAGCCGUGCAAACAUCUAGCUCCAGUGAUUCUGACCGUGCACUUAGAAUGCAGCCAUGAUUAAGUACCAGGUGGUGGCUUUGCCAGUGCUUUUGCGUACAGAAACACUCGGUCUCCAUGAUGAUCACGGAGACAGGGAUAUAGCUAGGCACUAUAUAUUGCCAGGAUUUUAUCUUGUUCUUGCGGGAGGUCCAAUCAGCGUAUAGUGCUGCAGUAAAACUUUGUGGUGUCCAAUAAGUAGUAUUUGAGUUUGUGAAAAGUUGCUUAUUUGGAUCAUGCGUGCAUGUGUAGUUCGAACUGAAGAUCUGUUGCUGCAUUAGUCAGACAAUCUACAAAACCUGAAACUACUUGCGGUGCUCACUUAUUCAAAGGAAAAGUUGACAAGUGUUCGUAAAUAAGCUGCCAAAUGAAAAUGUAAGACAACAGGGUCACUGUCUUUUCACAAUGGAAACGAAUGGUGAAAUUUCUGAAAUCGAAAAGUACAUAAACAACUGGGAAAUUAAGUCUAAUAAAAUUCACAGGGAAGGAUGUAGCUAUUGACAGCCUACGUAAGAAUAUUAUACGCAUAUAUCCUAUUCACAUGCAUCCAGUUGCAGUUCAAAAUUUGAACCGCCAAAACGUCAUACAUAGUGUAUAUAGAGGCAGUACAUUUUUUCAUCAACAUCCGCACCAGGUAACUUACUACUAAUACUACGUACUCUAACACAAUACAUCAAAACUAAGAAAAGCUACAUUUCGUCUUUGGACCAACAAAAAAAAUACAUUUUCUUCAACUGGUAGUGGUACAGAAUAUGUUCAGUUGUUCAUGCAUAAGUUCUAUCAUCAACAUGGCAAUGCAAUGUAUAACUAGUUUUAGUACCUGAAAAAAGAUCAUUGGAAGAAAUGGCAACGUGCUUGAAUCCAAAUUUAAUUUAUUCAGUAAUCAUCAACAGCUGUGAGCCAGAAUCCUUCAGGAAAUUAGUUUUUCAGCCAUAAACAUGCAAAAUUCUAACAGCCUAUAAUAAGGGCCACAUGUUCCAUGUACAAAAAUAUUGGGCAGAGAGCUCCCCUUGGGUUGACUAGCAUUCUAGUAGACCAAGACGUACUAGAAACUUGAGCCAUUAAAAAUUUGGAGGCACAUACACAUGGGUGAUAGGUGAAAAGAGGAGCAAAAGAUUUAAAAAUCUCAUCAUGUGCCUUCCUAUGUAGGCCAAUGGCCCAAGGCACACAUUCAUAAGCCACCUUUGAUGCAGUGAGACAAAAUUACCAGAGAUGCAGAUCAAACAGAGCACCUAUGGCCGGUAAAAUGAAUGCAGCUUCUGUGUGUGUAGUUUGUACAUUCUGGAGGAUCCACUAACAUUGACUAUGGUCUCUGGGGUUCCUAGUUGCAAAAAUCCAUGGAUGUUCAACAAUGCUUUUUCAGACAGAAGGAAUAGAGUACAAGAAUAUGUAUUUACUAAGCAAAGGACAAAAAAGAACACAGGCAACUUCUGAACAUAUCAUGAUAACAGGAGCCUCCAUAUGUGAUAUAUCUGAGGUCAACAUAGAAGCAUGUACUGUGCCAACUAUCAACGGUUCAAACAUCAUUGGAGCUAUAGGACGGGCGAUAGUGUUGCUUGACACAGGACAAUGAGCCAACCAUUAACAUUGAACACCAGCCUAAUUACCAAAGCCUCGCCAGGCACCUCACUUCCAGGCUGGGUACAAGUUGUUCGGCCUGUUAUUACUUGUUCCUGAAAGUGCAGCACCCAACAGAGUAGAUGACGGCGAGGAAUAUGAUGUUGACGUUGGCGAUCUUCUUCCGGUCAUUCUUCAGGUUUGCGAGCACGCCAGCCUUCCAUGACCGGCAGUCAUAGCACAGGGCCCUCUGAUCAUUCGACCACGUGUUACAGUCAUGGUCAUUGGUAGAGUUGAGGCCAGGAGGUUUGAUCCAGACGGUCUGACUCCGGUAAGUUUAGUUGCACCCAGUUGGGGGCUUGUAGCAUUCAGACAGAACAUAAGAUAGGUGUGUGUUAGUUGCAGAGAAGGAAACUUACUUAGUAGUUCAGCAUAGCAUCGACUAAAACACAAAUCAAAGCAAAAUGUCAAAAAGUCGCACUGACGAUGUAGGCAAGGUCGGGGGACCAAAUGCUAUAGACUAACCUCAACAGCUAGAAUGACCGGUAGGAAAUUCGCCAUCGACGCCGGCACAGAUAAUACCCUCUUGAUGGGGGGGCUAGAUGGGACCUUAUUCGCCGGGUUUGCGUCACUACCACCACCAACAACGUGUGGCCGAAGAAGACUAUUGAGCGCUUCCACCAUCGCCACCGGAAAGGCCAAAGCGUCCGACAUAAAAAACCUGCCUAAAAACUAAAAUCAAAAAGGUUUGGAGAGUGACAGUUGGGGAAGAGAAGCAAUUUGCUCCAUUAUUGAUUUUUAAAUAUUUAUUUUUGAUAGUGAUGCAAAUUUAUUUUGAAAUAUAUGGUUUCUUUAAUAGAUAUUAUAACUAAUAAUAAUUUUAUGAUUAAGAAGUUUUGUAACAUAAGGAACAAAUUUCAAGGAUAGCCUGAACAUUUCAGUUAGUCAAUGAAUGUGGACUCUCUUUUAGUCAUGGUAGCUACAACAUAUACAAUUGAUUCUCUGUGGACUCUCUUUUAGUAAAUGGAGCACGUCUAUUAUAUCAUCAUCAUGGUACUAAACAUCUUUAGACAAUCAGUACGGCGGACUUCUAUUAUAACACAUGAUACUCUUUAGAUGUUGAUAUUGUUUCACAACAUCAUUCAACCAUUGAUCUUCUCAAUGAUAUGUAUUCUGUAGAGAACAAGAGAUGAUAUAUUGUCUUUGAAAGAUCUUGACAGAACCUAAUGUAGCUAAAUGAAAUUAAUUUCCUUUAUGCUCUACCUUCAAUCUAAAAAUCUAGCCGAGUACAACAAUCUCACCUUGUUGGAGGAGUGGAUGUGCAAUCUCAACAAGAUUCCUAUAGUUCAUGUUAAAUAAGUGUAUGGCAACUUAAGUCAAUAACUCAUCUCUAGUUCUACACUUACACUCCAUCUACCAUGUCGCUGAGUUGUUAUCGCAUUUACUUCGUCCUACCUCCCGUCUAGUGUGUGUGCAUAUAUNNNNNNNNNNNNNNNNNNNNNNNNNNNNNNNNNNNNNNNNNNNNNNNNNNNNNNNNNNNNNNNNNNNNNNNNNNNNNNNNNNNNNNNNNNNNNNNNNNNNNNNNNNNNNNNNNNNNNNNNNNNNNNNNNNNNNNNNNNNNNNNNNNNNNNNNNNNNNNNNNNNNNNNNNNNNNNNNNNNNNNNNNNNNNNNNNNNNNNNNNNNNNNNNNNNNNNNNNNNNNNNNNNNNNNNNNNNNNNNNNNNNNNNNNNNNNNNNNNNNNNNNNNNNNNNNNNNNNNNNNNNNNNNNNNNNNNNNNNNNNNNNNNNNNNNNNNNNNNNNNNNNNNNNNNNNNNNNNNNNNNNNNNNNNNNNNNNNNNNNNNNNNNNNNNNNNNNNNNNNNNNNNNNNNNNNNNNNNNNNNNACACAUUGUACCACGUGUACAUUAGAUUUGGAAGGCAUUAGGAAAAGAACAACUUGCAAAUAUUUGACCCAUGGUGAUGCACCUAGUCUGCCACAUUGAUCUUCCAUGGGUUGUUGAUCCUAAAUACGAUAGGACAAAUAAUCCUGGGCGGACAGAGUAAUUCACUCGCUCGAUUGGCUUGCAAUGAUUUUUGGUCUGGCCGACUCACCGUGCACUUGAAAAAAGAGGCAUGGUUACCAGGUGGAUGUUUCUCUGAGAAAAGUAAGACAUGGUCUCCCUGAUGAUCAAGAAAAUAGUGAGAUUCAACCUUGCCAUGUGCAAAGCGGUGAAGAAUAUAUAUCAGGAUUCUCUCUUGUUCUUCAUGGAGGUCCGAUCAAUGUACAGCGCUAGCGAGGUGGCUACAGGCUUACUAGAGCAGCUGAGAGUGAAGUACUACAAUGUUGAUUUGUUCUCCCAAAAACAUGCAAUUUUUAACAGUCUAUAAUAAGGGCCACAUGCAGUAUGUAAAGAAAUCCUGGGCGGAGAGCUCACCUUGGGUUGACUGGCAUUUUAGUAGACCAAGACGUACUAAGAAACUUGAGCCAUUGAAACCUUUGAGGUGCAUGUCAAAGCAAGCACCUACGGCCAGUAAAAUAAGUCCAGCUUCUCUGUUUGUACAUUCUGGAGGAUCCUGUAAAGUUUACUAUGGUCUCUGGGGCUCCUAGUUGCAAGAAUCCAUGGAGCAACAAUGCAUUUGCAGACAGAAGCAAUAGACUGACCUGACGCUAAACACAGGUGUUUGUUGUGCAAAGGACAGAAAAGAUCAGACACCUUCUAAACAUAUCUCAUAUCAUGAUAAUAGGAACCUCCAUAUACGAUAUGUUUGAGGUCGGCAUAGCAAAUAUAGCAAGCAUGCACCAUUACCAACUAUCGACGGUUCAAACAUCAUCGGCGCUAUAGCAUAGACGAUAGUGUUGCUUGACACACGGCCAUGAGCCAACCAACCAUUAACACUGAACAUCAUCCUAAUUACUUAAGCCUCUGCCAGGCAUCUCACUCACUUCCAGGCUGGGUACGAGUUGUCCUGCCUGUUGUUCCUGAAAGCGCAGCAGAGUAGACGAUGAUGAGGAAGAUGAGGAAUACUAUGUUGACGGUGGCGAUCUUCUUCCAGUCGUUCUUCAGGUUAGAGAGCACGCCGGCCUUGUAUGACUGGCAGUCGUAGCAGAGGGCAUCAAGUAGGGGGUUGUAGCAUCCAGACUGGACAGAAGAUAGGUGUGUGUUAGUUGCAGAAAACGCAACCAACUUAGUAAUUCAGCAACAGUUUUAGCAUUGACGAAAACACAAGUCAAAGCCAAAUGUCAAGAAUUCGCAAUUGCGAUGUAGGCGAGGCCGGGCGACCAAACUGCGAAGGAAAGUAGCCACCACCAACGAUGUGGUGUCGAAGAAGACUUUAUUAAGCACUGCCACCAUCGCCGCCGGAAAUGCCAAAGCGGCCGACAAAAUUCUGCCUAAAAUCUCAAAAUAGAAAAAACUACAACUCCAUCCAGUAGAUCGGAGCCUCCCGACACUCCCACACUAACACAUCCAGUGGGGGAAGAGGGAGAGGCGACCUACCGGCAGAUGAGAGGUGGCAGCAUGGUGCCCCCAGGGAUCGGCCCUCUCCUAGGGUUUGGAGAGUGACGGUUGGGGAAGAGAAGCAAUUUGCUCCAUGAUUGAUUUGUAAAUAUUUCUUCCUGGUAUUUGGUAUUGAUGAAAGUCUAUUUUGAAGUAUAUGGUAUUUUAAUAGAUAUUAUAAUUAAUAAUUAUUUUAUGACAAAGAAGUUUUGCUACACAAGGAAAAAAUUCAGGGCUAGGCUGAACAUUUCAGUUAGUCAAUGAAUGUGGACUCUCUUUCAGUCAAGGUAGCUAAGAAAAUACAACUAAUUCAGUGGAGACUCUUUUAGUCAAUGGAGCACGUCUCUUAUAUCAUCAUCAUUGUACUAAACAUCUUCAGACAAUCAGUACGCUGGACUCUUAUUAUAACACAUGAUACUCUUUAGAUGUUGAUAUUGUUUCACAACAUUAUUCAACCAUUGAUCUUCUAAAUGAAACGUAUUCUGUAGAGAACAAGAGAUGAUAUAUUGGCUUCGAAAGAUCUUGACAGAACCUAAUGUAGCUAAAUGAAAUUAAUUUCUUGUAUGCUGUACCUUCAAUCUAAAAAUCUAGCCGACUACAACAAUCUCACCUUGUUGGAGGAGUGGAUGUACAAUCUCAACAAGACUCCUAUAGUUCAUUUAGAAAAAGAUUAUAGCAAGUUAAGUCAAUAACUCAUCUUUAGUUCUACACUUACACUCCAUCUACCAUGUCGCUGAGUUGUUAUCGCAUUUACUUCGUCCUACCUCCCGCCUGUGUGUGACUGUGUGUACAUAUAUAUAUUGCUCCCAUCCGAUGUGGUGUACACAAGAAGCGAACCACCACGAAAAUUNNNNNNNNNNNNNNNNNNNNNNNNNNNNNNNNNNNNNNNNNNNNNNNNNNNNNNNNNNNNNNNNNNNNNNNNNNNNNNNNNNNNNNNNNNNNNNNNNNNNNNNNNNNNNNNNNNNNNNNNNNNNNNNNNNNNNNNNNNNNNNNNNNNNNNNNNNNNNNNNNNNNNNNNNNNNNNNNNNNNNNNNNNNNNNNNNNNNNNNNNNNNNNNNNNNNNNNNNNNNNNNNNNNNNNNNNNNNNNNNNNNNNNNNNNNNNNNNNNNNNNNNNNNNNNNNNNNNNNNNNNNNNNNNNNNNNNNNNNNNNNNNNNNNNNNNNNNNNNNNNNNNNNNNNNNNNNNNNNNNNNNNNNNNNNNNNNNNNNNNNNNNNNNNNNNNNNNNNNNNNNNNUCAUUUCUAUCUUGUUGAUGUCGUGUUCCAAGGAAAUACGGAACACACGUUGUACCACGUGCACAUUAGAUUUGGAAGGCAUUAGGAAAAGAACAACUUGUAGAUACUUCAUUCAUGGUGAUUUACCUACUCUGCAACAUUCGUCCUCGAGGAAAGCUUGAUCCUAAAUAUGAUCGGGCUAAUAGUCCCAGACAAAGGGAGUAAUUCACUUGCUCCAUUGGCAUGCAGUAAAUCUGGGUCUAACUGACCCACCGUGUACUUGAGAAAAGGAGAGAAAGUUACAUGGUGGAGGUUCCUCUGAGGAAACUAAGACAUGGUCUCCAUGAUGAUCAGGGAAACAGCCAGAUUCAACUUGCCAUGUGCAAAGCGGUGAAGAAUAUGCAUCAGGAUUCUCUCUUGUUCUUCAUGAAGGUCCGAUCAUUGUACAGUGCUAGCGAGAUAGCUACACGCUUCCUAAAGCAGUUGAGAGUGGAGUACAAUGUUAAUUUGUUCUCCCAAAAAACAUGCAAUUUUUAACAGUCUAUAAUAAGGGCCACAUGUAGGGGCAACCUGGUGCAUGUAGCUCCCGCUUGCGCAGGGUCCAGGGAAGGGUCCGACCACUUUGGGUCUAUAGUACGCAGCCUUUCCCUACAUUUCUGUAAGAGGCUGUUUCCAGGACUUGAACCCAUGACCUCAUGGUCACAAGGCAGCAGCUUUACCACUGCGCCAAGGCUCCCCUUCAAUAAGGGCCACAUGUAGCAUGUAAAGAAAUCCUGGGCAGAGAGCUCACCUUGGGUUGACUGGCAUUUUAGUAAACCAAGACGCACUAAGAAACUUGAGCUAUUGAAAACUUUGAGGUGCAUGUGAGACAUGGUUGAUAGGUGAAAAAAGGAGCAAGAUAAAAACUGAGGUAGCGACACAAAGUUACCAUGGAUGCAGAUCAAAGCAAGCACCUAUGGCCAGUAGAAUGAGUGCAGCUUCUCAGUUUGUACAUUCUGGAGGAUCCUGUAAAGUUGACCAUGGUCUCUGGGGUUCCCAGUUGCAAGAAUCCAUGGAGCAACAAUGCAUUUGCAGACAGAAGCAAUAGACUGACUCUAAGCACAGGUAUUGGCCAUGCAAAGGGCAGAAAAGAUCACAGACAACUUAUGAACAUAUCUCAUAUCAUGAUAAUAGGAACCUCCAUAUAUGAUAUGUUUGAGGUCGGCAUAGCAAAUAUAGCAAGCAUGCGCCAUUACCAACUAUCGACGGUUCAAACAUCAUCGGAGCUACGGGAUAGACGAUAGUGUUGCUUGACACAGGACAACGAGCCAACUGCUAACGCUGAACAUCAGCCUAAUUACCUAAGCCUCGCCAGGCAUCUCACUCACUUCCAGGCUGGGUACGAGUUGUCCCGCCUGUUGUUCCUGAAAGCGCAGCACCCAACAGAGUAGACGAUGAUGAGGAAGAUGAGGAAUAUGAUGUUGACGGUGGCGAUCUUCUUCCAGUCGUUCUUCAG
rnacentral:lncRNA from 1 species